UACAUGAGUGACACAUAUUCACAAAUCGGCUGAUCACUUAUUUUCCAUUAUGACGUUGAUAUAUAAUUUGCAGACUCCACAAAUGAAGAAAAGAGCACAAAUGACGUUGGCAAACCUGAAACUUUCCCAUUGGGCAAUCAAAAUUACUCCAGUCAAAAAAAUUAUGGAACAGGCAAUAAACGUUACUGCAGUCAAAAAAGGUAUGGAAGAGGCAAGAAACGUUACUGCGAUCAAAAAAAGUAUGGAAGAGGUGCUUCUCCAUCUGACAAUCAACUACUCCAUUAUAAAGACUUAGCUAUUUUCUUCUUGGAGAAGGACAUGCGCCCUGGCACAACAAUGAAGUUCCAAUUCUCUAGAAAUUCAAACACGGCUACUUUCUUGCCACGAGAAAGCGCUCAAUCGAUCCCCUUCUCCUCUAACAAACUACCAGAAAUUUUCAACCAUUUUUCAGUGAAGCCAACAUCUGAGGAAGCCAAAACAAUUAAGCAAACAAUCGAAGAGUGUGAAGCUCCCGGCCUUAAGGGAGAGGAAAUAUAUUGCGCCACAUCUUUAGAAUCAAUGGUUGAUUUUAGCACUUCGAAGCUUGGAACAAGAAACGUUGAAGCAAUCUCGACGGAGGUAUUGGAAAAAGGAGCCACCAUGUCCAUGCACAACUAUACAACAAUGCCGGGACUGAAGAAGUUGGCCAGUGACAAAGUCGUUGUGUGUCAUAAGCAGAACUAUCCCUAUGCUGUGUUUUUCUGCCAUGCAAUAAAACAUACAGCAGCUUAUGUUCUCUUCCUGAAAGGCGAUGAUGGGGAGAAGGUUAAAGCAGUAACCAUCUGUCAUCUAGACACAUCAGAAUGGAACCCAGAGCAUAUGUCCUUCCAAAUCGUCAACGUUAAGCCCGGAACCAUUCCCAUCUGCCAUUUCAUUUCCACUGAUGCUAUUGCCUGGGUUCCGAACCACAAAUCUGCAUGAUCAUCACUUAGCACUGUACGUAUAAUUAUCUCCUUACUUAUUUCUGCCUCUUCAUCAUGUGGUGUAAGAUAUAUGAUGAGAUGAAGUUUUUGGGAUUAGUGGUUGGGUUGCCUGAAAAACACAGAUUACAGAAACUGCUUGAAAUUAACCCGAUCAUGUUUUCUCUUGUAACUAUAUAGACUUCAACUUGUACUCAUAAUAAAGCAUGCUAUAUUUAUGAAGAGAUAUUAAUCUAUAUAUAUUUUUUAUAUAUGCUUUGGCUUUGUGGUUCUACCCAAUGUUUGAGUGUUGAAUUGUUACGUUGGAAUAGGCUGCUAAUGCAUGUAGUUAGAGAAGCCUUCAUUUAUAUCAAAGUCCUCAAACUAUCAAGAACUAAUGUAUCCAGAAACAUAUACCAAGACGCAAAACAACAUAUUUUCCAUGCUCUGUCUGUAACACCAAAGCAAACUUCCUUGAUCACAAAAGGAUCAAAUUCCAGUACUAAUCUAAUCCAUCAUGUAAAGCAUACAAGUGCCUCCCUAAAUACUAUACUCUUUUUGUUAUUUCCUACUAUACUAUUUAAGAUUUAAAAUUCAGGUCAACCCAUAGAUUUCUCGCCUUUUUCUUCUUCAUCUCGUCGGGCUUGUCUUCUUCUUGAGGAUUGUAUAGGCCAAGGAAAUGCUUUGAGUUAGUUUUUGCGCUUUUGCGUUUUGGGCCUUGGAAGUUGGGACCCAAACCAACUUCACAAAAAGAAAACGCUCAGACUAUAAUGAGUGGAAAGUUAUAAGGGGUAAGUUAUAAGGAGUUCACUUUAUAGCCAUCAGAUCAAUCUAAGGGCUGGGGAGAAUUGAGAUAAAGUUUUAAAAUCGGGUAGGUGAGGAACCCAAACCCGAAUUGAAUAUCCAGCACGUCCGAAAAAGAAGAAGAAGAGGCAAGCACGUCCGAAAAAGAAGAAGAAGAGGCAAGGUCGAAGUUUGAACAGAAAAAACUCAUCUCUUUAAAACCCAUAGCUCUGAGAAACGGUUGAAGGCAACGGUUAACGACGGUUGUUGAAGCCACUCCGUUCUCCAGACCCUGAAAAAGUAUUUAUUUUGAGUAGAAGGGGCAAAUGUGUGGAUUCCGAAACAGUGAAGGGGCGAAGCAGUGGAAGGGGAAGGAGAGAAGCCGUAUUCGUUGGAAGUGGUAGGUUCCAUUUGUGGAGCAAAGCAACACAAAGACCCCGCACAGACACCUUGCGAUUGUUCAAUAACCAGCAUUUGGUGAGUAAUUUAUGGAAUUUGAGUUUAGGGUUAGAGUAAUGGUUUUCCCCAAUUUGUACCAUCAAUUUUGUUGGAUUUGGCAUCUCUUCUUUGUGCUUCAGUUGCAUGUUAAUUUUUGCUUGGGUAUAUGUUAAAAAAAGAAUGAAAAUCAAGUCAAUAACAAGUGAAUAACAUGUCAAUAAUGAUAUGAAUAAGAUAAUGGUGUUGAAUUGGAGGAGGCCCUCAAAACAUUCCACAUUUGAAGCAGUGCAUAGUGCAGAUUAUCUCUCUGGCGCUAGAAUAUAUAUAUAUUUUGAAAUAAAUAUGAUUUCCUUUGUUACUAAAUUUGCCUGAGAAACAUGAGAACAGAUAAUAAUAAACUCAUGAAUAGAAGUGCAAAGCAUUUGAUGAGUAAUUUAUGGAAUUUGAGUUUAGGCCCAGGAAAUUCCUUGACCCCAAAAAAAAAAAAAAAGUUGAUUUAAAAUUCAGGUCAACCCAUAGAUUUCUCGCCUUUUUCUUCUUCAUCUCGUCGGGCUUGUCUUCUUCUUGAGGAUUGUAUAGGCCCAGGAAAUGCUUUGAGUUAAUUUUUGCAUUUUUGCGUUUUGGGCCUUGGAAGUUGGGACCCAACCCAACUUCACAAAAAGAAAACAGAUUUGCCAAAAAUCAAAUUUCAAGUCUCUCCUCCGAUCGAAAUUUGGAUUUGAUGAACUAAAGUGGUUUUACUUUCUCCAUCAGUGUUUGAUAACUUAAUUUGUUAUUUACUUUUUUUUUAAAAAACUUUGGCUUAUAUAUAUUAGUUUUCUUUUUUCCUUCAUAUUCACCACCUUUAUGUUGCAUAAGUAUUUCAGUCUUAAUGGGUUUCCAUCUACCACUCAUCUUUGCUCUUCUCAGUGUAAGCCUUUUUUUUUUUUUAAAGCACAAGAUUAGAGGGGAGGGGGAUUUCUCAAUGUAAGCUUUGCAGUUUCAUAAUUAAUAUUUCCAAUAUCUCACUGUUAGUAAAAUACAGAAAAAGUACUAAUAACAUAUGCACAUGUUACUAAUUUAUUGAGAUAAAACACCAUUUUGCCCCUAGAAUAUUUUAUUAGGUUUAAAGUUGACUUUUUGACCAGGAAGGAAUUUGGGUAUUUAGACUAUAUCGUUGCGUAGAGCAUGGCGAGAUGAGUCCGUAGACACAUGAUUGGCUCGAAUCAGAGUUAUAAUGAGAGAGAUACGAUCAAAAUACCCUCAGUGGUAUAACCGUAAUUUUGGCUUAAAGGGUUUGAUAAAAUAUAAUUUUUCUUUCUUUCUUUCUCUCUCUCUCUCUCUCUCUCUCUCUCUCCUCUCUCUCACGACGGCAGUGAUAGCCGGCCACUUUUUGGCCAGCCAUGCUCUCGUCCGGCCACUAAAGUUGACGGGGCCGGUACCAAAAUGACCGGGCCACCAUCCUUUUCCAACCCCAGCCAGGCCCCACUGCCAGCAGUCGUGAUUUUGCUGAAAAAUGGAGAAGAAGCGGCCGAUUUCGUUCGAACUUCUCCGACUUCGUUCUCUCUCCUCCGGCCACCGAUUUCGAUGAAUGAGGUAUGGUUUCUCACCUACUUUUUAUGCUCUAGCUGCCUGUUGGGUAGGAUUCGAUCAAUUCCUUGCGUAGGUAGCUUGAUUUUCGAAUUGGAUUUCGGCCGGUUUUGGGAUCUCGAUUCCGGCCACUUCCGGUCAGUUUUUGGGGUACAUCCCAAAACAAAAGUGGUUCUAAAUAGGGUGUUAUACCUAGGGUAGGAACCUUGAACCGUAAUUUUGAGAAUUUUCGGUGAUGCCUAAUCGCUUUGGACACCUACGCUAUGCCUGCGUGUGGGCACUAUAGAAAAAGGGCAUUGUGUCCCGAUGCAAUCCCCUUGUUGUCUUGAGCGCGUAGGUGUGCUCGGAUUUCAAUUUGGAUACCGUUUGAAUCUCGAACGAAUAUCGCAUAUUGUGCGUUAUUCGGGGUCGAUAGGUUUGAACUGUUGGAUAGUCUUAGAUUUAUAAUAUGUUAAUCUAGACAUUCUUAGGAUCGAAUGGGAUUAAACGGAUCGUAAAACGGAGUCCCGGAUACUCCAAAAAUGCCAACCCUAGGGCUAGGUUCCUAGUAACCGUCCGAUCGUGCGAUCGUGAGCGAUCCGACCGUUUGAUCCGAACCAAACUUGCAGGACGUGUAUCCUAAACCUUGUAGAACCCAUAGGAACUUUCGGAUUAGAAUUUGGAGGUCGUGGGCCCCUUGGGCCGUUUGACUAAGUUUGGGUAGUUUGACCCUUGGCUGAUCGUGAGUCUUCAGAGGUCUUGAGCGUUGUUGAGCUAUGUUGACUAGGUUUAGACUUUUAGAGUGUUUAUUAUUAUCAUAGGAAACUAUUAGAUAUUAUUUUAAUAAUUGAAAUUAUCAAAUUUAUGUUUAUGUGCAUGAUUGUUGGUCUAAAAAUAACAUUGUUUUCUUGAUAAAAUUACGUUGCAGUCUACUAUAGACUGGUAUCACUAAAUGGAGAUUACCUCUAUUAUUAGUUUAGAUAAUUAAGAGUAUGUCAGUUUGAAGUGCUAUAUGCACUACCCUAAGUACCACCCUGUGAUUGUUAGGUCCCAUGUGGUGUAGAUUAUACAGCGUCAGGACAGACCCCAUACGUGGCUUUGGAUGUUCUGGCGCAUGGGGGAGAUUAUGUAAUGGUUAGGUCAUACGUGGCGUAGGUUAUUCAGCGUGUUGACAGACCCUAUACGUGGCGUUGGAUGUUCCAGUAUGGAAAGAUUUUGUGAUUGUUAGGUCCCACGUGGCGUAGAUUAUCCGGCGUGAGGACAAACCCCAUUCGUGGCUUUGGAUGUUCCUGCGUAUGGGGGAGAUUAUGUGAUGGUUAGGUCACACGUGGCGUAGGUUAUUCGGCGUGUUGGCUAACCCCAUAAGUGCCGUUGGAUGUAACGACCGGUCCUAAAUAAAUUAGUGAAUAUUAAUUUAUUCAGAGAAAAUACCAUUUUGCCCAUAGAGUAUUUUAUUAGGUUCAAAGUUGACUUUUUGAUCAGAAAGGAAUUUGAGAAUUUCGAUUAUACCGUUGCAUAGAGCACGGCGAGAUGAGUCCGUAGACACGUGGUAUGCUCGAAUCGAAGUUGUAACGAGAGAGAUACGAUCAAAAUACCCUCAGUGGCAUAACCGUAAUUUUGGCAAAAAGGGUCGAUAAAAUCAUAUAUAUAUAUUUUCUCUCUCUCUCUCUCUCUCUCUCUCUCUCUCUCUGCGAUAUUGUCCCUCUCUCUCUUUGAUUCACUGCCAUCUGCCCACGGCAGGACUUGAGACUGGUCACGUUUGAACCGGCUCGAUGUCCCGAUCACGUCGCACCCAAAAUGCAAAUGGAAACCUUGAAUUCCAGCCACGGCUUCGACUGGUUUGAACUGGGUUUUUCCCGGCGUUGCGCCACCGCCUCCGCCGCCCAAUUCCGGUGAAACAGGUAUAAUUCCUCACCUAUUUUUCGAGAUCCAGCUGUUGUUGUGUAGGAAUUAGACGAUUUUCAUGUUUAGGAACUCGAUUUAGAAUUUAGGUUUUGGUCGAAUUUUCAAAGUGAAAUUUCGGCCACUUCCGCUGGUUUUUCGGGGUAUGUCUAAGAACAAAAGUGGUUCCAAAUAGGGUGUUAUACCUAGGGUAGGAACCUUGAGCUGUGAUUUUGAGAAUUUCCGGCGAUGCGUAUUCGCUUUGGACACCCACGCGCCGACAGCGCGUGGGCACUGUAGAAAAGGGGCAUUGUGUCUCAAUGCGAUCUGCUUGUUGUCUUGAGCUCGUAGGUAUGCUCGAAUUUCAAUUUGGAUACUGUUUGAGUCUCGAACGGAUAUCGCAUAGUGUACGUUAUCCGGGUUUGAUAGGUUUGAACCAUUGGAUAGUUUUGAAUUUGAUAUAUGUUAAUCUAGGCAUUUCUAGGAUCAUGUAGGAAUUCAGGGAUCAUGAAUCAGAGCCCCGGAUGUUCCGAUUUAAUAACUUAAAGUUUAUGUUUAUAAUAACUAUCAGAUCGUGCGAUCGUGAGCGAUCCGACUGUCUGAUCUGGACCAAACUUGCAGCACGUAUAUCCUAAACCUUGUGGAACAUAAAAAAAUUUCGGAUUAGAAUUUGGAGGUCGUGGGCCCCGUGGGCCCAUUUAACCAAUUAUGGGUAGUUUGAUCCUUGGUUGACCGUGAGUCUUCCGAGAUAGUUUUACCUUCCUAGGAGGAUUAUAAUGACCCUAGUGAUAGGUCUUGACCGUUGUUCAGCUAUGUUGACUAGGUUGAGACUUCUAGAGUGUUUAUUAUAUUAUUGUAGGAAACUCUUAGAUAUUAUUUUAAUAAUUGAAAUUAUGAAAUUUAUGUUUAUGUGCAUGAUCGUUGGUCUAAAAAUAAUAUUAUUUUCCUGAUAAAAUUACGUUGCAGUCUACUAUAGACUAGUAUCACUAAAGUGGGAAUACCUCUAUUAUUAGUUGAGAUAAUUGGGAGUAUGUCAGUUUGAAAUGUUAUACCCUAAGUACUACUCUAUGAUUGUCAGGUCACCCGUGGCGUAGGAUUUUCCGGUGAGAUGACAGACCCCAUACGUGGCGUUGGAAUUUCCAACGUAUGGAGAGAUUAUAUGAUUGUUAGGUUUCACGUGGCGUAGGAUUUUUCAGCGGGAUGACAAACCCCAUACGUGGCAUUGGAAGUUUCAGCGUAUGGGGAGAUGAUAUGAUUGUUAAGUCACACGUGGCGUAGGUUAUUUGGAGUGCUGACAGACCCCAUACGUGGCGUUGAAAUUUCUGGCGUAUGGAGAGAUGAUAUGAUUGUUAGGUCACUUUGGAUGUUCUAGCGUAUUGGGAGAUUAUGUGAUUACCAGUGAGAUGAAUAAAGGAUUGUUAUGUUAUAUUGGGAAAAACAUGUUUGUAGAAAGAAUUACGUGUGGCUUGAUCCCUCAGUAAGGGUACGUAGGCAGCCUAGGGUAGUGCCUUGGUGCAGUCGCUGACUAAACAUUAUAAUGUUGUUUUUAGGUUUGAUUAUAUGGUAUUAUGGGGCAAGGCCCCUAGGACUAUUGGUGAUAAUUCAUAGAUGGUAGUGGAUGCAUGCUAGAAAUUUGUAGGAAGUUAUUUCAUGUGGAUUGCAGUGGUACUCGUAAAAUUUAUUUGAGUUCCUUAAUUGCAUUGUUAAUAUAUUAAUUUACUUAAGAGUACUGCUAGUAGUUCUGCCUUGAUUUAUUUGAAGGCUGGAGGCCUUGUCUGGAAACUGUGUGCAAUUAGAUUGUGUGUGCUGGCAGUUGACUUUUUAAAUUGUGAAUUUUGUGCAGGUUGAAAUUUGGGAAAUGUUCAAUUUACAGGGGAGACUCUGCUGAAAUUUCGGUAGAAAGUCUUGUGCCCUUAUUCCUUUUUGGGGAAAAGGAUAUAGUUUUAGAAGUGGCGAUGUCGGGAAUUUCCACAGGAUUCGUCUCGGGUUUCGGGAAAUUCGGGGCGGGUCUGAAAAAGUUGUUUCAGUUUUGGCAAGUAUCGGAAAAGACCAAAAUUUUCCGACUUUAUUAUUACUAGAAACAAGGUCGAAGUAUUUACCAAUCAUGUGGCCUUCCAAGUGCUCUAGGUUAAGCCAGGAACCGUUCCUAUCUGCCGUUUCCUUCCCAACUAUGAUCAUGUUGUCUGGGUUCCAACCCACAAAUCUACAUUGGGCUACGUAUUUGAAUUUGUACUAAAGCGUGAUCUAUAGUAUGCAUAUAUUGGAUAAGUUUGAGAUCAGUGGCUUGGGUGUCCGCUGAGCUUGAACAAGUUUGGGUGUGCUGAGUGUUUCCAUGGGUGUGUUGAUGAUCAUGGUUAUUAGAUUUGUGAUAGUUUGGGCUCAAUUUCAACAGAACUCAUCUCAAGCCUAGAUAGUUGAUUCUUAAGUUUAUCAGGAAAAAAAAUUAAAAAUUAAAAAAUCUAAAGUUAAGCCCAAGGCGCCGAACUUGGACUUCUCACCAAACUGUGCAUAAAUUGAAAUAUUUAAUAGAAGCCCAAGAUUUUUGAAGCACAUAAUAUCUACAAAAAUCUACAAAGUGUAAUACUUUACAAACUUCUUAUGUGUACCAAUUUCUGCUCAAAUUAAUUUCUCUGUGGUGCUGAGAUUCAUCAUAAUUUUAGUAGAAAUUGGAAGUUUUCAUCAUUUUUGCUUUAAGUCUCUCCUCCACUCACUAAUAAAGAUUACUCAAGUGAGUUUACAAAACAUUUUUUUUCUACUCUCUCCUGAAGACUACACAUCUUCUCAAAAGAUUAGAUCACUUCACAUCUUGUAUAUGUGAAAACUAAUGCAAAAAGUUGAAACUUUAUCAUAAAACCUCGACAAAAAUUAGCUCUACUUAGAACAUUAAAUUUGGAUUCGUUGAUUUAAAUGGCAAUUUGACACUUCAUAGAAAUUUUUACAUACAUGUGUUAGUGUUUGAUCACUUCACUUAUUACUUACUAUAUUUAUUCCAUGAUUCUCCCUCAAGUUAUGUAAAUAUUAUUAUCAAACAUUUCAAUUCAUUUGUGAUAUUUCUUGUCCAUCUUUCAAUGUACCCUGAAAUCCAUUAGCCACAUAUGAUGACCAAAAUCCACACUCUGUUGUUUGCAAACGUUCAAUAUACGACUUGCAUCCACAGUCCUGACCCAAAUGAAAUGCGGAAACUGUCAAGCUAACUGUAGGGAGGACUAUAUUUGAUUUUACCUUAAAGACUGAUCCGAAACCACCUUCUCCAAGUUUAUUGUUGUUUGAAUAGUUUUUGGUUGCACAAACAACAGCGGCCAAGUCAAAUAAUGGCAAUUCCAGAUCUUCCUUUUGGCCGGGCUUCAGUUCUCCUGUGAAGUACGUAGUGAAGUAAAUAAUGUAGCAUGGAACCUUAGCUUAGAAACCAGAGAGGCAACAGCAAAAAUUUUCUAUAGAACUGAACCUACCUAUCUUAGAAAAUGAAGGGGCAGAAGAGUAGAAAAUCAAAUAGCUUACCAUAUUUUUGUUGCUGGUUCUUCCUCACAUAUAAUAGCAGGGUAAGGCCCAGGGUCAGCAGUCCAGUAGACAACACAGUACUGGUUACUAUGAUCUUUGUAUUGUGUCCUUGAUCUAGGAAUGAAGUAUUUGAAAGCAGAAGAUUGAGGAGUCAGAAAUUCAUAAAGAAAAAAUCUCUACUUUUUAUCAUCCAACGAACAAUUAAUGCUAGUUUCUGAGACAGUUCUAAAGAAAUAUUUUUCUAACAAUGUCAAAAGUUUUCUGGCUCUAUCUUGUUUCUAAUCAUGUCACUGUUGGAAGAUUUCUUUCUUCUUUUUUCCUUGGUGGCUUUUAUUUUUCUUUCAAACUUUGUUUUAAACAGCAAGAUGAUUCCAUACCUAGUUCUGACGAAGCCAUUCUUAUGUAAAUAUCUUGCCCAUUUAUAUUGGAAUAUCUUAUAUCAACCAGAUCGCUGAACCACAGCAAGGACCCCCUUCCUCCAUCUCGGAUAUCCAAAUUUGAAAAAGCGGCGCAGGAGCAGUUGUUCAUGCACAUCAUCUCACAUUCCUUGAGGUUCAUAAUUGUGUUAUACUAGGAUUGUUCUGUACUUUAUUUCACCCCAGUGUACUUCUUAAAGAUGUCUCCACUGCAAUUCAGUUGGCUCUUUCUCACAGAUCUAUAUGACCAAUCCACCAAGUCCCAGUCUUGUUGAAAGUCGGUAUAAAUCCUUUCAAGCAGCUACGUACUGGGGACUUGUCAAUACAACAUGCACCAUUCGGACCACAUAUUCCAUAUUUGUCGCAGAUAUCAGUCGUUGCUCUUAGAUAAACAACCCAACCUUGGUUUCCAUCACUCCCGAUGUAGCUCAGCCCAAAUCCAUCUUGAGUUAACGCCAGCCUGAAAAGAGUUGAGCUGUUGAGAAGCUUAUAACCAUAAUAUACUUCAUCAUCAUUAUCCAACACAAAAUCAUAUGUUGGAUUUAAAUUAUGCAUCCCACUAAAUUGGAUUCCAUUCCAUGGUGCAGUCCGAUAUUUUAUAACAGAACCCUCCCUCAGAAUUAAUUCAUGGUACCCAUAAGGACCAAGUUGAUAUGGGUAAUGUCCUUGAGAAGGAUCCUGGGGGCUUUUCCAGGGUGUAAGAUGCCAAUUAAAACCUGUGAUUUUGUUCCUAACAAGCUUCAUACCUGGUAUUAAUGUAUCUCCUGGGUAAUCAAAACUCUGCCAUAAAAUAUUAUCAGAGUCAUUACGACCAUUGCCAUCUAUCACAACAAGAUUUCCGGAAUCCAAAAUCUGUGCCACUGGAUUCUAUGAAGAACUUGAUGUGUUGGAAGACCUGUAGUGUUCUUUGUUGAAUAUUUGGAUUGCAAAGGGAGCAAGAAAUGUACUGAGAGAGAAAGAGAGAGAGAGAGAGAGAGAGAGAGAGAGAGAGAGAGCAGUGAGCCUUAGAUUGUUCUAACAGUUUUCUUACUCUGCAUGAACAUAGCAGCAGAGCUUAUAUUCCUUCAUGACUGUUACAUGUUCUCUCUUACAUCAGUAGAUUCAAAUCUAACGGUUUGUAAUAGUAAGCCAAUGUGAGUAUGACACAUGGCAAUACACAGCUGUCCUAACAGCUGGGAAUUCAAAACAGACUCUAGCAUUGCACCUGGCAUAUAAGCACAAGGCACUCAGCUAACACAAAGAUUAAAAACAGAUUGAAUAUAAACUGACAUAGAACUUACUAACUAAUCUGAAAUUAGCUAGACAGUUUACAUUUUAACACUCCCUUCUAAAGUGCUAGCUGAUUUCACUCCAAGCAUUCUCCUCAAAUAGUCAAACCUGUCUUUGGGAAGAGCUUUGGUGAAGAUAUCAGCAAUCUGCUCUUCUCCUUUGCAGUAGAGCAGUUCAAUCACUUCUUCUUGUAUUGCAUCUCUAAUAAAAUGAAACUUCCUUUUAAUAUGCUUGCUCCGUUGAUGAAAAACAGGAUUUUUAGCCAUUGCUAUGGCUGAAGUGUUGUCACAAAACACAGUUGUUGCAGUGGUCUGUUCUUCCCCAAAAUCUUCAAGAACAAACCUGAGCCAAAUGGCUUGUGAUGUAGCUUCUGCUGCACUCACAUACUCUGCCUCUGCAGUAGAGAGAGCCACACUGUGUUGUUUGACUGAUGCCCAUGAAAAAGCACCACUUCCAAAUGAAAAUGCAUAUCCAGAAGUGCUUUUCAUAUCUUCCUCAGAUCCACUCCAGUCACUGUCACAGUAACCAACUAAGAGUGCAGAUUUUCCUGUCACAUACUCAAUUCCAUAGUCAAUUGUGCCUUGUAUGUACCUUAGAACCCUUUUAGCUGCCCCAUAGUGCAUCUUAGAAGGGUUAUGCAUGAAUCUUGCAAGCAGGCAGGCAGAGAACAUGAUAUCUGGCCUGGUUGCAGUAAGGUACAGCAGGCUGCCUACAAUUUUUCUGAACAAACUUUCAUCUGCAGCAUCACUUCCAUCCUCUCUUUUCAAUUUAUCAGUAGCCACUAAUGGAGUGCUUACUGACUUGCAGUCUUUGAGUCCAAACUUAUCCAAGAGAGUGAGAGCAUACUUCUUUUGAUGAAUGAAGAUGCUCCCUUCAGUUUGUGUUACUCCCAUACCAAGAAAAUGGUGGAGUAAACCCAAAUCAGACAUCUCAUACUUGCACAUCAUUUCAGCUUUGAAUUCUUUCAUCAUUUCAUCUCUACUUCCUGUGUACACUACGUCAUCUACAUAGAUUGACACUAUUAGUGUUCCCACCUUCCUUUGUUCUCACAUAGAGAGUGGCUUCACUUGGACUUCUGUGAAAACCACACUGAUUCGAGUAGGUGUCAAUUUCACUAUACCAGGCCCUUGGAGCCUGCUUCAACCCAUAGAGGGCUUUUCUUAACCUAUACACCUUAUCCUCAUCAUCUUUAACCACAAAACCAUCCGGUUGAUCAAUAUAAACUUCUUCUUCAAGGACACCAUUUAGGAAGGCUGACUUGACAUCCAAUUGCCAUAGUUUCCAGCCUUUCUGAGCAGCAAGAGCUAUGAGAGUUCUAAUGGUGUCUAACCUUGCUACAGGAGCAAAGGUUUCAUUGAAAUCAAUCCCUGGUUUUUGUGUGUAUCCCUUGGCAACAAGUCUUGCUUUAUGUUUUUGAAUGGAGCCAUCAAGAUUAAGCUUAAUUUUGAAUAUCCACUUCACUCCCACAAUUGGUUUACUACUUGGCCUGUCAACCAAUUCCCAACUGGAGUUUUUCUCUAUCAUAAGUAUCUCCUCAGUCAUAGCCUUCCCCCAAGCUUCAUCUUUGACUGCUUCUUCAAAAUUUUCAGGUUCAAUGAUGCUCAUCUUGCAUUGAGCAUACACUUCACUCAAACUCUUCCAUUUCUUUGGGGUGUUAUCAUAAGUUUCUAAUGGAGCAGAGUCUUGAGUAGCAUGCACAUCAUUACUUGUUUGUGUUUCCAUAGGAGACUGUACAAUCUGUUGCUGUAACAGAUUUGGUUAUGAAUCCAAAUCUGAUACAAUUGAACUUACUCCAUCACCCCAAGACAUAGGGAUUUGCAAUGCCUCAUUGGUUUCCCAAUUCCACAUUGCUUCUUCAUCAAAAAUAACACUCCUAGACAGCUCAAUCUUUUGAGUUCUCAAGUUGAGCACUCUAUACCCCUUUUCACAUACACCAUAUCUUACAAAUACUCCCUUCUCACCUGUGUCUUCCAGCUUGUGCCUUUUCUGUGUGGGGAUGUGAAUAUAGCAUAGAGAACCAAAUAUUCUCAAAUGCUUGACACCUGGUUUUCUUCCACCGAACUUUUCAAAUGGAGUGGAAUUGUCCAGUGCACUUGUAGGACAUCUGUUCUGCAAAUAUACAGCUGUAUUGACAGCUUCUGCCCAAAACUUCAAAGGGAUUUUCUUCUCAUACAUCAUGGCUCUUGCCAUUUCCAUCACAGUACGAUUCUUUCUCUCUGUAACUCCAUUCUGUUGUGGAGAGUAGCCUACUGNNNNNNNNNNNNNNNNNNNNNNNNNNNNNNNNNNNNNNNNNNNNNNNNNNNNNNNNNNNNNNNNNNNNNNNNNNNNNNNNNNNNNNNNNNNNNNNNNNNNNNNNNNNNNNNNNNNNNNNNNNNNNNNNNNNNNNNNNNNNNNNNNNNNNNNNNNNNNNNNNNNNNNNNNNNNNNNNNNNNNNNNNNNGGUGUGGUCAUCAAUGAAGGUGAGGAAAUAUCUGUUCCCUCCAAGAGUGAUGGUCUGCAUUGGACCACAAAUGUCUGAGUGAAUCAGUUCUAGAGGUUGAGUGGCUCUCCAAGCUCCUUCCUUAUCAAAAGAGCUUCUGUGAUUCUUGCUUUCAGCACAACCUGAGCAGACCUUCUCAUGUUCUUGUAAAUUAGGCAUUCCCUGAACCAUAUCUCUCUCUUGUAACAACUUCAAACUAAUAUAGUUUAGGUGCCCAAAUCUUCUGUGCCACAGCCAGGAUGUUUCUCCAACUGUUGCUCUGUUUGCCAUAGGAGGAUUAACAUAGUCAAGAUUUAAAGGAAAACAUUUGUUUCCCUUCAUUGGCACUCUUGCAAUGCAAUCUUCCAACUGCCUAUCUCCAUAGAUAUCAACUGCAUUAUCACCAAAUACAAGCCAAUGCCCAUGUUCUAUCAUUUGACCUACACUUAGCAAAUUUUCAUCUAAACUUGGUACAAUCAUGAUUUCUUUGAUAUAUCUAGUCACACCCUUCAUUUCUAUAGCCAAAGUCCCUUUGCCUAUUAACUGCACUAGAUCACCAGUCCCCAUUUUGACUUUACUCUUCAUACUUUUAUCAACAUUUACAAGUAAUGACUCAUGGGAAGUCAUGUGAUUGCUGCAUGCACUAUCAACAUACCACAUAUUCACAUUCUUUCCAAUUGUUGCAGCAUGACAUGCAUAGAACAUAAUGGCAGGUUCAGUUACCUGAUUUGCAAUGUUAGCAAGUUUCCCUGCCUUGUUUGCUUGGUCACAGUCCUUAACAAAAUGACCAAAUCGAUUGCAGCCAUGACACUUUGGUUUUCCUUUAAACCAACACUCACCAUAGUGUAACUUCUCACAAUGUUUGCAUUUUCCAGAUUUGUCUCCUUGACUUGGUUUUCCCCCUUGAUUGGCACUGUUUUGGGGUUUAGAAUCCCAUUUCUUAUCCUUGGACUUCCAAUUCUUCUUUGAUUUAUUAGAGCCAGAACUAGAACUUGAUUGAGAUCCUUUUGAGUUUAUGCUCAUGCUGCUGAAAGCUUUCUCAGUGGUGCUUUCUGCAUGUCUGUCAAGGCGCUGAGCAAAACCUCUUAAUGCUGCAAUUACCUCCUGCACUUCAAUGGUUUCAAUGUCUCUAGUUUGCUCAAUCACAUAGCAGACUGGAUCAAAUUCCUUGGUUAAGCUUAUUAGCAGUUUUUGAACUAUCCUCCCUUUGGUCAGAUCUUCCCCAUAUCCCUUCAUCUGAUUUACAAGCUCAAGUAACCGAGUGAUGUAUCCAGACAAGAUCUCAUCAUCCUUCAUCCUGGUGUACUCAAAAUCUCGACGCAGACCCUGCAACAUGAUGGAUCUGACUUGCUUAUCACCAUGAAACUCCUGAUGCAAGAUAUCCCAAACACCUUUUGAGGUUUCUUCAUUUGAGAUUCUGGGAAAGAUGUCAUCUGAAACAGCACCUUGGAUAAUACCAAGAGCCUUAGCAUCUUUCAUCAACAAGGACACCAUCUCUGAAUCUGAUGACCCUUCUUUAUCAGCUUUUGAAUCUGGAACUUGAAGGCCUUUCUCAACCAAAUUCCAGAUUCCAUGAGAUUUGAAAAUUGUUCUCAUUCGAAUCUUCCAAAACUCAUAGUUCUCCCCAUUGAAUAUUGGAGCUCUAAGAUCACUCCCUCCUGACCCAGCCAUCUGAGACCAGACUCAAUGAGUUGAGAGUAGGAAAUUUCCCGUUGGAUUUCCAGACUCAGCUCCCACAGCUUCAACGCCCUCUAUCCAGAUCCAACCUGCGCACCUGAUACCAUGUUGAAUAUUUGGAUUGCAAAGGGAGCAAGAAAUGUACUGAGAGAGAGAGAGAGAGAGAGAGAGAGAGAGAGAGAGCAGUGAGCCUUAGAUUGUUCUAACAGUUUUCUUACUCUGCAUGAACAUAGCAGCAGAGCUUAUAUUCCUUCAUGACUGUUACAUGUUCUCUCUUACAUCAGUAGAUUCAAAUCUAACGGUUUGUAAUAGUAAGCCAAUGUGAGUAUGACACAUGGCAAUACACAGCUGUCCUAACAGCUGGGAAUUCAAAACAGACUCUAGCAUUGCACCUGGCAUAUAAGCACAAGGCACUCAGCUAACACAAAGAUUAAAAACAGAUUGAAUAUAAACUGACAUAGAACUUACUAACUAAUCUGAAAUUAGCUAGACAGUUCACAUUUUAACAUUCUUAUGGUCGGCAGGGACAAGAAUUCCAGGGCUGCUCAACUUGAAUACACCUGAUGAACCAGUGAGGGGUGUGUUUCUUUUAGUCUGCACUAUAUAUGCAGGGUCUGACUCUAAUUAGAAGAUAAUUGUAUUAAUUUGGUAAAGCUUUGUCUGUAACUGUCUCGCACCUUAAAAAAAUUUCACAAUUAGCAGCAUUGGCAAUACUUGAUUAGAAAGCAGAAACCCUACAGUAUAUAGUUAAGUUGAGUAGCUGGGAAGACAAUUAGUAAGCUUUCAAUACUAAAGUUGAAUAUUGGGGAGACAAAUUACUAGAGCUUCAAGUUCAGAUAAAUAGGAUGAAUUUCUCUUAAGGGAUCCCCUUUCACUGUAGCUUGGAGUAGAAUUCAUUUUGACACAAUAUCAAUUAUCAAUGUAAACACGUUACUGAUGCACUAUUGACAAUAUCGAUGCACGUCAUAUCAUAUUUGUGGGAGUAAAUUUCCUCACGAGAAUAUUUGGUUCAAAAGAUUCCCCUUUUUUUUUUUUUUGCCGCCUCUUUCUCCUUGCAAAAUAGAACAAAUAAGAGGACCACACCCGGGGGGUGUUGGCCAAAGGCCCUCCGAUGCUAAAUUAGUUCAAGUAUUUGUAAGAAAAAUACUAGCUAACUAGGGUACAGAGGUGUAUUUAAGGUGUAAACCGGGCAGCCGAAGUCUUAUGUAAAAGAGAGAGAGAAAGGAGGUGGCUAGCGUUUGAGAGGAAUUUUCUGCAGAGUUUUUAGUAGAGAUUUCAGACGUACCUCAACCAUUGUGUGUGGCCAUCUUUUUAUAGUGGUCUUGGAGGCUAGGGUUUCAGAGGAAUAAUUCCGUAGAUGGAAAGGAAUUAUUCCUCCCCUAUUUGGAAUUGAUUUGAUUAAUUAGGGAUUUGAUUUAUUAGGGUAAAUCAAAUCCCUAAUUGUGGUAGGUAUCAAAUCAAAUCCUUUUUUAAUUAGGUAACUCCUCAUUUAAUUGGGAAUUGUGGUAGGAAUCAAAUCAAUUCUCAACCUAAUUAGGUAACGUUCAAUUUAAUUGGGUAAUUCCCAAUUAAAUUGAGUAACUCCCAAUUAGGUUGAUUAAUUCCCAAUUAGAUCAAAUAAUCCCCUAAUUGAAGGAAUUAUUUGACCUAGGGUCUGAUUUAAUUCGAUUCCCACAAAUGCCCCCCAGCUUCUGCAUGGUGCAUGGUGGCACGUAGGAGAUGUAAAUUAUCUGUUGGGCUGUCCAGCUGUAACUGGGCUUCCUUCGUGGACCUGGGCUCCCGAGUAGAGGAGGUGUUUGACUUGCCAAUUUUAUGAACACCCAAUUGGAAAGGGUUUGAGAUUCCUUGUAGGUCAAGGAAUUUUGCUCCUUAUAAAUGUAGGGCUCCUCCAAAUUAUUCUCGACAUCAGAAAUCUACUCCUCCAAAUUUGUUAGUGAGAGAGAGAAGACUUUGGAGAAUUUUUCAGCGUGCUUGAGACUUCAUCUUUGCAGCCCAUCCAAGGUAAUUUGAUAGGAAGAAUUUUAUUUUGAGUUGCUAUGACUUUUGGCAGCAAGCUGUGAGACUAAGGGCAUGUCUUGAGGUGCGCGCUAGGGCUUUAGGCAUGGCAAGAGACUCGGAAAGGCUAGCAGGUUCGUUUCCACCUACGCUGGGCUCAAGGAGAAGGCAACAGGGCUUCAGGCCUUGUGGAUGAAGUGGGCUUUCGCUGGGAGCAAGAGGCCUGGAGCUGAGGCAAGGAGACAAUGGGCCUGGUACGAGGUGUGGGCUGAGCAUGCCAGCUUUGGAGCAAGGGGGCCAGGACGACUGCUGGGCAGGAGGUGCGCUGGGCUGCAUGCGCGAGCUGCGCCGAGUGCUGGCUGGAGGAGCGAGCUGGGCUGCGCGCUAGGCCAUUCAUGCUGGGCUACUUCCGUUUUUUUUUUGUUUUUUUUUAAAUUUUAUUUGCUGUUGCUGCUUUUUUUUUUGUUUUUUUGUUUUUUUUUUGUUUGGUAUUCUAACUCGUAAUUUUUUUUUUCUUCUUACAGCUACUUGUUGAUCAACCAUGUCUUCCGGAGAUGGUAGCAAGGCUCCAAGCUCUUAGGUCCUUUUGUAUUUAUGGGGAGGCUCCAUAGUGCAUGGCAAGAAGUUUGUGGUCAACUUGCAUCGCGUCACGACUUAUGCUCAGUUCCAGAAGUGGCGGGCCACUUAUGCGUCUGCCAUUCCAGAUGACGUGCUGGUCAAGCUAUUGAAAUCUCAAACUGAUAACGAGCCUUUGGUGGACGUGAGUGAUCAUGAUGCUAGGAUCAUUACCUUCCGUCCUUUUUACUUCUCUUUAGGCUUCAAAUUCCCGUUGUCAAAGCUCUUCAAGAAGGUGUUCUGUGCCAUGGGGUGUGCUCCGAGCCACUGUACUCAUGUGCUUCAAGAAUUUGAGUCGUUUCUUCAUGUUGGAGCUGACGAUGCGAGAGUUCUUUUAUUUUUUUCGAAGUGAGGCACUUUGAGCGGUACGCCCAAGUUCGUAUCUACAAGGCCAAGCUGUUCCACGGUCUCAGUCAAGGAGAUCACGCUUGACAUGAAGAUGUGUUGGAGGUCAGCAGACGGUGGGAGGGUGACGUCGGUGACGGCCCACCUGUUCCCAUCACCUAUUGUGAUGGUAUGUCUCUUUACGAUUUUUGAUAUGCUCCUUUUAUUUGAAUUUCUUGAAGUGUGGCAGACUAACUUCUAUCUUCUGCUCGUAGUGAGUGACAUUAGCAAGCAAUUGGAGCUCCGACCAGACAUGGCUAAGGUCCGUCGUGCUUUGAACAUCCCUCUAAGGUUUCACGAGUGGCGCUGGCUGUUGAGUGAGUACCGGGAGGAAGACGGUGGUUUUCUCCUUGCCGAGGAUGUCGAAAGGUGGAAGCAGAACGAUCCUGACCCUGAUGAUCUGCUUGGCAGACAGGAAGAAUGUUCUGCUUAAUCGCUCUUAAAGAGAAAGGCUGCUGCCAAAUCUUUGAGAUGUGAAGCUACUUCUUCGCAUGCAAAGGAUGGGUCUCCAUCGAGGAAGAAACCAAGGCUCCCUUCUGCUGAGAAGACUCAAGUGGGGUCUGCUCCCUCAUCAUCUGCCAGGGUUAAGCAUCUCGUGGGUGCAGAUAGCAAGAAGGUUGGUGGUAUGCAUGGUACUCGGGGUGUUCUGCCCAAGCUUCCUGCUGACACGCUCGAAAACCAUGAUAUACUUCGUGAAGUGGCUCGUGCCCAACCUAGUUCUGCCAAGCGUCAAAGAGAUGUAGACAUUCCUCCUAGAAGUUCGAGUUGUCUGCAUCGGUCAAAAGAUGGAGACCGAAGCGGGAGGUCUGCUUAUGAUCCAGCAUUAUUGACUCAUUUGGAGAUGAGGUUGGCGAAGGCUAAGAAGGUGAAAGAGUCAUCUGCCCGGGUUAAGGGUUCUUCCUCGGCGUUGGUAGUUGGUCCCAAGAUGAACAAGUCUAGCUCUGUAGGGGAUGCAUGCGUAUCUGAUCUGCUCAAGAUGAACUUCCUAUCAAACCCGUCCUCUUGUGUUGAGUUGGUUGAUCACAUCCCUCAAGCGGGCGAUCUAGGCACUUUCUCGUGCCUUUCCUUAGAAAAAUGAAGGAAAAUGACAUUCCAUCUGAUUCAAAAAGGACUGGUUUUUGCUACUGAGACUAUUUGGAACUCAUCUGCUAUUGCCCCUCUUCUGUCCAACUCAGCGAGUUGGAGAAGAAGAAUGCUGAUUGGCUAGACAGCUUUCCGCCGAGCAGGCCCGUUACGAGAAGAAGAUGUCUGAUUUGAGGGCGAUGAUAUCUGAGCUGAAAAGCUCCCUUACCGAGAAGGAUUUCGAGCUCAACUCUUCUGCUGCUGAUUUGGCUAGUCGAAAAGAUACCUUCUUUCGUCUUGAGCAUAAGAAUGCUGACAUCUUCCUUAGCUAUAACAAACUCCUGGCUAGAUUUCAUGCCUACCAUAAGUCUGCUAAAGAAUCCAAGACAGAUGGAGCUGCUGAAGGCGUAGCCGGUCAGGUGGAUGCCGAAGAGGCUGCAGCUUAAAAGUCUUCUGCUGGCGUCUCAGAGUAGAUGAAGACUCUUUUUUGUUUCUUUUCAGCUUUUGUAGUUUGCUUUAUUGUUUAGAAUAACUGGUCUUAUUUGACCAUCUUCUUUUUGUUGAACUUGGCUGGUUGGUCUGUUUGUUAGGGAAAUUUCAGUUACAUUUUCCAACUUCAAUUUGCAUAUUUGACUUGUGAACUGCUUAAGUAACCAGCCUGUGUUUUGAUUGCACAUCCCCCUUUAGAGAUUUGUGAGUACCAGGGUCCCCCUUGGAGGACUCCGGCCAUGCACAGUAUAUCUCGUAGGAUGGUUCCCCUUAGGAAGUUGGCGAGUACCAGGGUCCUCUUUGAGAGACUCCGGGUGUGUUCUGCACAUCCCGUAUGAUGCCUUAAUCGUCGCCUUGCUUCUCCCGUAGGACGCUGCUUAUAGGCAACUAUAUGACUAUCCUGCCUUUCUUAGGAAACGGAUAGGAACCUGGAUAUUUCCCGCAUGAAGCAUGGAGACCUCCUUUUAAGAAAUUUUUGGUGCACCAUGCUUCUCCCUUAGGACGCUUUUUUCGCAGGCUGGGUCUCCAAAUGGACGCUUUUAGUCGUUGCCCUGCGUCUCCCUUAGGACGCUCCUUAUGGGCAACUGUGUGACUAUCCUGCCUCCCUUAGGAAAUGGAUAAGACUUGAAUAUUUCCCGCAGUAAGCAUGGCGACCCCCUUUUAAGAAACUCCUGGCGUACCCUGCAUCUCCCUUAGGAUGCUUUUUAAGAGGGCUGCUUCUCCAAACGGACGCUUUUAGUCGUUGCCUAUGUCUCCCCUAGGAUGCUCCUUAUGGGCAACUGUGUGACUAUCCUGCCUCCCUUAGGAAACAGAUAGGAAACUAGAUAUCUCCCUUAGGAAAUUCCUAGCGCACCUUGCGUCUCCCGAAGGACGCUUUUUUAGCUGGCUACGUCCCGAAACGGACACUUUUAGUCGUCGCCCUGCGUCUCCCUUAGAAUGCGCCUUAUAGGCAACUGUGUGACUAUCCUGCCUCCCUUAGGAAACGGAUAGGAACCUGGAUAUCUCUCUUAGGAAAUUCCUGGGGCACCUUGCGUCUCCCGAAGGACGCUGCUUAUGGGAAAAUAUUGUGUUUCGUGGGCAGAUGAGACAUUUUGGAAUGAGAAACUGAACUUAUAUUGAUAUUCAUAAGAUUACAGUCCUUUAUUUGAAAAUGGAAAUAACUUGGUUCAAAAACUUAGAACUUCUAGCAGCUACGAGGAAGCACUAUGGAUAAUACUUUCGGAGAUGGUGAGCAUUCCAUUGUCGUGGUAUUUCCUUCCUAUCCAUGGUGUCCAGUGUGUUGCUUCCUCUGCCCCGGACCUGCUGAUCACAUAAACGCCCUCCCAGUUAGGAUUCACUUUUUUUGACCCGUGUCUUGGUGCAGUAAUGAAAGCCUUAGCACGAGGUCGCCUGGUUGAAACUGUUUGACCUUAGCUCUUUUGUCGUAGUAAGACUUCAACUGCUAGUGAUAGGAGGCGACCCGAAUAAUGGUCUUCUCACGCCUGCCCUCAAGUAAGUUGAGGUUGAGCCUCAUCUGCUCGGAGUUCUGAUCAACACUGCCUACCUUAAGACUUAUAGAGAGGACAGUGAUGUGAGGUGGUAUGAUCACUUCUGUUCCAUAGGCGAGAGAGAAUGGGGUUUCACCAGUCGAUCUUCGCUUGGUGGUGUGAUAAACCCAUGGUACUCUGGGGAGUUCAUCCACUCAUUUCCCUUCAGCGCCUUCCAGCCUUUUCUUUAAGCAGUCCAAUAUGACUUUGUUGGAUGCCUUGGCUUGUCCAUUUCCUUGUGGAUACCUCGGGGUGGACAAGUGUUGUUUGAUCUUGUAUUUCACAAAAAAAGCGGUGAUCUGCUUGCCAAUGAACUGUGAGCCAUUGUCGGUAACCAACGACUGUGGGCAGCCAAACCGGCAUAUGAUGUUUCUCCAGAUGAAUCACUCCACAUCGGCUUCUUUAGUAAAUGAUAGAGCUUCGGCCUCGAUUCAUUUAGUAAAGUAGUCGGUGGGGACGAUCAUCAUUUCUUUCUUGGCGGGCGCUAGUGGCAAGGGAUCCACUAGGUCGAUGGCCCAUUGCAUGAACAGCCAUGGACUGUUUUGCGGAUGAUAGACUUCGGCAGGCAAGUUAGGGAUCGGCUUGUAUUGCUGACAGCGUCACAUUUCUUGGCACAUUCAGCACAGUCGUGACGUAUGGUAGGCCAGAAGUAGCCUAUGUUUAGAACUUUCUGGGCGAGUGACCUGCCCCAGAAUGGUUGCCAUACUCGUCGUCGUGAAUUUUACAGAUAAUCUCAAGUGUUUGAUGGUACUUUAUGCAGGUGAGAUGAAGGCCGGAGUAUGAUCUGUGGAUGAGCUUGUUGCCGUGCAUGUAGUAUCUCUCGGCCUUUUGCUGGACUUUUCUAGCUUCGGACUUGUCCGUUGGCAGGUUUCCAUUCGUGAAAUAGUCGAUGAUGAGGUCUUGCUAGCUGGGGUCCUCGUCAAUCUGCAUGGUAUUAAUCGGCUCUAUUUCUUCAAUGCUUGGUCGGUCAAGGUGUUCGACCUAGAUGGAGUGUUUGAACUGGGUAUCCAGCGUUGAACCUUGGCUUGCCAGUGCGUCUGCAUGCGCGUUCUUUGCCCGGGACACUUGUUGGAUAGUGAAGGUAGGAAAUGCCUUCAACAGCUCUUGGACUCUAUCAAGGUAUAAGAUCAUCCUUGGGUGCUUUGCCAUAUAUUCACCUGAGGCUUGAUUCGUGAUCAACUGUGAGUUUGAGUAGAUGGCUAGCUUUUUGAUUGCGAGCUCCUUUGCCAAGCGUAAGUCGGCGAGUAAUGCCUCGUAUUCUACCUCGUUGUUCGAGACCGAGAAGCCAAGCGUAAUAGCUUGCUCUAACAGGGUUCUAUCCAGGGUGGUGAUAACGACCCCUGCUCCAGCUCCUUUUUGGUUCGACGCUCCGUCUACACGCAACUGCCACAUGUCUCUGGGAUGGCUUGGUUCUGCGGAGGUCCUGUCUGCUUUUGAACUUCCCUCCUUUUGGUUGACUAACUUCUCUUUUUUGGCUGAUGGGGUGAAUUCUGCGACGAAGUAUGCUAAAGCCUGGGCUUUUAUUGCAGUUUUUGGCCCGUAGAGGAGGUCAUAUUGGCUUAGCUCUAUAGCCCACUUCAUGAGUCGCUGAGAAGCAUCAGGGCUGUGGAGGAUUGAUCUCAAAAGAAAGUCAGUCAUGACUAUGACUCGAUGAGCUUAGUAGUAGGGUCGCAGCUUUCUCGCAGAAACUACAAGAGCCAAAAUAAGUUUCUCCAAUUUCGGGUAACGAGUCUCUGCAUCGAGGAGAGCUUUUGACGUGUAGAAUACCGGAUAUUGGGCCCCUAUCUCUUCUCGGAUGAGAGCUGAACUGACAGCUGAGUUGGACUUACCUCACUAGGGACUGGAUUUGAGAGCAUGGAAGGUGAGGUGAGGUAAGUCUUCAGAUUAUGGAAAGCUACUUUGCAGUCCUCAUCCCAUUUCUCUCUUUGUCCUUUCUUCAAAGCUUUGAAGAGUGGUCUGCACUUGUCGGUUGAUCUCGAGAGGAAUCGGUUGAGAACCGCUGCUUUGUCCGUCAGACUUUAUAUCUCUUUCACCGUGGAAGGCGACUUCAUCUCUAGAAUGGCUUUGAUUUGACGUGGAUGUGCCUCGACACCUCGUUGCGUGGCUAGGUAUCCCAAGAAUCGGCCGGAGGAUACACCAAACAGGCAUUUACUUGGAUUCAACUUCAUGCGAUACUGGCGGAGCAAGCUGAAUGAUUGGGUAAGACUUCCGAUGUGAUCUGCACGUUUUGGGGCUUUGACCAGCAUGUCAUCCACGUAGACCUUCAUAGUUUUGCCGAUCUGCUUAUUGAAGAUUUUAUUCCCGAGCCUUUGAUAGGUUGCUUUGGCGUUCUUCAGCCCAAAGGGCAUGACCUUAUAGCAGCAGGUCCCUCUCUCGAUGAUGAAAAAAGUUUUUGCCUUGUCAUCCUCGUGCAUCAGGAUUUGUUUAUAGCUGGACUAGGCGUCCAUGAAGCUAAGCAGUUGAUUGCCAGAAGUGGAAUCCACGAGUUGGUCGAUUCUCGGCAAUGAGAAGUUGUCUUUAGGGCAUGCUUUGUUGAGGUCUGUGUAAUCGACACAAACUCUCCAUUUGCCAUUUUCUUGUUUUGCCACCAAAACAACGUUGGCAAGCCACUCUGAGUAGGAGGCCUCUUCGAUGAAGCCGACAGCUAGGAGUUUGUCAAUCUCGGCCUCGAUGAUAGCAAGUCGCUGGGGUGCGAAGUUGCGUCUCUUCUGCGCCACUGGCUUGCAGGCAGGGUUGAAGUGGAGUCAGUGACAGAUGAUGUUCUUGUCGAUGCCAGACUUGUCUGACGGCAACCAUGCGAACAUGUCUCUGUUGCUCUGGAGGAAGGUGGUAAGCUCCACAUUCUCUUCUGGCCUUAGGCGCGAACCGAUCCACUCUUUCCUAUCUGGUUGGUCAGGAUCCAAGGGUAUUAACUCGACGUCCUCCUUGGGUUUCCAUCCUUCUUCAGGAAAGACCUAUGGACGGAUUUCCUCGACUUGGUCCUGACGCUUUAAUUGCUAUAAGAUAGCAAGAUCCAGUUGCUCAACCUCCUCCAGAUCUGCCUGGCUCACAGGGAGAAACUGCGCUUGUUUACCUUUCUUUAGCCCUUGGGCGGAGCAUUUCCUCGCCAUUGCCUAAUCGUUGUUGAUUUGGCCGACACCGCCCCCAAGGAUUGGGUACCGAAUUUUCUAAUGUGUGGCGGAGGUGAUUGCAUUAAUUUUGCCAAUCGAUGGUCUGCCCAGAAUGCCGUUGUAGGGUAAGACCUUAUUAAUGACCAUGAAGGUUAUGAGCUGAUUAUAAGUGGGGAGUAGACGUCGAGGUCUAUCAUGCCCACGGUAACCGUUGUUGCACCAUUAAAAUCGCUCAGCAACCUAGCUAAUUUGUAAAUCUUUGUCUCCAAUCCCAUCUGUUGAAUGACCUCCAGUUGCAGGAUAUUGGCUGCGCUGCCCUCGUCUGUGUGGAUUCAGUCUACCAUGACCUGAGCAAUUUGAAUGCUGAUGACAAGGGCUUCGUUAUGUGGCAUGUAGAGGCCGAUCAGAUCUUUCUUUUGGAAGCCGAUUACAGGAUCGUCUUCUGCUGGUGGAAGGUCGGUCGAGAUUUGGGAGAUCACAGUGGUCUGUUUGAUCUUCCUCUUUUUUUCCUUUCUGGUCAGCCCAGACUCCUCGGAGUCAGCUAGGAUUGUGUUAAUUCUUAUGACCUUCUGAGGCGGCUCCUUGGCGAUGUCACGAUCUUCUAUCCGCUGGAUGACCUUCUUUGCAAUGAAUUCUGUGCAGUGACCUUCUCUCACGAGUUCUUCAAGAUGUGCUUUCCAAGCGAAGCAGUUGUUCAUAGUGUGUCCGUGCAUUUCAUGGACGGCACAGUAUUUGCUAGUAUUCCUUUUGUCCGGAUCUUCUUUCAAGGGUGGUGGUCUUCUUACCCAAGGUUGUUCUUCACUUGGGCUAAGAUUUGAUGUAUGGAGAUGGUGAACUUGGUGUAGUUCUCUCCUGCCGUAGCAUCCCCUUAUGGGUGCGACCUGCGCUUGUCCUUGUCCCUGUUGCUAAAUCCGUCGCUUCUUUGGCCUGCCCCCUUAGUCGGCUGAUCUUCCUGCUUAGUAGAGUUCUUUGCGGCGAUUCGAUCGUCAUCCCAAAGCGCAUAGCUUUCCGCGGUCUCGUAGACCUCUGCCAAAGUUUGGCUGGGAGUGAUGGUCAGCUCGUGGUACAAGUCGUGCUCAGUCGAAAGGUCUUUCUUGAAAGCAGAGGACGCAAUUUGGUCAUCACAUCCUACAAUGUUGGCCUUUUCUACUUUGAAUCUCUUGAUGUAAUCUCUAAAGGAUUCGUCGAACUUCUUGCGCAGGUUAUACAGGUGGUCAGGGUUCUUCUUGAUUGUUCGGUAAGAGGUGUAUUCUUUGGUGAAUAAGUAAGUCAGCUCCUUGAAGCUGCUGAUCGACCUGGAUGGCAGAGUAUGGAACGAGUCUUGGGCUUCCUCACAAGGUCAUUGCAAACACCUUGCACAUCAGCGCGUCGUCAACCUUGUGGAGGAUCAUGACACUUUUGAAGUGUUUUAGAUGGCUCUCAGGAUCGGAAUCCCCCUUGAAGUGUGUGAAUGUGGGCGUUGAGAAUCGCUUCAGGAGAGCAGCCUGCUCGAUUUUGGCAGUGAAAGGUGUAGAGUAUGCCUGGUCUACCUCAUUUCGUACAUCUUCGAAAUUUCCACCGGUCUUCAAGUCUCGAAGUUGGUCAUUCACAAGCUUCUCUACGUCUUCCGCACACAUUGCUUGUCGGCCACAUUGGCGACCUUCACGAAUUGUUCGAUGCUGACUGACUUCCUCGUUGAUUUCCGAGGAUCGACCUUCUUGUCUGCAUUGCCUAGGUGGAGUGUUGGUGGAUUGCGCCUACGAAAGAUUCUCUGUGGCUUGUCAAUGAGAAUCGGUUCUUCGAGAGUGAGUAACGAAGUGCCUUUCCUCAUGGUCCUUAUUGUGAGGGUUAUCCAGCUGACCUCCCUGGGGCCUAGCCUUUCCUGAAUGCUUCUCUGCGAGUAGACAGUUGAAUGCUUUUCUUCACGAUCCUCGUUGUGAUGGUUGUUUGGCUGACCUCCUUAGGGUCUUAGCCUUUGAUGUACAUUUCCCUGCCUGCCCAAGUAGGUGCGGACGUCGAGUCGUGGGCCCAGCCUUUCGUGCACGUCGUUCCUUAAACUCAAUCUGCUCUGAGUGUGGCUUGCAGAUGCUUGCGACAUGUCGGCAGGUCGAUCACGUUGUUGUCCCUCGACUUGUCUGCCCACUCUUGCUUGACCUGCUUGGUACUCGUUGAGCUGUCUACCGGCCCGUUCAUCCUUCCUUCUUUCCUCGCCUGGUUGUCCAAGGCCAAGGUUUUGAGCAAAGCUUAUUUGGUUGAGGAGCUGCCUCAUUAGAUUGUUUUGGUCGUCCAUUCUUUAAGCUAGCUGGUCAACUCUCAGAUUAAGGUCUGCUUGAUUUCAUGGAUCAGGAGGAGAGAAGUGUGUGGAGCUCAACUGCACAUAGGCUAGGGUUUCAUUAGAGGUGUAUGCGGGAGCGUGUGUCGAGCGUGGAGGCAAUAGAGGGAAUGCUUGGAGUUGCUCCAAGACCGGCCCUAGGUCGGCGGUGGUAACGAGUCCACCUUGAUGGGAAGUUCCACCAUGUUUGGCGGCAGUGACCGAUGCAGUGGUGAGAGGUGGUGGUGCCACCAUGUCGAUCGCGGGAUCGUUGGUGGAGUGGCUUUGGGCCGUCGCAAAUCUAGCCAUCAUGGCGGCUUUGCCUCUCGUGUUCAUGCUUCCAACCAUGGUUGUUUGGAAGGCUUAGGUGGAUUGGAAAAUUAGAGGAACGGAUUCCUUGAGCACGCAUUGAGUAUAACUCGUGCUCUCAAUGAAAGCACCAAUUUGUGGGAGCAAAUUUCCCCACGAGAAUAUUCGGUUCGAAAGAUUCCCCUUUCUUAUUCGCCGCCUCUUUCUCCUCGCAAAAUAGAACAAAUAAGAGGACCACACCCGAGGGGUGUUGGCCAAAGGCCCUCCGAUGCCUAAAUUAGUUCAAGUAUUUGUAAGAAAAACACUAGCUAACUAGGGUAUGGAGAUGUGUUUAAGGUGUAAACCGGGCGGCCGGAACCUUAUGUAAAAGAGAGAGAGAAAUGAGGUGGCUAGGGUUUGAGAGGAAUUUUCUGCAGAGUUUUUAGUAGAGAUUUCAGACGUACCUCAACCAUUGUGUGUGGCCAUCUUUUUAUAGUGGUCUUGGAGGCUAGAGUUUCAGAGAAAUAAUUUCGUAGAUGGAAAGGAAUUAUUCCUCCCCUAUUUAGAAUUGAUUUGAUUAAUUACGGAUUUGAUUUAUUAGGGUAAAUCAAAUCCCUAAUUGUGGUAAGUAUCAAAUCAAAUCCUUUUUUAAUUAGGUAACUGCUCAUUUAAUUGACAAUUGUGGUAGGAAUCAAAUCAAUUCUCAACCUAAUUGGUAACGUUCAAUUUAAUUGGGUAAUUCCCAAUUAAAUUGAGUAACUCCCAAUUAGGUUGAUUAAUUCACACUUAGAUCAAAUAAUCCCCAAAUGGAAAGAAUUAUUUGACCUAAGGUAUGAUUUAAUUCGAUUCCCACAAUAUUUAGAUGCAUAAUUGAAUGCGAAUAAACAUCACUCUCUCCAGUGUGAAAUGGCGAAAAUUCUCUUCAAUCAAAAGUGGGCUUACUUCAAAUUUAGUUGAAGAAUGAUGGUGUGUCUUGCCUGACAAUUGACAAUUAGGUUUAGGAGCGUUCCUCUAGUAGAAAAAUCUAAAUCAUUUGUGGUCAUCCACUCACUUGGUUAGUCUUCCAGAAUCAAAUACCAAAUCAACCCAAAGGAAGCUGCAAUUUUCUGAAUUGUAUACUUGUUUUAAUUCUUCCUAUCUUUUUCUCUCUUUCAUUUUUUUUGUCUCCCUCAAGUUAAUACUUAAGUGAGUUGCCAAAUGGGGGUAAAAAAGAGAGUAGAAGAGAUGAACCCCACAUUUGACUUUAAUAGACAAAUGCCCAAGAGAAGUACCAGUAAGAGCAUCUCCAAUUGGGAGGUGCUAUCCUAUAAUUUGACACACAUUUCUUUUUUCUUUUUUUUCAAUUCUAACAACAUGUCAUCUAUAUCGCAAUAGGCCGUUGUAGUUAAAUUUUCAAAUAACCAAGUUGCUCUCUAUUUUCCAAAGAAGACUAGAAAACAACUUACCAUCUAUCUGGUGCUGCUUCUUCCAAACAUUAGAAAAAACAGAGCUACACCCAGGAGGAGCCCAGGAGAUGACACAAUACUGCCUACUAUGAUUCUUACUUUCUUCACAUUCAAUGAGACUAUAAAAUAUAACCCAAGUGGUCUAACCCCCCAGGGCGGAAAUUGGGUUUAGCAAGUUUAGCACUGAUUGUUGUAUAGUCUUAAACAGUCCUGAUCUCUUGGACCCCUGUAGUCCAAGAGAUUUAUGGUCACCCACCGUUGGAUGUAAAUUCAACGGUUGACUUGAAUCGGGUAAUAAUAAUUUAUGUCAUAUUGCAUUUAUAUAUAUCAUUUUGAACCAUUGGAUUAAUAUCCAACGGUGGGUGACCACAAUCUCUUGGACUCCUGUGGUCCAAGAGAUCGGGACUGUAGUCUUAAAAUAAGUAGUUUAGCGAGUGCAAACUUCGACUUAAAAAAACUCUCAUGUAUAGCCGCGCGGCUAUACUAUUUACAUAUAAAUAUAUAAAAAAGCACCCCCUAGUCACGUGUCACAAAUAGUAUAGUCGAAAACAGUAGAGCCGCGCGGCUAUACUGUUUUUAAAAUAAAAAAAACCAUAUUCGAUUCUCCUUAUAUUUAAAAGGGGUAUAGCCGCAUGGCGAUACUAAUUUUUUUUUUUCAAAAAAAGGGACCCCAGUACUCCUUUUAUAUAUUAUAAUAUAUUGUCUAAUAUUUGGAAUAUUUACUCUAAAAUAAACAAUAUAUUAGGUUCUUUUUGUCUACAAAUUGACCAUUAAACUUCUUAAUCACUCUUAUACUUUCAAUUAAAUCUACUAGGCUAGGUUAUGAUAUUUUCACUAAAAAACUCCUCCUUUUUUUCUUCUCUUUCUCUUCCUGUUUUGUUUAACUUAAGCUUAAGUUUUGUAAUUUUUUUUCCCGCCCUUUUUACAUGUUUGAGUAGGGUACUUUAAUAUUGGGAUUUAUGAACUUUUUUUGUAUUUCUUCUUUAUAUUGGAAUAUAAAUUAUUAACUUUUGAGUCUUUAAUAGUGUAGAUGAUGAGAUUAUUAUUCAACCAUUUUAUAAUAUGAAAUGAAGGACAAUCAUGAUUGUGAUGAAUGGAUUAUUAAUCAAUAUGAAAUGAUAUUAUGAAGUGGGCUAAAUCGAGUAGUUAGUAUCGUAUUGUUGAGACCCAAAAAAUCCAAGGCUAGGCCCAAAUAUAUUAUGAAGUGGGCUAAAUCGAGUAGUUAGUAUCGUAUUGUUGAGACCCAAAAAAUUCAAGGCUAGGCCCAAAUAUAUUUCCGGUCCAAUGCGAUACCUUACCGAGAAGAAACCUUAUUUGGGCACGCGAAAGUUCGUCAUAUGCUCUUGCACACAUGCCAUGCCAAGCAAAUAAGCAACAUGCCACGCUACAAGCUUAAGUGGGCCCAAGCCACGUGAAUGCCUAGGGCCUGCUGAGUGGGUUGUGGUAUGGAUGGUUAUGAGUAUUCACGAGGCCCAUUGAUGGUCUAAGGAGUGGAAGUUUUGGGCUACUUGGGAGCACCAAAACUCAAGCCCAUUCAUUGAGCCCAAACAUAUGGGUAAGCAUGAGAUAAAACCUAGUAGCCCAUCACCUUAAGAAAUCCUAAUAGCCCAUAACAUGUGAGAAAAUCCCACAUCAACCAAAGCUUCCAGCAGUCUGACGAAAUCAAAGGGAACUCACAAGCCGUUGGAAACAAAACAACCCAACACUGUAACACCCCGACCCCAAAUUUCCCCAAAUUUAACCCUUAUUUAAUUAUUUAAGGGUAUUUUAGUCAUAUUUUUAACCGGAGAGAGUUUGGGGCAAUGACUAGUAUUUUUGGAUAGGUCGUACUGAGACGAGUUUAUGGACACGCAGUGAGCUCGAAUCGGAGUUGUAACGAGAGAGAUAUGGUCAAAAGAAGCCCAGUGGCACAAUCGUAAAUAUUUUGAAAUGAGAUUUUUUAUAAAAAUCUGGUUUUCUCUCUCUCUCUCUCUCUCUCUCUCUCUCUCUCUCUCUCUCUCUCUCUCUCGCUAGCGACCUCUCUCUCUCUCCCCCGUCGGUCUCUCCCCUCUUUCUCCUCGUAACUCCGGCCACCGGCCCCGGCUGUGGACGGGGCCGGUACCAAAAUGACCGAGGCGUCGUCCUCUUCCUACCCCAGCCACCUCCCACCGCCAGCCGUCGCGGAUUCGCCGGAAUCUGGAGAUGAAGCGGCCUACGUCGUCCAAAUUUCAAAGCUGCCGAUCUCCCUCCUCCGGCCACCAAUUCCGUCGACCCAGGUAUGGAUUUUGAACUUCUCGAGCUGCUCUAGCUGAUGGUUGGGUAGGAUUAGAUCGAUUCUUAGCUUAGACAACUCGAUUUUCAAAUUGAAAAUCGGCCGAACUUCGGCUGCCGUGAUCGGCCAUUUCCGGCCACUUUUUGGGGUAGGUCCAAGAACAAAAGUGGCUCCAAAUAGGGUGUUAUACCUAGGGUAGGAGUUUGGAGCCGUGGUUUUGAGAUUUUCCGGCGAAGCGUUAUCGCUUUGGGCACCCACGCGCUGCCGGUGCGUGCGGCGGCGCGUGGGCACUGUAGAAAAAGUAGCACUGUGUUCCGAUGAGAUCCUUAGGUUGUCACGAGUGCGUAGGAUUUUGCGGAUCUCAAUUCGGACGUCGUUUGACUAUCGAACGGAUAUUCGCAUAUUGCGCGUUAUUCGGGUUCGAUAGGUUGGGACCGUUGGAUGGACCCAAAUUUAAUAUAUGUUAAUCUAAUUAAUUCUAGGAUCGUGUAGGAAUUCACGGAUUGUGAAUCGGAGCCCCGGAUGUUCCGAAUAAUAAUUUUAAAGUUUGUAUUUUAUAUUAAUUGUCAGAUCGUGCGAUCGUGAGCAAUCUGACCGUUCGAUCUGAACCAAACUUGCAGGACAAGUGUCCUAUACCUUGUAGAACCCAUAGGGACCUUCGGAUCGGAAAUUGGAGGUCGUGGGUUCCGCAAGUCGGUUUGACCAGGGUUAGAGAAGUUUGACCCUUGGUUGACCGUGAGUCUCCCGGAGUAAUCUCACCUUUCUAGGGGAGAUUAUCGGGUACUAGAUGAUUGUGGACACAAUAUUAGAAUUAAUUUAUAUAAUUAUAAUUAUAUAUGGUUGUACAAGGGUACAACAGAGUCUAGAAUGUCAGUUUGGAGUGCUAUACGCACUACUUUAGGUACCUCCCCGGAUGUUGGGAUUUACUACAAGUACCACCAAGUGAAAUUGAGGUCCCGCGUGGCGUAGGUUAUCCAGCGUUGGGAUAGGUCUCAUACGUGGGGUUGGUUGUACCGGCGUAUGGGGAGAUUUGUGAUAUUAUGUUCAGGUCUCACGUGGCGUAGGUUAUCCGGCGUUGAGACAGGCCCCAUACGUGGUGUUGGUUGUACCAGCGUAUGGGGAGCUAUGUGAUAUUGUGUUGAGGUCGCACGUGGCGUAGGUUAUCGGGCGUGUCGACAGACCCCAUACGUGGCGUUGGUUGUACCGGCGUAUGGGGAGAUUUGUGAUAUGAAAUUGAGGUCCCACGUGGCGUAGGUUAUCCGGCGUUGGGACAGGCCCCAUACGUGGCGUUGGUUGUACCGGCGUAUGGGGAAAUAUGUGAUAUGAUGGCAUGGUCGCACGUGGCAUAGGUUAUUCGGCUUGUUGACAGGCCCCAUACGUGGCGUUGGUUGUACCGGCGUAUGGGGAGAUUAUUUGAAAUGCAGAGAAACGAAAUAUGGUAUCGCCCAAAUGUGGAAUUGGGUUUUAGGGAAGAACUACGUGUGGCUUGAUCCCUCAAGGAGGGUACGUAGGCAGCCUAAGGUUAAUAGGUGCAGCCGCAGACUAAAUGUUAGUCAUAAUUGAUAUUUGAAUUGUUUGGUAGUUGGUUAAGAAUUAUUGGAAGGCCGAAGGCCAUUUGUGUGAAUUGCAUGAAAUUAUAUUGUGCAUGCUGCCAGUUGGGAAUAUUAAAUGCGUUUUUAUGCAGGUAUAAAUUUUAGGAAAUGUCCAAUUUAUAGGGGAGACUCUGCCGAAUUUUCGGCAGGAAGUCUCAGUUUUUAGUAUCUGGGCCUGGCAUCGGGAGGAUGUCGGGAAUUCCAAAGGGUCGUCUCGAGUUCUGAAAAAUUCGGUGCGGGUCCUUUCAAACACCUUAUAAAAUAUCCAACGCCGUGCAUCUCUGUUAAAACCAGAUCACAGCCAAACCACCAAAACCAUGCAAACCCAUAUGCUGAUCACCAUUUUUACUAGCACCCUUACCCAUUCUUUCCUCUUCAAGCUUUGGUGAGAAAACAAGAAACAAAAGUGGGCGGAUCUUCACCCACAUGGAGAAAUCCAGCUGCCUGAGGGCCCUGGAACUCCAAAAAACUUCUUACCUACAUGCUCAGGCUAGGGAAGUUUCACCAAAUAAGCAAGAAUGGAAGAAAGUGAAGGAAAAGGGGAAAGGGUGGCUUGACGAAAUUAAGGUUUUCAGCACUUAUAAAAGGAAACACUUUCUAUCCAGCAAAAACAACUCACCCUGGUUGCUGCAAGCCUCCUAGCAACCAUGAGAAUUCAUUGAAGGCAAGCAUCCCCUUUGGAACCCUUCAAUUUCAUGCUUUGUUCUUCCAUCUUCCUCCUUUCUCUCUCUCUCAAAACCCACAUCCAGAGAGAGCAAGCAUCAUCUCUCAUCUUUGGAACCCUUCGAUUUGAAGCCUUGUUCUUCCAUUGCUUCCCAUUUUCUCUUCUGUCAAAUCACCUAGGAGCUUGACGAAACUUUCGUCAAGCUGCUGGAAAUAUGGUAAAGCCACCCAUGCUUCCAUCUUCUUCCUCUCUUUCCAUAAACACACAUCCAAAGAGCAAGCUUCAUCUCUCAUCCUCUAAACCUCUGCAAUUUCAAGCCUCAUUCCUCUAUCUUCUCCCAUUUUCAGCGGUAGUGAGAAUGAUUUCUGCGUGUGCAUGGGAAGGAUUGUAACUCAGAUGAGGAGGAGAUGGUUUGGAGUGGGGUGAGGCAGUUGGAUAGAGCUCUUGGCCUUUUCAAGUUUGGAUGGGAAAGAGCAGGGAUGAAAGAAGCUUUACAACUGCAAGGGCAUAUAUGGUGCGUAGGGGCUGAAGGCAGAACACUUACAUAUAGAGGAAACACAUUUUUUGUCCAUGGGAUUCAUGUUUGACAAACACUUGUCUUAGACUAUGAGUUCAAAUUUCAAAACCUUUUUUUUUUCUUUCUGAAAUCAGGACCAGUGUGGAGAACUAGCAAGGAUUGGAGAAACAGAUUUUUGGGCGUCACUUGACCACAGAUUGUUGAUUGCUCAAAUGUGUAGAAUUGGCCAUCUUAAAUGUCAAAAUGAUUUAUCAAUUGGGGUUUUUUUAGAAACGUUUAUGUUUGUCAAUAGAGACAGAAGUCAGAGAACAUAAACCUUUCUCAGCAAAUUGAAAUUCUCAGUGCAUGCUCUGUUCUUCCAUGGCUUUCAAACCUUCUCUGCCACGGUGAAAUGGAUCGAUAGAGAUAGUUUAGGCCGUUCCAUUUGUUUGAUGAAGCAUUCGUUCUAGGGAUUCUGUAUAUUCAUAACAAAAUCACUAGAAUGAUUCUUAGAAAUUCAUCACUGCUAAAGGCAAUGGGUUCAGCAUAAUAACUUCUUAGUCUUGCUUCUUGGUCCUUUAUUUUCUUUGCAUAAUACUCCAAGUUUACCUGGGUUCUACAGAGAAAAUCUCGUAGAUACCUCUUUUUGUGGUCUUCCAUGGCAUUUAAGUGCUGCUUUCCAUGGUGAAGUGGGCCUAUAGAGACUACCUGAGGUGUGUAGGCUUUGUCAUUUCCACGCCGUAAUCGCUCAGGAACUCUGUAGAUACACCUUCAAGGGGGACAAGGGAGACAAACUAUCCAAUUCCUUGCGCCUUACAAAUAGAUCGCAUGGGUUUUCUAUUUCAUCUGCAGCUUCAUCAAUUCCUUCCAUUUUUCUCCUGAUCAUCAUGCGCGGUGAUUCAAAUAUUUCAUAAUGAACAUUGAAAUGAGAUGCUACAAGCAAACUUAUGAAAAGAAACAGAAAUACCAAAAAGACAAAUCAAUGUAGAUGGUUUAGAAAAUCUAAACAUUGCAAUUAUACUCCUUUGCCCAACUUCUAGGAGCAAACGUACACAAAGACCUUAUUGCUUCCAACUUUUCCAACAGAAUUUCAUAUGAAUUGCUCCAAGUGAAAUCCGUAUGAAAAAUCGGUAGUUGGAUUUUCAUCCUGCUUUAAUAUGAUUAUUUAACUUCUAACAAAAAAACUCUUAUUACUUGAGCAAGUAAAAUACUAUUCCAGGUUUCUCCUAGUUCUAUAUGCGCUUAUAAUUGGUAUACUCUAUAAAUACCAUAAUCUGAAUUUCUCUGUUUUGAUUACUUUAAUUUAUUACUUAUGUUUUAAUUAUUGUUUACUUAGUGAAUUAUUAGUAUUUAAGAGAAGGCCUUCCAUCGAUUAGGCACCACGUGUCUAUAAUAAGUAAAGCCGUCCGGCUAUACUUAAAAAAAAAAAAAAUUGUAGUAUAGCCGACCGGUAUAGCCGCGCGGCUAUACUAUUUAAUACAUUAUAUUUAAACGGUAUAGCCGCGCGGCUAUACUAUUUAAUAAAAUAAAAAACAAAAGAAAAAGAAAAAUUACCCUCCUAUUUCAUUAGUUUGUACUUUAUAGAUACUAGCCCCUUGACACAUGCUCACGCAUGUGCCAAUUGGUUUUCUUUUUCUUUUUUAUUUUUAUUUUUAGAAUUAAGAAAAAAUAACAGGAUAGUUAUGUUCCAUAAAAGUAGGACCUAUUAUCUUAUUUUGUUUUUAAUUUUAAUUUUUUUAAUAUUAAAAAAAUAUGAAUUUACGAUAUUAUCCUCAUUUAAUUAAUAAUUUCAAUUCUUAAUGUUUGAAUUAACAAAGGGCAUUUUCUGGUAUUUUGAAUGUUUCACCAUUCUCUGCCUUUUGCUUUAUAUAUAUAGAUUAAUUUGCCAGUUUCAAGAUAUCCAAAGUACAUAUUAGACUUUCACUAUAUAAAUUUCAAUAUAUAUUUUUUAUAACAUGUGUUGUUCUUAUUCAAUAAUAUGUGAGAAUUAUUUGUAUAAUACGUGAAUUUUGUGUGUCUUACUGAAUUUUUUUAAAUACGUGUAUUAAACGUUACAAAUACGUACAUAUAUGUACAACACGACUAUUGUAAGUUUGCUAUAUAAAAAAAAGUGAGAUGUAUCUAGAACACGAAUGUAUUAUCGAAAAAUAUAUAUGUAUGUAUAUAUAUAUAUAUAUAUGUAAAAGCCUAUAGCCUCUCACCUAUACUAUUUAUUAAAGACAAUUUAAAAAUUACAACAACAAAAAAACCAGUACAGCCACAAAGCUAUACUAUUUUAAAAAAAAAAAAUAGAAAAAAUAUCAAGUACUACACAGGGCAAAGGCCCAGUGUAAAAUAGUAUAGCCGUACGGCUAUACGUUUUUAAGAAGAAUUUAAAAAACUAAGUAUAGCUCACCGACUAUACUAUUUUUUAAUAUAAAAAAACAACCCCAUCCAUUAGGCGCCACGUGUCAACAGAAGUUUAUUUUUAAAAAAAAAAAUUAAAAGACAAGGAGUAUAGCCGGGUGGUUGUACUAUUUUUUUAUUUUAAAAAGAAGACAGUCCAUCGAUUAGGCGCCACGUGUCCAUAAUAAGUACAGCCGCUCGGCUAUAUGUUGGAUAUUUUGAAACUAGCAAAUUAAUAUCAAUAGCCGGUCGUAACCUAUGCUGUCCACGUCACUCAUGUUUUACCAGAGUUAAAGCAUCCACAAUGAGCUCCCCAAACCAUCUCUUUAGACAAAUUUUAGGGAGAAAUUGGAAAAGUACAACUCCAACCAUGCUCCCUAUCCACCAACUAAAAUAGGGAGACCUCUAGGAGCUCCUAAAUCUGAGGAGAGGGAAAGGACUCUUAGUGACUCCCUAUAAUUUAAUGUUGCUUUGUUUUAUGCAUAUUUUAAACUUUUAAUUAAAUCAAAUUAUUAUUUUAUAUUAUUUUGUAUACAGAUGGACCAAUUAUAUUAAAUUAAAAAAUAAUUAAAGUAUUUGUGACUCUCUAAACUAAGGAGUAUGAUUAGAGUUCAAAUUUUAUAAAAAGCUCUUAAAAUAGCUUUUGUGUGUUUUUAGCUAAAUUUUAACUAAAAAAUUUGAAGAUUCUUUAUUUGGGUUUCUUUCAAGACGAAAACCAUAUCCACAACAGACAUCUUUGGCUGUUCAUCACAAUUGAGAGACAAUGAAGAAGACAUAAGGGAGAGGCUGCCAAAUACUUAUCACCUUAGCCACCACCAACACCACAAGACCAAUAUGUGUAGGCCAGGAGGCUUUCCAAUUUUAAUAUAUAUAUAUAUAUAUAUUAAAAAAUAAAAUAAAAAUCAAUCUAUUAUCAUAUAUAUUAUAAAAUAAAGAUUAUUGCUCCAUCCUCCAUGCACUUGCGUGCCCUCUUACAAAGUAUGAAGUAGAUUUUGUUAGCUGGAUUUAUAAGAUCUUUUGUUUUUUGGAAAUUUUCUGAAAUAAGGAAAAUCAAGUAAAAUUAAUAAAGCAUAAAUUGGAAAGGGAAAAUAUCUAGAGGAUGCAUUGUAGGAUUGCUCAAGCCAAUAAUUGUACCCUCUAAAUAUAUAGGGACAUAUUUUUUUUGUUUUCAUGACAUGUCGUCCUAAAAUUAUUGUUCUUAGCGGGCUCUCCACCCCCUCUCGAUUGAAAACCUAUUGUGUAAAUCUUCAAUCCUGAAUUAGAAAAGUACAACUCCAACCAUGCUCCCUAUCCAUCUCCUAAAAUAGGGAUACCUCUAGGAGCUCCUAAAUCUGAGGCGAGAGAAAGGACUCUUAGUGUCUCUUUAUAAUUUAAUGUUGCUUUGUUUUAUGCAUAUUUAAACUUUUAAUUAAAUCAAAUUAUUUUUUUAUAUUAUUUUGUAUACAAAUGGACCAAUUAUAUUGAAUUAAAAAUAAAUUAAAGUAUUUAUGACUCUCUAAACUAGGGAGUAUGAUUGGAGUUCAAAUUUUAUAAAGAGCUCCUAAAAUAGCUUGUGUGUGUAGGGGUCUUUUUCUUCUGGCAACUACAGAUGGGUUGGGCUACCGUAAGGAGCAAACUGAAGAAAAUAUCCCCUGUGUCUGAGUUCAAAGAUUCGGCCCCAAAAUAUUUCGAAAAGGCAGUAAAGCCUUAGGAAACACCUUAGUUACCUUCACCAACGAAAAUGACGGCUGCUUACAGGUAGAUUCUUAGUGCUUACAGAUGAAUUCUUAGCUUAGCAUGAGGAGAUCGUGGCAUGGAAGCAAAGUUAGCAUGAGUUUAGCACUAAAGAGAAAAUUAUGUGUUCUUGGGAGGAAGAAGGGGUGUCCAGGUAAAUGGGAAAAGGUUUUGCAAGUAGAUUUGGCUAAGAGAGAAGGGAGAGAGAGAAGAGGGUGGCUAGAGUGCUUCUUCCGGCAGCUUGACAGUGACUCUGUCAAAUGUUAGAGCAAUCUGCCAUAAGAGGGAAAAUGGGGAAGAAGGAUGAACAGUGCACAAAAUUGCUAGGUUUUUGCAAGUAAGAGAGGAAGCUUGCUCUCUGGAUGUGGAUGAUCCGUUGGGUAGAAGAGGCCCCAUUUUAUAGCCGCUGGAAACUAUCAUUUCUCAAGAAACCCUAAUAGUUUCUACCCAAUUUGGUCAAGCUUUUCCCUUCCUUUCUCAUCUCCUCCCUUGACUUUUCCUAUCUUGGUGAAAUUUCCUCUGUCUAUUUGCACAAAAUCAGGAGCUCAAGGCCUCCCUUUCCCGCAACUGUUCAAUGGGAGACUCCAUUCUUAGCUAUUUUUCUUCUUCUUUCCUUCCUCCUUCCCUGACCAAAUCUGAUGAAGGAAAGCAAAUAGGUGCACACAUUGGUUUGAAGGGUGCUUCUCCUUCUAGCAGCUUACAUGCCAAUAUCCCUUGGGUCCUUGCAUGUUUUUUGCUUUGAAACUUGUUUCUUCCUUCCCGUCAACUCACGUGGUCUUCCAUGCUUCUUCAUGGCUUUAUCUUUCAGCCAAAAGAUGGAGUUUUUACUGCUUGCUACUUUUAAUUGUAUGGGUCUUCUAGGAUAGGAAGUCAACCUACCAAACAAAUGGGCCACCUUUAUCAAAUAUUGGGCUGUUGGGGUUAGUUUUAGUGGGCCAUUUUGACUGGGCUUUUUGGUUGGGUUAUUUAAGUUAUUUUCCCUUUUGUGCUCACCCAUGUAUUUAGGCCUAAGAAAUGGGCUUGGGCUCCGAGUCUCCCAAGCAACCCGGAACCUCCAUUUCUUGGCCCAUUAAUGGGCCUCAUGACAACCUAUUACCAUCCAUACCACAACCCACUCAAGCAAGCCCCGGGCAUUUGAAUGGCUUUGGCCCACUUUAGGCUUGUAGUGUGAUUGGGUGUGGCAUAACGAUUUCUCGCUUGGCAUGGCAUGUUGCUUGGCAUGUUUUUUCAUUACGAUGCUUGAUGGAUUUGUAGAGCUACCUAUUUUUAUGAUCUUAAUCUUGAUUCCUAGCAUGACAAAUUUAUUUAUUUGGCAUGGCAUGCGGAGCGUGACUUGUGCGUGGCGAGUUUUGUAUGCUCCAACUUGGGCCUUUCCUAAAUAAUGUAUCAUUUUGGGUUAUGAAUUCUUUCGGGCCCAACCGUGAAUUUUUUGGGUUUCAACAGUGUGUUUUUAGCUAAAUUUUAACUAAAAAAUAGGGAGCAUGAUUGUAGAUCAUCUUAUAUACCUUAAUUUGAAGAUUCUUUAUUUGGGUUUCUUUCAAGAUGAAAACCAUAUCCACAACUGGCAGACAUCUUUGGCUGUUCAUCACAAUUGAGAGACAAUGAAGAAGACAUAAGGGAGAGGCCGCCAAAUACUUAUCACCUCAGCCACCACCAACACCACAAGACCAAUAUGUGUAGGCCAGGGGGCUUUCCAAUUUUAAUAUAUAUAUAUGGAGUGAAAAAAAUAAAAUAAAGAUUAUUGCUCAUCCUCCAUGCACUUGCAUGCCCUCUUACAAAGUGUGAAGAAGAUUUUGUGUGCUUCAAGUCAUUGACUAGAGCUGAAACAUGGUUAGCUGGAUUUAUAAGAUCUUUUGUUUUCUGGGAAUUUUCAGAACCAAGGAAAAUCAAGUAAAAUUAAUAAAGCAAAAUGGAAAGGGAAAAGAUCUAGAGGAUGCAUUGUAGGAUUGCUCAUGCCAAUAAUUGUACCCUCUAAAUAUAUAGGGACAUAUUUUUUUUGUUUUCAUGACAUGUUGUCCUAAAAUAUUUGUUCCUAGCGGGCUCUCCACCCCCUCUCGAUUGAAAACCUAUUGUGUAAAUCUUCAAUCCUGAACGAUGCUCCUAAAACUCAAGUGUCCCAGGCCAAUUAUUGCUCUCAUACCACUUGUUGCAAUACACAUCCACUCAUUCUCAGGGAAAGAAACCCAUCGAUAUUAUCUCAAAUUUAACCACUUUAGUCUAUUAUGAUUAACUAUGUAUUUUAUGGAUCAAUGCAGUUGUGAGGUUUUAUACCCAAUUAGAUCGACCAAUACAGAGAUCACAUGUGGACUGAAAAGCGCCAUCGGUAGGGGAGUGUUUGGCACCCUUUACUGCCGAGUGCAACACAAGACCCCUUACCAGGAACUUAUCUACUAGGACACGUGAAGCCACCACAAGUAAUAUCAACAGUCCCACAUCGAAGUUUAACAUAACAUGUACACUCCCCAGGACUGAUAAAAGUGGGCACAAGUCCCAAAAAUGGGGGAACUUGGACUUUCAGCAAUUCAUCCAUUAUUAUGUCCAAAUUACUAUACACUCCGUACUUAUUCUUACUUAAGCAUUGGAGAGCCUUCGGCCGGUACCACACCAGUGCCUAAGGGCUUACCGAGCGUUCUCUAUCUUGCAUAUUGAUCGCUCUACUGAAGCCCAUAAAGAGUUAAAGGUCAAGACAUCACUAAGUUGAGCCCAAAAGUGCUGAACCACAUCAAAAAUAUGUAUAGAUUGAAAAAAUAAAAUAAAAAUCAAUCUAUUAUCAUAUAUAUUAUAAAAUAAAUAUUGGAUAAAUUACUCAAAUGGUCCUCAAACUUAUACUCGAUUUACAUUUUGGUCUCUCAAUUAAAUUAUUUGUUCAAAUGGUCCAUCAACUCUAUAUUAUUUCUGCAAAAUCUACAAAGUGGUGGGAGGCAGACCAACAAAAAAAAUUAGCGAAGGCUUAUAACUCUGGUAAAACAAGAGUUACUUGGAUAGAAUAAUGUUACGUCGUACUGAAGAUUUUUGGGUUUCUUUAAUUGGUUAAGUGAAGAUUCUUUAUUUGGGUUUCUUUCAAGAUGAAAGCCAUAUCCACAACCACAACCACAACUGGCAGACAAUCUUUGGCUGUUCAUCACAAUUGGGCGACAAUGAAGAAGACAGAAAUUGGAGUACUGUAUGUUAUCACCCACACCACAAGACCAAUAUAAGGAGGAUGGGGAGGCUGCGGAAUACUUAUCACCUUAGCCACCACCUACACCACAAGACCAAUAUGUUGUAGGCCAGGAGGCUUUCCAAUUUUAAAUUAGAUAAAUCGGAAACUGUUUCGAUAUCCAAUUGUAUUCUAUAAAAUCAAUGAACACGGUGCUUCAAGAAAGUAAUAAAAUUUCAAUAAUUCAAUUGAGUGGUCAAAUUCAAGUGAUUUUUUGUAGUGAUGAUCUUUGAAUGAGUAUCUAUAAAAGAGACGGUUUGGAUUAGUGAAAUACAAUAUGGAGUGGGCCCUACCAGCAAUCCACGACAAAAUGUCUGCAAGCUUUCGUAAUAUAAGGAGGAUGGGGAGGCUGCGCAAUACUUAUCACCUUAGCCACCACCUACACCACAAGACCAAUAUGUUGUAGGCCAGGAGGCUUUCCAAUUUUAAUAUAUAUAUAUAUAUAUAUAUAUAUAUAUAUAUAGGGAUGUGAUUUCUCUACUCCCCUUUUCUCUACUUAUACUCCCUUUUGCUUUUAAAUACUUUUUAAUCAAUUUUUUUUCCGCUUUCCUAUUAAUAUUCUACCAUUUCCCUACAUUAAUUUCUUUUUACUUCACUUUUAUAUUAGUUCUUUUUCUUUAUACUUAAUUUUUCAACUUGCACUCCAUUUUCAUUAUUUUUUUCCUAAUCGAGUAAGAAAUUAAGUUUUUUUUCCCCAUUUAAUACUGAAAAUGGAGUGUAAGUUAGAAAAUUAGGUAUAAAGAAAAAGAAAUAAUAUAAAAGUAAAGUAAAAAAGAAAUUAAUGUAGGGUAAAGGUAGAAUAGAAAAGAGAAUGAACAAAAUUGAUAAAUAAAUAAAAAAGGUUUAAAAAGCAAAAAGGAGUGUAAAUGGAGAAAAGGGGAAUGAGGAAAUCAGCUCCAUAUAUAUAUAGAUUGAAAAAAUUAAAAUUAAAAUCAAUCUAUUAUCAUAUAUAUUAUAAAAUAAAGAUUAUUGCUCCAAGGAAAUGACAUCUUUUGUUUUCUGGGAAUUUUCUGAACCAAGGAAAAUCAAAUAAAAUUAAUAAAGCAUAAAUUGGAAAGGGAAAAGAUCUAAAGGAUGCAUUGUAGGAUUGCUGAUGCCAAUAAUUGUACCCUCAAAUUAUACAUGGACAUAGGGGUGGGCAUUCAAAUAGGCAAACUAGAAAUCCGAGCUGAACCGCACCUAGGAAAACCGGAAAAAAAACCGAGUUGACCAAAAAGUCAACAACUGGUCAAAAAUCGAACCGGACCGAUUUGGACUGGUUUUGGAUUCAGUUUAUAUGCAAUGCUACAUUUUUAGUCUCAUAACUAAUAUUUAUCCAAGUUCAAUUUCAAAACAUCUUUCUUUUUUAGCUUUAAUAUUUAUUUUUAUAUGAAAUUAAAUAAUUUAUUAAUUUUCAAGUAAAUAAAAUAAAAUUUCAGUUGAAAUUUAUAUUAAAAAAAUAAUUUUAAUAAUCCAGUUCAAAACCAAACCGGACCAUCCAGCUGUGAGGUACAUUUCUCCCACAUGCCACAAUUGUAUAUUCACAAUUACGUCUGAUACAUCACAUCAUGCCACUUGCCUCAAAUGAAUUUAAGUGAGUGUGGCAGUGGAAAGUAAUUAAGCUCUAUAUUGGUGGGUGGACUGUUACUUCUGGGUUCCCCUCAUCAUUCGUCUAUAAAAUGGUGAAGGCAGUUGCUAUUGUUACCAUAAGAGCCAGCUCCGACUUCCUUUAAUUUCUUGCUUCAUAUCCACUAGCUACAUCUGUUACCAAGUUAAUUUCAGUCCUAAUGGGGUUUCAUCUCCCACUCAUCUUUGCUCUUCUCAGUGUAAGCUCUGCAAUUUGAUUAACUUUUCCAUUCUCUCUCAUUGUACUCUAUAUAAACGAAAGUUUUGUGUUCCUAUAAUUCUCUCCGAUUUUAUUUAGUACGUACUUAAGUGUCGUCCACUAAUUAAUUACACUUUGUGAUUUGAUUUUAAUUUGAGUUCGAAUUAAUGUUGCAGCUAGCAGCAGUGGCACUGGCAAACCAUGCUGCUCAACCAGCACCUCAACUUUACUGGAACUCCGUCCUGCCAAACACACAGAUGCCAAGAUCUAUCAGUGAACUUCUGCAUCCUGGUUUGUGUUGAGCUCUUUAGAAUCUUAGAUAUCUCUUCUACCUGCCAUUUUACUAAAAUAUGUUCCACCACAUAUUUAUCAGUUAACCACUGUUAUUACAUGAGUGACACAUAUUCACAAAUCGGCUGAUCACUUAUUUUCCAUUAUGACGUUGAUAUAUAAUUUGCAGACUCCACAAAUGAAGAAAAGAGCACAAAUGACGUUGGCAAACCUGAAACUUUCCCAUUGGGCAAUAAACAUUACUCCAGUCAAAAACAUUAUGGAAGAGGCAAACCUGAAACUUUCCCAUUGGGCAAUAAACAUUACUCCAGUCAAAGACAUUAUGGAAGAGGCAAACCUGAAACUUUCCCAUUGGGCAAUAAACAUUACUCCAGUCAAAGACAUUAUGGAAGAGGCAAACCUGAAACUUUCCCAUUGGGCAAUAAACAUUACUCCAGUCAAAAACAUUAUGGAAGAGGCAAACCUGAAACUUUCCCAUUGGGCAAUCAGCAUUACUCCAGUCAAAAAAAGUAUGGAAGAGGUGCUUCUCCAUCCGACAAUCAACCACCAAUUCCAUAGAAAUUCAAACACGGCUACUUUCUUGCCACGAGAAAGCGCUCAAUCGAUCCCCUUCUCCUCUAACAAACUACCAGAAAUUUUCAACCAUUUUUCAGUGAAGCCAACAUCUGAGGAAGCCAAAACAAUUAAGCAAACAAUCGAAGAGUGUGAAGCUCCAGACCUUAAGGGAGAGGAAAUAUAUUGCGCCACAUCUUUAGAAUCAAUGGUUGAUUUUAGCACUUCGAAGCUUGGAACAAGAAACGUUGAAGCAAUCUCGACGGAGGUAUUGGAAAAAGGAGCCACCAUGUCCAUCCAAAACUAUACAACAAUGCCGGGACUGAAGAAGUUGGCAGGUGACAAAGUCGUUGUGUGUCAUAAGCAGAACUAUCCCUAUGCUGUGUUUUUCUGCCAUGCAAUAAAACAUACAGCAGCUUAUGCUCUCUCCCUGAAAGGCGAUGAUGGGGAGAAGGUUAAAGCAGUAACCAUCUGCCAUCUAGACACAUCAGAAUGGGACCCAGAGCAUAUGUCCUUCAAAAUCGUCAACGUUAAGCCCGGAACCAUUCCCAUCUGCCAUUUCAUUUCCACUGAUGCUAUUGCCUGGGUUCCGAACCACAAAUCUGCAUGAUCAUCACUUAGCACUAGUACUGUGCGUAUAAUAUGCCUGUAUAAUUAUCUCCCUACUUAUUUCUGCCUGUUCAUCAUGUGGUGUAAGAUAUAUGUUGAGAUGAAGUUUUUGGGAUUAGUGGUCGAAAUUAACCCGAUCAUGUUUUCUCUUGUAACUAUAUAGACUUCAACUUGUACUCAUAAUAAAGCAUGCUAUAUUUAUGAAGAGAUAUUAAUCUUCAGGCAAAUAGAUAUUAUGAAAACAUAUAUAGCAAUUUAUCCAGAAGAAAUAUUAUGAAAUGAAAAGAAUAAAAAGUAAAAAAACAGAAGGAAAGGAAUUCGCACCUGCUAUGUAUGAAAGGACCAAGAUUGUUUUCCCUUUGGUUAAUGACUAGAAAAGCUCACUUGCAGAUUGCUUUCUCUGACCGUAGAUGCAACAGAAAUUUUCUCUUAAUAAUAGCACAAUGAUCGGGUAAUUGUAAGAACAAGUUGAUUUAAAAUUCCUUGACCCAAAAAAAAAAAAAAAAUCAUUUCAAAUUCAGGUCAACCCAUAGAUUUCUUGCCUUUUUCUUCUUCAUCACGUUGGGCUUGUCUUCUUCUUGAGGAUUGUAUAGGCCCAGGAAAUGCUUUGAGGUAGUUUUUGGCCUUGGAAGUUGGGACCCAACCCAACUUCACAAAAAGAAAACAGAUUUGCCAAAAAUCAAAUUUCAAGUCUCUCCUCAGAUCACUAAUACAGAUCAAAUUUUGGAUUUGAUGAACUAAAGUGGUUUUACUUUCUCUGUCAGUGUUUGAUGACUUAAUUUGUUAUUUACUUCUUUUUUUUUUUUUACUUGAUCUUUGUAGGGGUUUUUUUCUUCCGGUAACUUAAACGGGCUGGGCUGCCGUAAAGGGUAGAUUGAUGAAAUUGUCUCCUUUGUCUGAGUUCGAAAAUCAAGCCCCAAAAGCGCUUCGAAAGGGCAGUAGAGCCUUAGGAAGCGUUCUAGUCAUCUUCACCAACUAAAACAACAGCAACUUACAGAUGAUUUCUUAAGGCUUACAGAUAAAUUUUCUAGCUUGGCAUGAGAGGCUUGUGACAUGGAAGCAAAAUCAGCAUGAGUUUAGCACCAAAGAGGAAAAUAUGGCUUCCUAGGGAGAAAUGGGAGUGUUUAAGGUGAGGAAGAAGAGGUUUGCAGGCUGAUUUGGCUGAGGAGAGAGAAAGAAAGAACAAUGUUCUUCCAGUAGCUUGACAAAGCUUCUGACAGAUGUGAAAGUCGUCUGCCAUAAGAGGAAAAUGAAGAAGAAUGGUGAAUAGUGCAUGAAAUUGCUGGGUUUUUGCAGGUAAGAGAGAAAGCUUGCUCUCUGAAUUUGAGUUGGUUUUUGGUUGGGUAGAAGAGGCCCCCUUUUAUAGCUGCGGGAAACCAUCUUUUUUCAAGAAACCCUAAUGGUUUCUAUCCAUUUUGGCCAAGCUUUUCCCUUCAUUUCUCUUCUCCUCCCUUGACUUUUCCUAUCUUGGUGAAAUUUCCUCUGCCUAUUUGCACAAAAUUAGAGAUUUUGAGGAGCUCAAGACCCCUUUCCCGCAGCUGCCUCAGUGGAGAAUCCCCAUUUUCAGUCAUCUUUCUUCCUUCUUUUCUCCCAUCUUCCAAGGUUAGGUCUGAUGAGGGAAAGAAAUGGGUAUGCACACUGGUUUGAAGGGUAUUUUUGCUUGAAACUUGUUCUCUCCCAUGUGCUGGAGCUUCCCAGCAACUUACACACAUGGAUAUUUUGGCUUUCAUCGUGGCUUUUGUUUUCAGCUAGGUGCUGGAGAUUUCGCAGAUAUUUUCAUGAGUUGCUUGGGCCUUCUAGGACAAUAGGUUGGUUUAUCAAGUGAAUGGGCUAACUUCAUCAAUUGUUGGGCUAUUUUGGUUGAGUUAAUGGACUAUUUUGGUUGAAGUAAUGGGCUAUUUUGGUUGAAUUAAUGGGCUAUUUUUCUCUCUUUGUGCUCACCCACAUAUUUGGGCCUAAGAAAUGGGCUUGAGUUCCGGGGCUCCCAAGCAACCCCGGGACUUCCAUUUCUCGGCCCAUCAAUGGGCCUCAUAUCAACUUAUUACCAUCCAUAUCACAACCCACUCAAGCAAGCCCUGGGCAUCUUGCGUGGCUUGGGCCCACUUAAGCUUGUAGCGUGACGUGUUGCUUAUUUGCUUGGCAUGGCAUGUGUGCAAGCGCAUAUGACGAACUUUAGCGUGCCCAAAUUGGGUUUAUUCUCGGUAAGGUAUCGCAUUGGGCCGAGAAUUUAAUUGGGCAGAACUGUGGAUUUUUGGGCCUCAACAAUCUUAUAUAUAUUGGUUUUCUUUUUUUCCUUAAUAUUCACCACCUUUCUGUUGCAUAAGUAUUUCAGUCUUAACGGGUUUCCAUCUACCACUCAUCUUUGCUCUUUUAAGUGUAAGCUUUUUUUUUUUUUUUUUAAGCACAAGAUUAGAGGGGAGGGGGAUUUCUCAAUGUAAGCUUUGCAGUUUCAUAAUUAAUAUUUCCAAUAUCUCACUGUUAGUAAAAUAUGGAACAGGAAAAGUAUGAAUAAAAUACACACAUGUUUUAUUUAGCAAAAUUUUGACAAGAUACAACUGAAAAGUUUGGCCACUAUAUAAUAUUUUGAUAUAAUUUCUACACUUCUUCUCAAAAGAUUAGAUCACUUCACAUCUUGUGUAUGUGAAAACUAAUGUAAAAAGUUGAAACUUUAUCGUAAAACCUCGACAAAAAUGAGCUCUACUAGAAAAUGUUCAAUUUGGAUUCGUUGAUUUAAAUGGCAAUUUGACACUUGAUAGAAAUUUUUACAUACAUGUGUUAGUGUUUGAUCACUUCACAUGUUACUUACUAUAUUUAUUCCACUCAAGUUAGGUAAAUAUUAUUAUCAAACAUUUCAAUUAAUUUGUGAUUUUUUUAUUAUUUAAUCAAUUAUGAAUUAAUGGAUUCUUCUUGUUGUUUUGAAGACCAAUAAAAAAAAAAGGGUAAGGAUGGCUUAUAACUCUGAUAAAACAACAGUGACGUGGACAGCAGAUGUUACACCGUACUGAAGAUUUUUGAAGAUUCUUUAUUUGGGUUUCUUUCAAGAUGAAAACCAUAUUAUCCACAACCACAAUGAAGAAGACAGAAAAUGGAGUAAUUCAGAUGUUACCAGCCAUCCACGACAAACUGAAGUCUGCAAAGCAUUCGUAAUCUAAAGGGAGACUUUGGAAAAGCCCAAAGGAGAGAGAAAAUUUUUAAAAGAAGCAAAAAUGGACAAAAUUGCCCUUAUUUAUUUUUUGAUUUCCUAAGAAAUCCUUUACAUUUGCAUGUCUUUGGUUUGAAAGUUGAGAGGUUAUUCUGUCUUUUUUCAAAAAGCUUUGGCUUUUUCCAAAAGUGAAAGUUUUUUUAUGGGUAAAACCUAAAUUUACUUAAUCCCUAAAAAGGAUGGGGAGGCUGCGCAAUACUUAGCCACGUGUAGGCCAGGAGGCUUUCCAAUUUUAAUAUAUAUAUAAAUUGAAAAAAUAAAAUAAAAAUCAAUCUAUUAUCCUAUAUAAAAUAAAGAUUAUUGCUUCCAUGGGCAGUGCUAUGCACAGGACAGUGCCUGCCCAGCACAAAUUUUUUUUAAAUAAAAAAAAAAAAUCUACAUAUGUUAUAAGCUCAUCCAAAAAAAUAAAAUAAAAUAAAAGUAAAUUCUACAUAUAUGUUGCCCAUCUAGGUGGUUCCAUAUCUUCUCUCUCCUUCUCUUUUGGCUAUUAGACUUCUUGUUUCUCUCUCUCUCUUUGCUACCUCACAUCAGCAAGUUUCUCCCUCUCUUUUUUUGGGGUCAAAUUCUUCCUCUAUUGACAAAAUCUUCUAUUAUCUUGGGUGGGCAACUUGGCAACAACAUCUUCUCUUCUCCUUUUGUCAACAACAAGUAUUAUUCUCAUUCUCUCAUUUGCUAUAUAUCUUUAAUUAUAGUUUUAAUUUAAAAUUGAGUAUUCUAGGGUUUAAUUAGGGAUGAAUUAUAAUUUUAGAAUUUUGUUGAAAUUAAUUAAGGCUUCGAUUAGGGGUGAAUUAUUCUACUGCUUUGGUUUGGAAUUUUGUUAAAAUUGAGUAUUAUAGGGUUUAAUUAUGGAUGAAUUAUAAUUUUUGAUUUUGGUAUUAUUGAGAUGUUAUUAUGAGAAUUUGUUUCAUUUUUUUAUUGGUAUAUUUGAUUAAAAUUCUUUCUACAUAUUAUUCAUAGGCUAUCUUUUAUUAUGUCGGAUCACAAUCGGAAUCCCAAGAGAACAAAGAAUUUGAAUAGUGUUGUUUUGUAUUGCAUUGCAUUUACUUUUGGUUUUAGUUUUGCUUUUAGUGUAAAUUACUCAAAUGGUCCUCAAAUUUGUACCCGAUUUACAUUUUGGUCCAUAAACUAAAUUAUUCAUUCAAAUGGUGCACCAACUCUUUAUUAAUCAGUGCUUUGGUCCUACCGUUAUGUUUUCUAUUAAAUUUAGUCAUGUGAGCAGCACAUGCUACAUUUGUAGGGGUAAAUAAGACUUUUGACCACUUUAUCACCUAUGUAUCACCACUUUAUAACCUAUUUGGAGAACAUAGGUCAGUUAUGGACGGUUUUACAAUUAUAUUUGACGGCAACAUUAACAUAAUGUAACAGUGGGAUCAAUGGAGCGAUUAAUAUAGAGUUGAUGGACCGUUUGAACGAAUAAUUUAAUUGAGGGACCAAAACGUAAAUUGAGUAUAAGUUUGAGGACCAUUUGAGUAAUGUACCCUUCGCUUUUAUAUUUGUUGAACUUUUAUUUAUGGAUAGAUAUGCAUUUGAGGGUAAGACCCAUUAUGUUCCCCCUGACUUGGUGUAUCUUUUUAUGUUUAUUAAUGAAAUUCACUCGAACUGUUGAGUUUAGUAUGUAAGUUUUGCCUAACCGGCUUUUGAAUCCUAGAACCGCCACUGUUGCUCCAUCCUCCAUGCACUUGCAUGUGCUCUUACAAAGUGUGAAGUAGAUUUUGUGUGCUCCAAGUCAUUGACUAGAGCUGAAACAUGGUUAGCUAGAUUUAUAAGGACCCAUCUCUCUAUUUCCUAGACAUAUACCCAUCUCUCUAUAAAUCUAUAUGUAAAACUCAAUUUCAAACUUAAAUGACCAGUAAGAUAUAAGAGGUCAUAGUAUUCCUAUGUUUUUACAUCGUUGCCACCAGACUUCUUAUUUUAUUUAUAAUUUAUUUCAAGCAUUUCAUUAACUGCCAUAAUUGUAAUUAAUACUCCAUAUUAAUAGCAUAUCAAUCACCCCAUUUCUUUUGAUUGCCAUUCCCUCUAACAUAUCGCCCCUUAAAAUUGAAAACCAAAAAAAAAAAAAAUGUAAAUUACAUAUCCAAUAAUGUACCUAUGAAAAAUAUAAAUAUAAAUAUAUACGUAUAAAAAUAUAGGUUUAUUAUUUACCAAAUAAAAAAUAUAAAAAAACUAGGUCAGUUGCUUUGUAAUUGAAAUUUCUAUACAUUUUCCACAAAUUAAAAAUAGGUACACAAUAAUUUAUAGAAAAUAUAGGUGCAUUAUUUAUCCAUAGGUAAAAAUACCUAUAAAUGCACAUAGGUAAAUUAUUUACCCAUAUAUUAUUUUUUUGCUAAGGAUUUACCUUAGUUUUUAGUAGAUUAAUUUACCUACCUAGAGGCAUAGGUAGCUUAAAAAAAUUGUAGCACCUUAGUUGGUUGCAUACUAAUUUACCUACCUAGAGGCAUAGGUUGCUAAGAAAAAAUGUAGGUAAAUUCAUGUACCUAAACACAUAGGGGUCAAAUAGAGAAUAACAUGUUAUUUCCCUUCGAACAAAUUAAUUUCAAACCAUAACAAUAAUUGAAUUCGGAAAUUGGUAUAAAUAAAAGGAAAUAAAUAAGCUAUCAAUUUGAAAAUUAAAAUAAGAAAUGAUCAAGUAGUCAUAUUUGAAAAAAAAGAAAAGAAUAUAUUCUUGGUUUUUAUAGGAACAACGUGUAUAUUCAAACCAAAUGGCAGUAACUACACCAAGCUUUAAUUACUUUUUUUUAAGGCCAAAAGUCACUUUUGGUCUCUGUAGUUUGACACUUCUAUUACUUUUGACGCUGUAGUUUCAAUUCCGUCAAUUUUGCCAUUGUAGUUUCAUAUUUGUAGCAAUUCAAGGACAUGUUAAUAUUAAUGUCAAUUUGUUUAAUGAUGCAAGGGGUAAUUUCGUCAUCCCAAAAUCCUUGAGCAUAAAAGCUUGUCUGAAAUUCUCCCCAUUUCAUAUUAGGGCUCGAAAUUCAACCACUAAUCCCAAUUUUUGAAGAACCCUAUACCCAAAUGACCAAUUUCAAGCCCUAAUAACAAAUUAGGGAAGUUUUAGAUGAGCUUUUAUGCUCAAGGAUUUUGAGUUGAAGAAAUUGCCCCUUGCACUGUCAAAGAAAUUGAUAGGAAUACUGACUUGUCCUUGAAUUGCUACAAAUACAAAAAUACAGGGUCAAAAUUAACAGAAUUUAAACUAUAUGGUCAAAAGUGGUUAAAGUGCCAAACUACAAGGACCAAAAGUGACUUUUAGCCUUUUUGUUUAAAUAAGGAAAAAACUUACCUAUUAAAUCCUUGGAAUCUAUACAAAAUUGAAACACAGUUAAUCAGCAUUGAAUUGCAGCUAAUUUCUUAAACAAGGGUAUUAUAGGAAUUUAAAAAGUAUAACAUUUAAUCCAUUGAGCUUGAUUAGGAAUCUUGAUGAGUUGGAUCCUAGUUAUAUAGUUUCUCUUAUAAAAAUCGGGUUUUAUUUAUAGACAAAUAAAACAAUGGGUUGUAGGUAAGAAAAUAUUAAUUUGAAGGGAAAGUGUCACAUCCUGGGAUCGGCUCCGCCGUAGCACGAUAUUGUCCGCUUUGGGCCCCCCUCUCUGCCCGCACGGUUUUGUUUCUGGGAGCUCACGAGCAACUUCCCAGUGGGUCACCCAUCCUGGGAUUGCUCUGGCCCCCAACUCGCUUAACUUCGGAAUUCCUAUGACUCCGAAGCCAGUGAGCUCCCAAAAGGCCUCGUGCUAGAUGGAUGCGGGUGUGUACAUAUAAGACACAUCACCCCCUCUCCGUUGGUUGAUGUGGGAUCUUACAGAAAGAGUCAAAUUUACUAAAUUAAUAAAGCAUAAAUUGGAAAGGGAAAAGAUCUAGAGGAUGCAUUGUAGGAUUGCUCAUGCCAAUAAUUGCACCCUCUCGAUAUUGAAAAACCUAUUGUGUAUUAUUAUCUUCAAUCAUGAAUGAUGCACCUAAAACCCAAGUGUCCCAAGCCAACCAUUGCGCUCAUACCACUUGUUGCAGUACACAUUCACCCGUUUUUAAAGAAAGAAAUUCUACCAAUCGAUAUUGUCUCAAAUUUAAUCACAUAGGUCUAUUAUGGUUAACCAUAUGUACUUUUAUCGGCCAUAUAGAGGUACCUUUUUCCAACGUGCAACAAUUGUAUUUGAUUCACAAUUAUGUCUGAUAUACAUCACAUCAUGCCACUUGCCUCAAAUGAAUUUAAUUGAGUGAGGCAAUGGGAAGUAAUUAAGCUCUAUAUUGGUGGGUGGAGUGUUACUUCUGGAACCCUCAUCAUUCGUCCAUACAAGGGAACAAUUCCCUUCCUUCUAUAAAAUGGUGAAGCCAGUUGCUAUUGUUUGUUAGAGUUUUAGGAUCUGAGUGUUAGAUUUUGUGAGAAGAGAGAAGAGAAUUUAGUGAAAACUUCCAAUACUGCUCUGCUAUACGUGUAGCAGAGAGAACAUUCUGUUUUGUUAUAUAUUUUCAGUACAACAACACACACUUGGUGUGAGAAGAAAAAUGACUGUUAUGCACAGUACCAGCUGGAUGCUUUCCAUCAAAGUAAUCUCAGCCAUUCACUAUCUAACCAAUCAAGCUAUGACACCUGGACUAAGUAUAAAGAAAUACAACUAAGCAGAAAACAAGACUCUUAAUCCUGAAAUCAACUUAAGCACUUAUAAUUCAACACUCCCCUUUAAGUCUUGAGGUGAUUUCACUCCAAGCAUGCCUCUGAGAUAAUUGAAUCUGUCUUUGGCCAGAGGUUUGGUAAAAAUGUCAGCCAAUUGUUCAUUUGUAGGACAAUAUUCCAGAUUGAUUACCCCUUCUUGCAAUGCAUCCUUGAUGAAGUGAUACCUCCUGUCAAUAUGCUUUGUCUUCUGGUGGAAUACAGGGUUUUUAGUGAUUGCAAUUGCUGAGAUAUUAUCACAAUGCAAUGGAGUAGCUUCAGUUUGAAGCUCUCUAAAGUCUUCUAGCACAAAACGGAGCCAAAUAGCUUGAGUAGUAGCCUCAGCUGCACUGAUGUACUCAGCUUCUGCAGUAGACAGUGCAACACAGUUCUGUUUCACUGAGGCCCAAGAAAAUACUCCACUUCCAAAACUAAACGCAUACCCUGAUGUGCUCUUGCAAUCACCAACUGAUCCUCCCCAAUCACUGUCACAGUAACCAACUAGAAUUGAUCUUUUGCCUUUCACAUAUUCAAGACCAUAGUCCAGAGUUCCUUUGAUGUAUCUCAAAACCCUUUUAGCUGUUCCAUAGUGUCUAUUUGUAGGACAGUGCAUGAAUCUAGCUAGCAAGCUUGAGGCAUACAUGAUGUCUGGUCUUGUAGCAGUUAAGUACAGCAAGCUACCAACAAUGCUUCUGUAUUGUUCUUCAUUUGCAGCUCAACUCCCAUCAUCCUUAGCUAGUUUCUCAGUGGCAACAAGGGGUGUUGUCACAGGUUUGCACUCAGUCAAACCAAACUUGCUCAACAAGGUGCUAGCAUAUUUCUUUUGAUGUAGAAAUAUACUAGACUCAGUCUGAAUAACUCCCAUGCCAAGAAAGUGAUGAAGUAAGCCCAAAUCAGUCAUCUCAUACUUAGCCAUCAUGUCUUCUUUGAAUUCAGCCAACAAUGCUUGACUGCUCCCUGUAUACACAAUAUCGUCUACAUAGAUAGACACAAUUAGAAUCUCCUUAUCUCCCCUUACUUUGGUAUAUAAGGUUGUUUCACUUAAGCUUUUCACAAAACCACAUUGAGUGAAGUAGCUGUCUAUCUCUCCAUACCAAGCCCUUGGGGCUUGCUUCAGACCAUAAAGGGCUUUAUGCAAACGAUAAACCUUGUCUUCUUUACCUUUAAUUACAAAACCUUCAGGCUGACUGACAUAAACUUCCUCUUGCAGCACACCAUUAAGGAAAGCAGACUUCACAUCAAGCUGGAACAAUUUCCAAUCCUUUUGAGCAGCUAGAGCAAUAAGUGUUCUAAUGGUGUCCAAUCUGGCUAUAGGUGCAUAAGUCUCAUUAUAAUCCAGUCCAGGCUUCUGAGCAUACCCCUUAGCCACUAAUCUUGCUUUAUUCUUUUGCACUGAGCCAUCCAAAUUCAGCUUUGUCUUGUACACCCACUUAACUCCAAUCACUGGUUUUUCAGUUAGUCUAUCUACCAAUUCCCAUGUUUCAUUCUUUUCAAUCAUCUGCAGUUCAUCUUCCAUAGCCUUAAGCCAAGAUUCAUCCUGAGCAACAUCAGCAUAUUUUUCUGGUUCCAUGAUACACAAGUUACACUGAGCUAGAACAUCAUCUAGCCUUCUCCAUUUUAGAGGGGUGUGAUCAUAAGCUUGAGUUCUCCUUUCUUCACUGCUUAUAUCACCUGGAGUUGAUGAAAUGCUCUCUUGCAUAUCCAAAGUUUGAGGUGUACCAGUAGAAUUCUCAUUAGAACUGUCAGAUUUCAAGUCCAAAUCAACUUGGUUUUCAAUUGAGUAUGUUGUCAUAACUGAACCAUUUUUGUUUGUCCAAUGCCAAGCAUUUUCUUCAUCAAAUGUCACAUCCCUUGAUAGUAAAAGCUUGUUAGAAACAGGAUCAAAAACUCUAUAUCCUUUUUCACAAGUUGCAUAUCCCACAAACACUCCCUUUGUACUCUUAGGAUCCCGCUUGUGUCUCAAUUCAGUUGGCACAUGAACAUAACACAGAGAACCAAACACUUUCAGAUGUGCAAUUCCAGGCUUCCUUCCACUAUAUGCUUCGAAUGGAGUAAUGUUGUUGAGAGCUUUGGUAGGACAUCUGUUCAGCAAAUAGAUAGCUGUAUGCACAGCUUCUGCCCAUAGGAAAUAAGGCAUUCCCUUCUCAUGUAACAUUGAUUUUGCCAUCUCAAUGACAGUUCUAUUCUUCCUCUCAACUACUCCAUUCUGCUGAGGAGUAUAGGCCAUUGUAAGCUGCCUUUGAAUGCCAUUAGCUUCACAAAACUCCAAAAAAUCAGUAGACAUAAACUCUCCACCCCUGUCACUUCUUAUGCACUGAACCUUGUGUCCAGUUUGUAAUUCAGUCAUGGACUUGAACUUCUUGAAACAAAAGAAGGCUUUUGACUUGUUUCUCAAGAAGUAUACCCAAAUCAUUCUUGUGAAAUCAUCUAUAAUCAGCAUGAAAUAUCUGUUCCUUGCAACAGACUCAUUUCUCAUGGGACCACAGAGAUCCACAUGUAUUAGCACUAGUACUUUGCUUGCUCUUUGAGCUUGAUCUUUUGGAAAAACAUUUCUGUGCUGUUUUCCAAAUUGGCACCCGUCACACACACCACUUUGUUCUUCCAAUUUUGGUAAACCAUGUACCAUUUCUUUAUCACUUAGCUGCUUCAAUCCUCCAAAAUGCAGAUGACCAAAUCUCUUGUGCCAAAUCCAUGUGGAUUGAAGAAAACUAGUCUUCAUUAGUAACUGUUUUUCAGCUAGAAAAGAGACAGGAUAGCAUCUGUUACUCUUCAUUUGCACCUUUAUGAUGAGAUAAUCCAUGGAUGGGCUAUCAAAUACCCUGCACAUCCCUUCUCCAAACACUAGACAGUACCCAUGUUCAUCCAUCUGCCCAACACUUAGCAGAUUUUCUUUCAAUCCUGGCAGAUACAUUACUUCUCUGAUGUAUUUCCUGCCCUUUGCUGUAUCAAUACUCAGUGAGCCAAUACCAGCUACACUCACUAAUGCACCAGUUGGCAUUUGUACUCUCCCAGCUACAUUAGUUCUCACAUCAACCAGCAAAUCUAAAUUUCCUGUCAUAUGAUUGCUGCAGCCACUGUCAAUGUACCAUUCAUUGGUUUUGAUCUCAGUGGUUGAGCAAUUGGCAUAAAACAGGUUUCCUGUAACCUCCAUUUGAUUUACACAAUUAGCCUUCUGCACAUUUUUGCUCACUGUACAGUCUCUAGCAAGAUGUCCAACUCUGUCACAGUUAUAGCAUUUUGGUUUUCCCUUAUACCUGCACUCACCAAAAUGAUGCUUUGAACACACCUUGCAUUGAGGCUUUGUGUUUUCCUGAUUUGAGAACUGUGUUGAAGUGUGGUUCUGUGCAGAAUAAUUAUUCUGCUGUGUCUUGUCUUUUGCCUCCCAUGACUUCCCUUUAGAGUUCCAGCUUCUCUGUGACUUAGAUGAACCAGACUGAGAAGCAUUUUUGUUCUGACCCUUUGAAUUCACAGUGAAUGAGGCAAAUGCCUUCUCAGCUGUAUCAACACUAUGCAUUUCAAGCCUUUGCUCCCGACUCUUCAAAAUGGCAGUUACUUCCUGCAAAUCCACAGUUUCUAGUGUCUUUGUGUUUUCAAUCACAAUGCAUAUAGGGUCAUACUUCUUACUUAGACUAAUUAACACCUUCUGAACCUACCUCUCAUUUGACAGAACUUCACCAAAUGUUUUCAUUUGGUUAAUCAAUUCAGUUAGUCUAGUAAGAUAUUCAGAUAAGGUUUCACUAUCACGCAUCCUACUGUAUUCAAACUCACGUCUAAGGUUUUGAAGCUUUACCGAUCUAACAUGCUCUCCACCAUGAUAUUCUGAGUACAGCAGAUUCCAAGCCAUCUUUGCAGAGUCAGCAUUGGCAAUUCUGGGAAAAAUCUGAUCAGAAACAGCAUUUUGAAUGAUACCCAAGGCCUUCGCAUCCUUCAUGAGAAUCGCAGCUGUUUUCUCAUCAACUUCUUCUUCUGAACCAUCCUCAGAUUCCUGCUUCGUCUUUGAAUCUGGGAUUAAAAACCCCUUCUCUACCAAACCCCAUAAACCAUAUGAUCUGAAUAUGGUUACCAUCUUAAUCCUCCAAAAUUCAUAGUUCUCACCUGAGAAAAUGGGGAUUCUAGCCUCUGAACUUCCAGAUCCAGCCAUUACGAAUUUCAGAUUCGCCUGGAAACAAGAUGUUUUCAGAUUUGACCCUUGAUCGAGCUCAAUCAGCUUCGUGAGCUUAGAAUGAGCUCACCUCGAUCGAUUUUCUUCACAGAACAACGCCCAGCUUCAGAUAAUCAAACUUGGCUCUGAGGCCAUGUUAGAGUUUUAGGAUCUGAGUGUUAGAUAUUGUGAGAAGAGAGAAGAGAAUUUAGUGAAAAUUUCCAAUACUGCUCUGCUAUACGUGUAGCAGAGAGAACAUUCUCUUUUGCUAUAUAUUUUCAGUACAACAACACACACUUGGUGUGAGAAGAAAAAUGACUGUUAUGCACAGUACCAGCUGGAUGCUUUCCAUCAAAGUAAUCUCAGCCAUUCACUAUCUAACCAAUCAAGCUAUGACACCUGGACUAAGUAUAAAGAAAUACAACUAAGCAGAAAACAAGACUCUUAAUCCUGAAAUCAACUUAAGCACUUAUAAUUCAACAUUGUUACCAUAAGAGCCAGCUCCGACUUUCUUUAAUUUCAGUCCUAACGGGGUUUCAUCUUCCACUCAUCUUUGCUCUUCUCAGUGUAAGCUCUGCAAUUUGAUUAACUUUCCCAUUAUCUCUCACUGUACUCUAUAUAAAGGAAUAAGUGUCGUCCACUAAUUAAUUACACUUUGUGAGAUUUGAUUUUAAUUAGAGUUCGAAUUGAUGUUGCAGCUAGCAGCGGUGGCACUGGCAAACCAUGCUGCUCAACCAGCACCUCAACUUUACUGGAACUCCGUCCUGCCAAACACACAAAUGCCAAGAGCUAUCAGUGAACUUCUGCAUCCUGGUUUGUGUUGAAUAAAUAUAGUAUGUUACUGGAGUACGUAUGGCAACAUAUUCACAAAUGUGUCACGUAUUUUCCAAUAUGACGUUGAUAUAUAAUUGCAGACUCCACAAACGAAGAAAAGAGCACAAAUGUCAUGAAUGCUGUUGGGAAUGGAAAGCCAAUUGACCACAAGGGCAACCUGAAAAUACUGUACUACCACAGCUUGCACGACGCCCAUUUUCUUACAAGAGUGAUGAUCGUCCCACUGACAAUCAACUCCAUUAUAAAAACGUAGCUAUUUUCUUCUUGGAGAAGGACAUGCGCCCUGGCACAACAAUGAGCUUCCAAUUCCCUAGAAAUUCAAACACGGCUACUUUCCUGCCACCAGAAAGAGCUCAAUCGAUCCCCUUCUCCUCUAACAAACUACCAGAAAUUUUCAACCAUUUUUCAGUGAAGCCAACAUCUGUGGAAGCCAAAACAAUUAAGCAAACAAUCGAAGAGUGUGAGGCUCCAGGCAUUAAGGGAGAGGAAAUAUAUUGCGCCACAUCUUUAGAAUCAAUGGUUGAUUUUAGCACUUCGAAUUUUCGAACAAGAAACGUUCAAGCAAUCUCGACAGAGGUAUUGGAAAAAGGUGCCACCAUGUCCAUGCACAAGCAUACAACAAUGCCGGGACUGAAGAAGUUGGCAGGUGACAAAGUCGUUGUGUGUCAUAAGCAGAACUAUCCCUAUGCUGUGUUUUACUGCCAUGUAAUAAAACCAACAGCAGCUUAUGUUCUCUCCCUGAAAGGCGAUGAUGGGGUGAAGAUUAAAGCAGUAGCCAUCUGCCAUCUAGACACAUCAGAAUGGAACCCAAAGCAUUUGGCCUUCCAAAUCCUCAAAGUUAAGCCCGGAACAAUUCCCAUCUGCCAUUUCCUUCCCACUGAUCAUAGUGUCUGGGUUCCGAACCACAAAUCUGCAUGAUCAUCACUUAGCACUGUACGUAUAAUAAGCUUGCACCCCUGUAUAAUUAUCUCCCUACUCUACUUAUUUCUGCCUCUUCAUGUGGUGUAAGAUAUAUGAUGAGAUGAAGUUUUUGGGAUUAGUGGUCGGGUUGCCUUAAAAACACAGAUUACAGAAACUGCUUGAACUUAACCCGAUCAUGUUUUCUCUUGUACUCGUAAAGCAUGCUGUUGUGGUUCUACUUAAUUUCGUUCUCCCCAAUGUUUGAGUGUUUAAUUGUUACGUUGGAUAAUGCUUGUAGUUAGAGAAGCCUUCAUUUAUAUCAAAGUCCUCAACUUGUAAAGAUAUCAAUGGUCCUAGUGCUGCCACGUGUAAGAAGAUUGAAGAAUAAAGCUGUUGAGAUAUUGUUAGACCUGUUAUGCAGUUUAGGAAAACUGUUAGUAUUGAUAAGAGAAGGUUAGAGAUGUUAGAGAGGUUAGAAAACACGUGAACAAGGCUUUAACUCAGCUGAUAUAAAGUCUGUAGUUGUGCUCAGUUGAACUUAAUGAGAAAUACAACAAGUCUCUUCUCUAUCUCUGAAAUUCUCUCUGCUCUCUCUGCUUUACUUCUUUUGUCUCUGCUCUACAUUUUUUUUCAAUCUUCCUAUCUUAACAAAACUAUCAAGAAUUAAUGCAUCCAGAAACAUAUAUACCAAGACGCAAAACAACAUAUUUUUCAUGCUCUGUCUGUAACACCAAAGCAAACUUCCUUUAUCACAAAAGGAUCAAAUUCCAGUACUAAUCUAAUCCAUCAUGUAAAGCAUACAAUCUACAAGUGCCUCCCUUAAUUUGUCCAUUGGAUAUAUAUGUCACUUUUUGGUAAUUUGGUAUAGCAGCACCACGUAGUCUUGAAAUAGUAGUGCGGCUAUACCAAAUAUACCAUUUGCCCCUGCAUUUAACAGAAAAGUAAACAAAAUUGACGGUAGAACUAUUUGUCCUAACGAAACUGCAGUUGAAAGACCAUGAGAACGAUUUUGAAAAUUGAGGGACUCAAAUGAAAAUUGGGUCUAAGUUCAAGAACCAAUAAAACGAUUAACCCAUAGAUUUUGGAUCCAGUACCACAUCCCAAAGAGAAAACCACAAGUUUGCAAGCAAGUUUGUCCAUAAUAACACUACGUACAGUAUGGGCAGUGCGCUAGACUCAUCUCACUUUCUCAACCUAUCCUAUAGUUGUCUAAAAGAGUUUCUAAUUUAAUGUACUGAGAUUUACGAAAGAAAUAUCAGAGAAACAAUUUUCAGGCAAUAAAAAAAUGUCUUGGCAAGAAAAUGUACAAUUUGUUACAUAACUUAUUAAAUAUGAACAGUUGAAAGAAAAAAGAAUCUGGAUGAGGGAUUUGCAAAUUCCUAUGGCCCAAUUACCUUUUUUUCUUUGUUGUUUUUUUUUUUUUUUUUUUGGUUCUUUUGAUCCAGUAGCAUAUUCCAAAGAAUGAAAACCACAGGCAUGCAAUGCAAGCUCUUUUCCCACGUUUUCCUCUGUUUUUCUCCUAUCAUGGAAGUGAUUAAAACACACCUCUAAGCUUGUUUUGCGUUUGGUAGCCGAGUGUAAAAGCUCAAUGCAAGAUAGUUUGAGGUAGAAUUUUCUCCUAUUUUAUUAGGACAAUGAUAAUUAAAAAAAAGUGUGAUUCAUUGAAUAUUUGCGGGGUUUUGUUCAGACCUGACAAAGUUCUAAGUCAACACAUCAAAUUCCUUUUUCCAACAUGCAACAAUUGUAUUUGAUUCCCAAUUUUUUCUGAUAUACAUCACAUCAUGCCACUUGCAUCAAAUGAAUUUAAUUGAGUGAGGCAAUGGGAAGUAAUUAAGCUCUGUAUUCGUGGGUGGAGUGUUACUUCUGGAACCCUAAUAAUUCGUCCCUACAGGACUCUAGAACUCUCAAACUUCUUACAAGGACUACUUAACUCUAUAGCUUAAUGCAUAUAGCAUAUAUAUGCAAACACAAUUAGAAAUUCUACAACAGAAGCAAGAUCAAUCUCACUAUGCCUUCUAAACAAACAAACAAAUAAAACAAGCAUAUUAAUUGCUUUAAUCACUCUACUAACAUCAACACAGCACACUUAGUUUACUAACAGAUGAUAUAGAAAGGAAAAAAAAGGACCAAUAGGGAGAAAAUGGUGAACUAAGGAGAGACUAAUACUUCUGGUCCUUAGAAGGCAUAACAGAAAUAAUAGAGCACACUGCUUGAAUGCAAGUCAGUAUUAGGAGCAAAACAGCUGCAAUGAAAGAAAUAGUUGCCCAAGGUGUAUUGAAAUAAUGUUGCCUCAAAUUUGCCUUCCAUUUGUUCCAAGGCUUUCUGCAGUAGCUAUUAAGGCGCUCAGAAAGAAUAGCAAAGUAGAAGCUUUCACGAUACACUGCAAUUCCUUUUCCGAGGUUGUUAAUCAGAGUGCACACCUCAUUGUAGUCACCAAGCAUAUUUUUGACAAUCCCAUCCUUCAGAAGGAACUCCACAUCCUUUUCGGUGUUCACAAACUCAUCCAUGAGUGAAACAUAAUCACUUAUGUAAUUCUUACGGCAAUGGCACUAUUCAAAGGCAAUGAGGUUACGGAGUGUGAGCUCUGUGUAAUCGUGUAUUUUUAGUUUUGGAAUUUCUAGAAUCCCAUCGUUGAAUUGUGUUAACGCAGCUUUCCUUUCCUAGCCUACACGGAAGUCAACUUCACAAUCUCCUCCUAGCAAUUAGUCUUUCCUGCUGUAAAUCAGAUUUCCUACUGUAAAUCGGAUUGUAUUCAUGUCUAUAUUAUUUCCUACUUUAAGUAGAUAUCUUGUACUAGUAUAAAUAGGGACUUUGUGUAAUCUGUUAAAUACAAGGAAAUAUAUACUCUGCAUGGUAUCAGCCUAACCUAGGGUUCUCUCUCUCUCCCUUAUUCGAUCCUCUUCUCCUUUAGGUCCACCUCAUGGCUUUGUCUGAAUCCACCAUCUCCCUCCCAAGCCCCAACUCUUCUAUUUUAUCAAGCUUAUUGACUCCAACUAUCUUCUUUGGCUCCGCCAACUCAAACCCUUUUUAGUCGGCCAUGACCUCUGGAAAUUUAUCGAUGGCAUUCAUAAACAACCUUCUGCCCACACCUCCACCUCUACCACCGCAACACCCACAACCACCACCACUCUUACCCAAAUCAAUCAUGCCCAUGCUCAGUGGUACCAACAAGACCAACUCAUUGUUAGCUACAUCACCAAUACACUCUCUGAGUCCAUUCUCUUUCUCACUGUUGGUUGCACCUCUGCCCGGGAUCUCUGGGAGUGUCUCCAACGCCACUUCUCUCAAUCCAGUAUGGCCAGUGAAUCUACUCUUCGUUUUAAACUCAUGGAUUUGCAAAAAGGCUCUGAACCCACUUAUGCUUACAUUCGUCAUGCUAAGUCCUUUGCCGAUUCACUGGCUGCCAUCAAUGAACCUGUCUCCCCAAAAGAACUUGUCACUACUGUGCUUUGGGGUUUAAGACCCUAUUGCAACAUCCUCGUCACAGCAAUUCUCAAUUUCCCUCUGCUUCCUAACUUUGCUAAUCUUCGUGCUCGUUUGUUAGCAUUUGACGCACAGACUCCUUGAAUCUCUCCUGAUCAAAACACAGCGCAAAUGGCCACCCAAUCCUCUCCUCACACCACCGGUCAUACUUCCUUCCCUUCUCACCGUGGUGGUGGCUCUUCCAACAACAGGCGUGGUGGCCUCGGUGGCUGGCGCAAUAGCGGCCGGGGUGGCUGGCGCAGCUUCUCAUCUUCCUGGAGCAACCCGUGGAAUGGCUUCCAGCAGCUCCAAUGACCUAAUCAACCAUGGCCUCCUUUUGCUCCAAGUUCUGGAUCUCAAAGCAACUGGCCUUCCUUUCAGCCUCCUUGGGCCUAAUCUGCCGCUUCUAUCAAACACUUUGCCCGGCCCAACUCAGCUCCUGGUGUCUUGGGACCCGCUUGGUGCACUACCUGCAAUACCAAUCACAUACUACUACAAUAUGUCCUCAUCGCUACAAUGGCCCAGAAUCCUUUCUUUGCUAGGGCUCAAUUCAUGUAGCCACCUGACUCUACUUGGUACCCUGACACAAGUACCACUCAUCAUAUGAUUGGUAGUCCUUCUAAUCUCCAAAAUCAAUCCUUCUAAUCUCCAAAAUCAACAGCCAUAUCAGGUUCAUAAUUCUGUAUUUCUUGGUAAUGGAGAUUCUCUCCCUAUCUCUCAUACUAGCUCUCUCUUUUGUCUUCCAUCUCUUCGUACUAAUCUUCUUUUUGUUGCCCAUUUUACUUGUGAUAAUUUAGUUUUCUUUGUCUUUACUCUUGACUUUUAUCAAAUCUAUGACUUAUGUACUGGUUCGUUACUCUUUCAGGGCCCUUCUAAAGAUGGUCUUUACCCACUUUCCAUCUCCUCUCACUCAUCCAUAGUCCCCCAUGCCCUUACCACCGUGCACUCUCCUGCUUGGCAUCAUUGCCUUGGCCAUCCAUUCCAUCGUGUGCUCUCUCAUUUAGCGCCAUCUCUAGGCUUUAAAGUUUCUCAUGCUUUCUGUAAGGAUUGUGCACUUAGCAAAUCCACCAAACUGUCAUUUCUUAGUAAUAAAACCUUUGCCCCAUCUCCCUUUUAUUUAAUUCACUCUGAUGUAUGGAUGUCCUCGGUCAUUUCUGUCACUGGUUAUCGCUAUUAUGUCUUGUUUACAGAUGACUUUUCUCGUUACUCCUGGAUCUAUCAUAUGCACCGUAAAAAUGAGGUCUUUUCUCACUUUCAAACCUUUCUUGCUAUGGUUAAAAAUCAAUUUCACACCACUGUACAAAUUCUUUAAAGUGACAAUGGCACUGAAUAUGUUAAUAAUGCUUUCUCUGAUCUUUGCAGUCAACUAGGCAUCCACCAACGUUUCACAUGUCCCCACACUCCCCAACAAAAUGGCCUAGCUGAACAUAAACACAGACACAUUGCCACCAUGAUCUGUCCCCGGUCAUUUAUUCAACCAUCUUGACCUUUUGCUUGAUCAUUUUCCACAAGCAACCGUCCACGUACCCCAAUAAUUUAAAAGGGCUGAUGAUCUUUAAUUUGGUGAAAGCUUCUAUCUACCUACCGUGCUAUAUAUGAGCUAUGCAAUCGUGACCGUGUUACAUGACGUCCCAAUGUCGUAGGGAUAAAAAAAUAAUAGUCAUGGUUUUCUUAUUAAUGUCAAUACAUUCAUAGCAAAGAGCUUGUAGCUCUAGUGGUUAAGAGCAAUUACCCAUGCACUUGAGAUAUUUUGUGUUUAAAUCCCCUCUUCCCCAAUAUUUCUUGUAUAAAAAUAAAAAUAACAAUAAUAAUGACAUUAAUGUUGUAUUCUAUAAAGUGUUGGACAUGUUUUAUACCCCUUUCUUGCAAAUUACAGUUUGCCACGUGUACAAAAAUAAUAGAUAAGUGUUGGACAUCAAGAGCACUUACAUAUAGGUUUAAUAGGUAAGUUUUGAAUAUUUCUGUAUUUAGCUUUAAAUAUUGAAAAUCAACCUAUUAGCAUAUUAAAGAUUUGUCCAUAUUCGACGUACAUUCUCUUAUUUUUCUCUCAUUGAAGUAAAUACAAAACUAAGCACAUAGUGGGAAAGUGCGUCACGAUUAGGGGUGGGUUUAGUCUAGGUUGGUUCAUUUUUGGGCUCAAUUUGAACACCGAACUGUAAGCUUCGGUUUGGCUAUUUUGGAAACCGAAACCAAACCAUAAUUGAUGAAAACCGACCACUUCGAUUACCUUCUGGUCUUCCAACCAGAAGAAAACUCAAAACUUUAACCAUACCAAGUGCAACAGAAUUACACCAGGCUGGAUUCAAGUUUAUGAUGGUUAAAGAUAAAAACUUAUUUGACAUACAAUUUGAGAAUGGAAUCCUCAAAAUUCCACACCUGCGAAUACGGGGUUUAACAGAAAUUUUCUUCCGCAAUCUUAUUGCCUAUGAGCAGUGUGAGCUUCAUGAUCAUUACAUCAACGACUAUGUCUUCAUCAUGGACCGCCUGGUCGACAGUGCCAGGGAUGUGGAAUUGCUUGUGAAGAGUGGAAUUCUUGAAUCUAUGCUACCGGACAGCGAGGCAGCAGGGGAAUUUAUUAAUUCUCUUGACUUGGGGCCUAUUUUAGGCAAGCUUGAAACAAGACUAUUUCAGUUCACCAUGGGCUGGCCUGUCUAUUAUUGUAGCCGCUAUACUAGUUGUGCUCACAUUUAUUCAAACAGUGUGCUCCGUAAUGGCGCUGUAGGUUCUUCAUUUCCUCAAUUUCAUGUUUAGUGGUUGCAGAUUUGUUGCUCAUGUACGUGUUUAUCUAAAGUUAAAUAAGAGUGAUUGACUGGAUUGACUGUUAGUCUGUUAGUUUGUUUUUCUGGGGUUUUUCCCCCCUGUUCGUCAAAAAAAAAAAUAAAAGAGUGAUGGCUUGUGCCUAUGAAAAUUACUUAGGAGUAUGCUCCACAGAGCCAAAAUAAAUAAACUAGGGAAGUGGAGGUUCUUCUGUUUGUAUAUAAAUGAGCAAUUCAAACUCUCAGUGCCAAGGGAGUUACCCUUGAUACAUUUGUUAAAAAUUAUAUAUUUGGUCUUACAUCAAACAAAUAAUUUGAAGGGCUUUUUUGACAACUGCUGACAGCGUUUGGCAGAAAAGUUUAGAAGCGCUUCUACGCUUCUAGAUCAUAAAAGUGCUUUACCAAAAAGCACUUAGAUUUCUUAUGAAAAUUUCAACAUUUUUAUAAUAAAAGCGCUUGCUAGAAGCACUUAUAAGCAGAAGUGCUUCAUAGAGAAGCAGUCCCAAACGAGCUUGAUUUUCAAAUGUGCUGCUUAAGAAGAAAUUUAAUACGUUUUGAAAACAAAAAAAAAUACGAAAUUUAAUACGUUUGUUUUACAAAUUGUAUUAAUUGUUAUCAAUAAUACUUGUGCACACCCACAACAUACUUCUUUCUUUCUUUAUUUUCCUUCAGUACAGUUCUGCCUUUCUUUAAUUAUUUUUAACGAAUGCAAAGAGUUUGUCACAAAAUCAAGGAUUGAAAAAAAAAGAGAGUAAAUUAUGUGCUAGAGAAACUUUCCUGCAGAAAUUGAAGAACAACUCUAGUUUCUCUCUUUCGCCUUGUACUCCCGCACUGAGGUUAGUAUUGUUAUAAUGUGCAGAUUAUACGGUCACUCUUGUAUAAUGGCGAGAAGGCUCUAAUUAUAUUUUUGAACCUCUUUGACAGGACCCGCCCCGAAUUUCCCGAAACCCAAGACGAAUUCUGUGGAAAUUCCCUACAUCACCCCGAUGUUGGGCCCACUUCUAAAACUAUAUCAUUUUUCCUAAAAAGGAAUAAGGGCACGAGACUUUCUACCGAAAUUUCGGCAGAGUCUCUCCUGUAAAUUGAACAUUUCCCAAAAUUUCAACCUGCAUAAAACACAUUUUAUAUUACCCAACUGGCAGCAUGCACAAAAUAAUAACAUGCAAUUCACAUAAACGGCCUCUGGCCCUCCGGUAAUUCAGAGCAAUGCAAACUAGCAACUCUAAACCUAAUAAAACAACAUAAGUAACAUUUAGCCAGCGGCUGCACCCAGGCACUACCCUAGGCUACCUACGUACCCUUACUAAGGGAUCAAGCCACACGUAGUUCUUUCAUACAAAAUUUCCAAAUCCAUCAACAUGCAAUCAAUUACAGAAUCCCAAACAAAAUCUUUCUCAAACAUCAUUAGUUCCCAACUCAGUAUAAUAAUCCUUAAUUCAUCUCUGUAAUAAUCACAAUAUCUCCCCAUACGCCGGAACUACCAACACCACGUAUGGAGCCUGCCUGUACGCCAGAUAACCAACGACACGUGGGACCUCAUCAUCAUAUCACAUAAUCUCCCCAUACGCCGAAACUACCAACACCACGUAUGGGGUCUGUCAACACGCCGGAUAACCUACGACGUGUGACCUCAACAUCAAAUCACAAUAUCUCCCCAUACACCGGAACUACCUACGCCACGUAUGGGGUCUGUCCACAUGCCGGAUAACCUACGACACGUGGGACCUCAUCAUCAUAUCACAUAAUAUAUUAACGAUCAAGAAAUAUCACUACGGUCAUUUAAUCCUCCUGGGAAGGUAAAACUAUCUCAGGAGACUCACGGUCAACCAAGGGUCAAACUACCUCAUACUUGGACAAACGAGCCCACGGAGCCCACAACCUCCGUUUUACUAUCCAAGAGUUCCUAUAGGUUCUACAAGGUUUAGGAUACACGGCUUGCAAGUUUGGUCAAGAUCAGACGGUCGGAUCGCUCACGAUAGGACGGUUACUGCAAACCUAGCCCUAGGGUUGGCAUUUUCGGAGUAUCCGAAACUCCGUUUUACGAUCUGUCGAAUCAUAGACGAUCCUAAGGAUUUGCAGACUAACUAUAAUAAAUUCAAGACCAUCCAACGGUCUAAACCUAUCGAACCCGGAUAACGCGCAAUAGGCAAUAUCCAAAUUGAAAUCCGAGCACACCUACGCACUCGUGAGGACUAGGAGAUUACAUCGGGACAUAGUGCCCUUUUUCUACAGUGCCCAUGAGCCGCCGCACGCACCAGCAACGCGUGGGUGCCCAAAGCGAUUAUGCAUCGCCAAAAAAUCUCAAAACCACGGCUCAAGACUCCUACCCUAGGUAUAACACCCUAUUUGGAACCACUUUUGUUCUUGGACCUACCCCAAAAACUGAUCAGAAGUGGCCGGAAUGGCUGAAAUGUAAUUCAAAAAUCAAGCUACCAACGCUCAAAAUCGAUGCAAUCCUACCCAACCAUCAACUAGAUUAUGAAGAAUGGAUAAAUUUCCAUACCUUGAUCGCCAACAAUGGCGGCCGGAGGAGAGAGAUCUGAUCCGGCGAAGUUCGAGUGAAAACGGCCAAAAAUCAUCUUUUUCAGGCGGCUGGAGGGCGACCGAUGUCAGGGAAGGGCAGGGUCGUGACGCUAAGGCUGAGCCUGUCCUUUUGGCACCGGUCCCUUCCGCAGCCGUGUCCGGUGGCUGGAGUUUCGAAGAGAGAGAGAGAGAGAGAGAGAGAGAGAGAGAGAGAAAUCUGAUUUUUAUCAAACCUUUUUGCCAAAAUUACGGUUAUGCCACUGAGGGUAUUUUGAUAGUAUCUCUCUCGUUACAACUUCGAUUCGAGCCCACCACGUGUGUACGGACUCAUCUAACUGUGUUGUACGCAACGGUAUAGUCGAAAUUCCCAAAUUAUUUCCUUGUCAAAAAGUCAACUUUAAACAUUAUAAAAUAUUUUAGGGAAAAAAUGGUAUUUUCUCUCAAUAAAUUAGUAACUAAUUUAUUUAGGACUGGGUCAUUAUACUCUUUUUCGCUUCAAUGGAUGGGAAAAAAUUUUAUGUAAUAUCCCACAUCGACCAACGAAGAGGGGGCGAUGUGUCUUAUAUGUACAUGCCCGCCUCCAUCUAGCAUAAGGCCUUUUGGAAGCUCACUGGCUUCAGAGUCAUGGGAACUCCGAAGUUAAGCGAGUUGGGGGCUAGAGCAAUCCCAGGAUGAGUAACCCACUGGGAAGUUGCUCGUGAGCUUCGAGAAACAAAACCGUGAGGGCAGAGAGAGGGGCCCAAAGCGGACAAUAAGGCCUCGUGCUAGAUGGAGGCGGGCAUGUACAUAUAAGGCACAUCACUCUCUCUCCGUUGGUCGAUGUGGAAUGUUAGAAUGGAAUUGUUACCUUUGGUGUGGAGGUGUUCUAUCAUUUGAGCAAGAAAUUCCCACAUAUUCUUCAACUAUUUUUCAAGCAUGCAUAUUCCUCCCUAUCAAUCUUUGGUUUCUUCCUUUACUGUGCAUAGUAAGGAUCCAGUCAGGGACGGACCGUCGCUAUGACUAUCCUGGGCUAUAGCCCAGGCAAAUUAUUUUUUUUUCUAGUCUAAAAUAGCAAUCCCACCGCUUGCUGUAGUACUUGUUCAGUUCGUCACAAACAUGAGCAUAAUAGAAGUUAUCAACAUCUAUAUAGGAACCCCAAUGAAAAGGCUGUUAACUAAUAAUGAAGUUAACCCGUCAAUUUUUCCGCAUAUCAGAUAUCUCUCAGAAUAUGCGAUUCCAUAUUCAAUAAGCCACUCCACAUGCCCUGAGGUUUUCAUCAAACCACCCAUUAAGGAAACAUACUGACUCAUGUAAUUAUCAUUACUCAUCGGGUAAUGCAAUUGUUCAAAGGCAAGGACAUUUCUCAUUAUUUAUGUAGCGAACCCCAAUGGAAAUGGUGGGAUCUUCAGAACCCCAUCGGUGCUACUGAAUUGUAUGUCAAAUAUGUUUUCACCUUGUCACGCCUCAAACUUGACUCCAGCGUGCUGUAAUUCUGUCAAGCUGGGUAUGGAUGAUGGGAGUUUGAUGCAGGAGCAUAGGGGUGGAUCAAGAUAGAUAUUUACUAUUUAAUUAGUUAUUUCAUGAUAUAUUGUUAUUUUCUUAUUUAGGUAGUUUUAUGAUAUCUUUUAUUAUUUAUGUGUGAUUUUAUAAUUAAUUAGUAUACUUUUGGACCAAGUAGCCUUGGUGCUCAAGUCUUGUAAAGCCUAUAAAUAAGGCUAAUGUAAUAGUUGUAGAAUAGAUGUCGAUGAUUAAUAAAAUCGUUUAUUUGUGGCAUGGAUUUGCUACGAUAUAUGUGAGUUUGCACUAGCCCUAGAUUUCAGUGCUCGUGUAUGUGGUUGGUGACCUGUGUCCGGAUCCCGAUCCCCAUCAAUUGGUAUCAGAGCUAUGGCUCAAGAUCUGCUAUAUCGGGGAGGUUUUUGGAUGGAGGGUCGUUUUAACAACUACAACGACAUGGAGGAAAUUAGGAGGAUGCUACGGCAACUUAUGGAACACAUUGCUCGCAUUGAAGCUCGAACCCAGAUAGGUAAGAGUUCUGACGGGGAGGGAUGUGUGAACCCUUAUCUGAACCGAGUAGCUCGCAUCGACACUCUAAGCCGUGAGAGUCUCGACGGGGAGUACGAGGGAGAUAGCCCUUUUCAUUAUUGUGCUCCGCUGUGUGAGUCAAGUGAAGAGGGGCACGGUUAUUCUCAUUGUGUCUUUGAAGGUAUAAAUGAAUUUAGUAAUUUUGGUGCAUCUUGUUAUUCAUCAAAGUUAUUAAAUUUGGAUUUACCUCCAUUAUUUGAUCCUUGCAAUUGUGAAAAUUGCAAUAAAAAUUGUUUGGGUGUUCAAAGCAAUUUUGAUAAGCAAUUUAUUGACCAGAACAGUGAAGAGAUGAGAAUUGAGAAAACUUUCGAAGAUAUUAUUGAUUUUAUGGGCAUUAAUAUUUUCACUUGGAAGGUUGCCAAAAAUCUGGUUGAUUUUGUCAAUCGGUUGAAGAUUCUAGAGAGAAACAUUUGCAUUGCUAGAGGGAGUAAGAAGUCAAGAAUAACGAAAUAUUCCAAAUAUCUUUUUAUUUGGAAAGGAAGGUUUCAAUUGGAUGCUAAAAGAUCCAAAAUUAAUAUGCAGCAAUUGAAGAUUCUACUCGGAUUUUCCUUAAUCAAAGGCUUGAAUUCGAGGACGAAUUCUUUCCAACUAUGGGAGUCUGAUGCAGGAGCAUAGGGGUGGAUCAAGAUAGAUAUUUACUAUUUAAUUUGUUAUUUCAUGAUAUAUUGUUAUUUUCUUAUUUAGGUAGUUUUAUGAUAUCUUUUAUUAUUUAUGUGUGAUUUUAUAAUUAAUUAGUUUACUUUUGGACCAAGUAGCCUUGGUGCUCAAGUCUUGUAAAGCCUAUAAAUAAGGCUAAUGUAAUAGUUGUAGAAUAGAUGUCGAUGAUUAAUAAAAUCGUUUAUUUGUGGCAUGGAUUUGCUACAAUAUAUGUGAGUUUGCACUAACCCUUGAUUUCGGUGCUCGUGUAUGUGGUUGGUGACCUGUGUCCGGAUCCCGAUCCCCAUCAGAGUUCCCCUCCAGCUUUUGAUUCCAACGGUUGAUAGAGUUUAAAUAUUUUCCUGAAAAGAUCAAUAAUAUGUGCCACUGAUCUAAAAGUCUCCAAAUUGUCUUCCAAUUUGUCAACAGGCAAUAGAUGUUCGAAGAAACUGAAAGAAAUACAAAUUAUUGAAAGCCCCUCAGUAAUGCUGUUAUUGUCAGCAUUAGCAGGGAGUGUAAUUUUCUGUGGGUCGAAAAGAUCCUCGAGAAUGAAGAAUGGCAACUGAUUUUCAAGCAACCACGUAUCUGUCCAUGCAUCUUGCAACAUACCUGGUUUGUCAAAUAUGCGGUCAUUUUCGUCCCAAAAUUUGAAGUAGUCCUUCAAUAAGGGCUCAAUAACGAAGGCGGCGCCCACUAGAAUGAUUGUUACAAAUUCAUCACUGCUAAACUUGAUGGGUUCUCCAUAACAACGUCUCAAUCUUGCUUCGUGGUCCUUUAUUUUCUUAAUAUAAUCCUCCAAACUCACAUUGGUCCGACCUAUAAAAUCUUGCAGGUAUCUCUGUUUGUUCUCUUCCAAUACGACAUUCAAGCCUUCCUUUCCAUGGUGAAGUGGACCUAUAGAGACCGACUGCCUGAGGUGUGCAGAGCUUUUCAUUCACACAUACGUAGAUAAAAUGUCUGGGGGCUCAGAGAGUGAUGAAUGUGCAACAGCUAAUGGGAGGGUUUAUAUUCCUGAAGUAAGAAAUGAGGAAACACCAGCAGUUGGGAUGAAGUUUGACUCGCUUGACCUCGUUUACAAUUUCUAUAAUAGAUAUGCAUUCUUGGCUGGCUUUGGUAUUCGACUUCAUUCUAGCUUUUGGGGGAAAAAUAAGAAAGAGAUUUUGAGGAAAGAAUUUGUAUGUUGCAAACAAGGUGCAUACAAGAAGGAUGAAACUCGGGAGAGAAAAAGACAACGGGGAAUAAGUAGAUGCAAUUGCAAAGCAAAGAUUGUGGUUGUGAAGACAAAUGGGAGCAAGAAGUAUACCAUUUCUCUUUUUGCAGAGGGACACAAUCAUAAGAUGACACCCUCAGAAAGAAUGCAUUUAUUGAGAUCACACCGUCAUAUUUCAGAUUCUACAAAAGUACUCACAAAACAGUUGGGUUCAGUUAAUAUUCCCAUUCAUCAGAAGGUAAGUAUAUUCGAGGUGCAAUCCGGAGGAAUGGAUAAAAUCGGUUUUAUCAAAAAAGAUAUCUACAAUCUUGAAUGUAGUGUGAAUGGGAAGCUGAGGAACCACGAUGUUGAACUAGUGACCGAGUAUUUUAUGGCUGAACAGAAAAAAAAUGAGGCUUUUUAUUUCAAGAUUGAGGGAGAUGGGCAUGACAGGUUUAGUCGAUGUUUUUGGGCAGAUGCAACUUCUAGACGGGCGUAUGGGUUUUAUGGAGAUGUUGUUGUAUUCGAUACCACAUUCAACACGAAUCGAUACGACUUGACAUUUGCACCAAUGUUGGGAGUUAAUAACCAUGGUCAGACAAUUGUCUUAGCAUGCGCAUUUUUGAGCAAGGAAACGACUGAGUCGUUUGUUUGGAUGUUUGAGGAGUUUAAGAAAGCCAUGCCAGGUGGGGAACCUAAAACGAUCAUUACAGAUCAAGAUGCGGCAAUGGCCAUAGCGAUUUCAAUAGCCUUCCCGAGUACAUUUCAUCGACUUUGCAUAUGGCACAUCACAUCAAAGUUCUCUGUUAAGUUACCACGUGACGCUUAUAAGGAGUAUUGGCCUGAAUUUCAGAAAGCCAUAUGGGAUACUGACAAUAAGGAUGAGUUUGAUGCAAAAUGGAAUAUUGUGGUUAUAAAGGCUGGUUUGACUGACCAUCCAUGGCUAAGUUCAAUGUUUGAUUUAAGGGAAUCUUGGGUUCCAGCCUACGCACGACAAUUUUUUGCCGCUGGAAUGUCAAGCAGCCAAAGAGCGGAAGGUUCUCAUGGUUUUUUCAAGCAAUACAUAUCAAGGAGAAAUUCGUUGAUGGAUUUCAUAAUACGAUUUGAGAGGGCAUUUUCUCAUCAACGUGAAAAAGAGUUAGUUGCUGAUCACGUAGAUGCAUUUGAAGUGGCUCAAUGUCUUCUACCGAUGCCAAUGAACAAACAAAUGGCUACCUUGUACACAAGGACAAUGUUUCAAAAGUUUGAGCAAGAACUAAUACAAAGUACAGCAUGUUUCCUAGAGCUCAAAACAGAGGAUGCAUGUAAAGUUGUGUUCAACGUGAGCGAAAGGAAAAAUUGGGAAACAAGAGUGGCAGAAGUCGUAUAUGUCAAAGAUUCUGACCACGCAUCGUGUAGCUGCAAAAGAUUUGAAUUUGUUGGAAUUAUUUGCAAGCACAUCCUAGCAUUGUUCAGAAGGGACCAGAUUGAAUAUAUGCCCGAUAAAUAUAUUUUGAAGAGGUGGAAGAAAACUGCGAAAUGUGGAUUGGUGUCAGAUGCAAAUGGCAACGAAAUUAAAGACUGUGCAGAUCCUGGCCUUCUAAUAAAGCGGAGUACAAUGUCUCGACUUGCUUCAAAUGUGGUUGAGGAUGCAUUAAUGAGUGAAGAAGGAUGUGAGCUACUGUCAGAGACUCUAAAAAGUUUGCAGGUGAAGUUGAAGUUGCUGAAGGAUGGACCAAGUAAUAACGAAGUUGGAGGGUCCAGCUCUCAAACACAAUAUAUGAAAGACCCUAAGAGAGUGAGGUGCAAAGGAAGGUCGAAAGGAAUAACGGGAGCAAAGGAAAAGGCAAUGAAGCGAGGGAUUAGACACUGUCGGGAGUGUGGACACAUUGGUCAUGAUAGAAGACAAUGCCCAGCCUUGAACACACCGUAAGAUGCUACCACUAUUUGUAAUAAUAUCUAAAAUAUGAAAAGGUAAAAUUUUUAUGUGCUUGUGUUUGAUGUUUAUGCAGGACAUCACCGUCGAACAAUGACAAAUCAACUCCAAUACAUCGUAGUGACCCAUUAUUCGACGAUUUUGACAAGAUGCACAGACCAACUGAAUGAUUGAUAUUUGUAUUAGACGAAAUGUGGUUGUUAUGAAGAUUAAUGAUCAAGUGAAGUUUUAUAGAUUCAGUUUUUGAAUGUUAUUGUGUUUUUGUUCAUGUCCACCGAUGAGCUCUUACUAUGUCCACUGGUAAUUGAAAUGAAAAUUUUCUUGGUUUCAUUCUUCCAAGACAUUUGGAGACAUGUUAAUUUUACGUCUUCUCCCUAUUUAUAAAUUUUCAUAGACAUUUGAUCAAGUUUGAAAUUUGUAGUUAUGUGAAGAAGCAAUGACUCUUACCAUGUAAAAUGGGCAGUUUAGGGUGAAAUUUGUUUUAACAGAGAUUCAUUUUUCAAUUCCUCAGGGUAAUGCAGCAAUUACAGCAGCCAGCUGUUGUUUCCAUUACCAGUAAUCAUUUCCAGCAGCAGCCACUUUUUCCGACUGGUUAUUAGGGGCACGAUUUUGUACACUUUUGUAAGUGAAGGAUACUCGAAGCACUUUGUUGGAACAGAGCAAAUAGAAACCAGCGGGUAAAAAAAAAACAUAACAUUGCAGCUAAUUACAUUUCGAUACAUAGGUGAAAAAUAUUAAAGGGUACACUAACUUACAUAAAUACUCAUAAUUCCACACACAAAAGAACAUUUGAUUGCAAAACAUAUUAUGUGCUUCCUCAUAGCAAUACCACGAUCUCCCCAACCAACUGAACAACGGUAGCCACAAUCACUGGGUCGUACUCGUCAGCUUCUUCUUAGCAGGUCUCACAUGCUUAUGGCCACUCAUAUCCCUAGUGAUAUACACGAAAUAAAUCUUCAGCAAUAUUUGGAAUUUUAUUAUAUAUAAAUAAACCAUAAACCAUUCAGUAAACAAUGUAUAGCACAUGUUAUGUAACUUAUGACUCACGUGUCAGUUUUUUUUUUAACACAUUAGUACUCCAGCUCUUUAAUGUAAAUGGACAUGAUAAGGAGCAUUUACUGAUUCCCGGCUUUCUAUGAUAUUGACUGCUUCUUGAAUAAUAUUUCCAUAUUUGCAAAAUAUAAUGUUAGACAUUAUAACACAUGAUGACUUGCAAUACAUAGUCCCAAUAAUUAUAUAUCAAGCAAAUGAAACUGAUAUUUGUGUUAUUUUAAGUUAGAUAAUGACAUUAAGGGAGUAUAUGUGCAAUACCACGGUCACCCUCAACCAACUGAACAGCGGUAGCCGCAAUCACUUAGUCGUAUCGGUCGGCUUCUUCCGAGCAGCUUUGACGUGCUUAUGCUCAUUCAUGUCACCCCCAUCGUCUAGUAUCUCUCUCACAGCAUCAGGGGACACAUAGUUCCAAUCAUAACUUGUAUGAGUAGUUGCCGCAAAUGCUCGGAAUUUGUCGAAUCCUUCGUUGAAUGCCAACUCCAGUUCAGUAUGGUGCUCUUCGCAUCGCAUAUGGUUCAUCAAACAACCUUUGAUUUCAUCAUUCAUUACUGUAUCCAACUCCUCAGCUUUCAGCUUCCUGCUAUGACUCAGCUUCAAGUACUUGUUCUUUUGGGAUAACGCUUUGUUCACCCUAAUGUUAAGAUCAGCCAAAAUUGCCUCGUCUUCAACACAUUUCUCGUGCCAUGAAUUGAUCAGUCUGGAAUUAUAAUCCAGCUUGCCACUGACUGCAUGUAUUGCCUGUAAUGGAUCAUCGGAGUCCCCCUCACUCCCAAAUGAUGUUGAAAAAGGAAGGGGUCGGCGAGUACAAUGUGGAAAUAGAACCUGCCACUCCAAUUUGUCAUCUUCGAUUGUGUUGUUGGCGCCUGAAGAGGUUGACAUGCUUGAAUAAUCCUCUUUGUUUUGGGAGGAUGAGGAUUGCAUAUGCAAUUUCGUUUGAGAAAGGGAACAUAGGUUUAUAGACCAACAUACCAAAGCUUGUGUGUAGUCAACAUAUGUACUUUUUGGCGGGAAUUUUUUAAAAAUAGGUGUUAGGUUUUGCUUUUCAAGCAUGUCAACCUCACACUCUCCUGACACCACUGCUAGUGGUUGAAACAAAGUCAAUGGAAGUGACAUCUACUUAGUUAACUCAACCAAACUAGUUAGGAUUAAACUUAGAUUGUAUCAGACCAAAAAAUAAUUUCUACUUUGUCAACCAAAUAUUUUUUGGCGGGAACCCUUUUCUUGGUAUUACUAUCACCCCUUUCAUAUAAAAUCUCCUUCCACACAAAACUCACUCCUCCACCGAAUCUGUCUCCAUCUACCGAUACUCUCUCAAGCAAACAAACUCAUUCCCCCCAAAGAAUGAGCAUAAGCACAACCAAGUUUGAUGUGAGCAUAAUAAACACCCCUCCAAACAAAGACCGGCUUCGACACGCAAGUGAGUCACCGGACAAGCAAUGUCACAUUGCUAGACAGAAUGACCAUUUUGUUGGAAGUUUUGAGUCUGAAAGAGUUGUUGCUUUUUGGAAGGAGAGGCAUCUUCAACUUGGUGAUGAAAUCCAAAGGGCAAGGGCACGUUUGGAAUUUGUGGAAGGCCAAAUUGAAGAUGACAAAAGGCAGGCCAAUCUGGAUAGGGCGAAGUUGUAGCGCAUGAAGCGUAGACACAAACGACUUCGGAGUGUAGCUGUUCAAAAAUACAAGAACUCAUCUAAUGUAGUGGAGUCAAAGAAGCGUGUGAUGCAAGCUGGAUUCGACUACUUCCGAUCCUAUGCAAAACUCGUCGUACCCGGGUUUGAUUGGUCAUCUAUUACCGUUUCCGACGUCACCAAAUAUACUCAGCAAGGGAAGUAACCAUUUUGGUUCUCGUGUUUUAGCAGAGGCAAAUAAGUGGAAUUGGAAUUUUGGUUACACUCUGCUUCAAAGCUAUUUUGAUGCUAACUACUAUGGAAGAUUUAAACCUUAAUAUUUUGAUGUCUUUAAUUACGAAAACAGAAGAUGCAAAGAGCUCAUCUACUUCAGCCAUAUGUUGCUGCCAUGUCCAUUUGUUUUUGAUCACUUAUCAGAUUUGGACAUGGUUGCAUCAUAUGCAAUGUUGCCUUUAUUUAUUAUAUGUUAGGACAAGGUUUAUGGAAAAGCUUUUGUGAGUGCGUUUGUGACAAGGUUAUGGAAUUAUUAUGUACACUUUAUAUAUUGUUUUUUGUACUGGUUCAUUUCCUACUAUUUCUUGCUUUCUUUAUAUUUUAUGUUUGUGGAAUCCCUCUCAAAGUUAACAUAUACUGUGAAAAAAAUAUUAUGCAACUGAUUAUAUAAUCACUCAUAUAGACUAGGACAAAUAUUCACUAAGGGUUUUAAACUUGCUUCACUUGUGUGAUGUUAUUGACAAAAAGUAUGGCAUUAUUUAUGUGAUUUGACAUGAUUGAAAAUAUAUUACUGAUUCCCAAUGCGGCGUCAUAUGGACAACGUAUUGAAUACCUGUGACGUGUUAAUAACUCAAGGUGCAGUUGCAUGUGGACAACUUCUUGAAUACCUCUGACGUGUUGAAAACUCUAGGUGCAGUUGCAUGUGGACAACUUAUUGAAUACGAACUGACGUCUUCAAAGCUCUAGGCGUAGUUGCAAUGAUGGCUUCAAAGCAUGUGCAAUUAUUUUUUAUGUACAUUAUUAUAACAAAACAUAUUAUUGUAUAUAGUGAAACUAAAUAUUGUAUUAUUAGAAAUUAUAUUUCGAAUAUUAUCCGAAAUAUACGUGUUAACGUGAAUUUGGGUUAAGAGGAAAGUGAGUUAUGUACAAAUAAUUUUCAUUUUCUCAUUUUCCGGGCAUUUUUUGGAUUUUCGUAGAAUUUAUUACCUAUGUCCACAGAUUGUUGCACUAAAAAAGCCAAAAUAAUAGCAAGAGGACACCUGGAGCGAUCUCAGCCCGUCACUGAUGACUACUUGCACAAGUGUACGUCAGUCAACAUGGCCACACCCUCCCAUUUUACCCUAAAUUAUUAUUUUAUUACUUUUCCUUACAAAAAUCAGAACUAAUUACACACAAAAUAAAAAAAUUAUCCGAAAAUUGCUACGAACUCAUUGACACUCCAUCUCCGUUGCUGAAUUCUCCGAUUCAUUGUUACGUAUUUGUAAAAUUAAUUCCCAACAUUAACGGGAGAUGCUUGUUGAAGUAGGUUAUUCAAGUUGAAGUUAACAAACAUCAAUACUUAGGGUUAAGAGGAAAGUGAGUUAUGUAACACAAUUUGGAUUAUUUCAUUGCGAGACGAAUGAUUUAUAGGUUCUCCUAGUUUUAUGACGUCACAAGUAGGCCGGAGUAAUUUUUGGGGCAUUUUUACGAUUUUCCUACUAUUUUUUACCUAGUUUCAAAGAUUUUUGAACAAAAGAAUCCAAAAUGUAAAAGAAGAUGACACCUGGCGCGAUCUCAGCCCGUCACUUUUCACUACUUGCACAAGUGUACGUCAGUCAACAUGGCCACAUCCUCUCAUUUUACCCUAAAUUAUUAUUUUAUUACGUUUUGUCUUGGAAAAUUCAUAACUAAAUACACAAAAAUUCAAAAUUAUUUCUGAAAAUUGCUACGAACUCAUUGACACUCCAUCUCCGUUGCUGAAUUCUCCGAUUCAUUGUUACGCAUUUUUAAAAUUAAUUCCCAACAUUAACGGGAGAUGCUUGUUGAAGUAGGUUAUUCAAGUUGAAGUUAACAAACAUCAAUACUUAGGGUUAAGAGGAAAGUGAGUUAUGUAACACAAUUUGGAUUAUUUCAUUGUGAGACGAAUGAUUUAUAGGUUCUCCUAGUUUUAUGACGUCACAAGUAGGCCGGAGUAAUUUUUGGGCCAUUUUUACGAUUUUCCUACUAUUUAUUACCUAGUUUCAAAGAUUUUUGAACAAAAGAAUCCAAAAUUAACAAGAAUAUGACACCUGGCGCGAUCUCAGCCAGUCACUUUUGACUACUUGCACAAGUGUACGUUACCGAACAUGGCCACAUCCUCCCAUUUUACCCUAAAUUAUUAUUUUAUUACCUUUUUUCUUGGAAAAUUCAUAACUAAAUACACAAAAAUUAGAAAAACGAUCCGAAAAUUUCUACGAACUUAUUGCGAUUUCAUCUUCCUACUGCAUUCCCUGUUUAAUGGUUAUGCUACAUUAGUAUUUUAUUAUUAUUUAUCCACAAUUAUUAUAAUUAUUAUGAUAUUACUUUUUAGGCUGUCCAUUUGUUAAUUAUACCACAUCCAACUUGUUGAAAACAAUUUUAUUUUCCGUGCGAAUAGGCCAUUUGUAGUGCUUAUCGGUUUCUCUGUUCUUCAAUUUGUUAAUUUUUUUAUUUUUUAGGUUGAAGGGAUGUUUUGAAACAUAAUAUGGAAAUAUACAAGUCAUCCAUUGUACUCCUUCCACACAAAAAAAUAGUCUACGUCAUUCACUGUUCAACACCCUAGGUUAAGACACGUGUAACCAAAUCCGUUCGGAUAUGCUAAGUGGGAAAAUGUCAUUCCCAAGCACUGGUGAAAAGACACUUAUUUACUCCAUGCAUGACUUUUGGUUUACCAAAUAUGAAGAUUGGGGUCGGUGAGCAAAAUAUCUGUGUCAGUAAAAUGUCAUUCCUAGCCAUCUAUGAUGUAAGUAAUAAUUCCGCUAUAUAAUAAAUAUUAUACAUUUAUAUAUAAAACGGUUUAUGACAAAAUACCAACAUUUGAACAACAUUUAAACUGAGAUAGGUAUAACGUAGCCAGCCAACCUAGAAGUGAAGAGAAGCAAGUCCACAAUGCAUCAAAACUGUAAAUUCGUACUAAAACUAAUGCAAAAAUACGUGAUUCCCUCGCACAACUUACUCACGCAGGAUUUUGCACCAAAAAAUACUCUCACGGUGCCAUUUGCAUCGGUUGCAGCAAGUCCAAAACGCAGGAUUUAUCUUGUCUUCACUAGGCCACCCUGGAAUAACAAAAUACCAUUCAUUGUUGUUACAAGCGCUGCACCGAUUGAACUUAAUCUUCCCAUAGUCAAACAUAUCUACGAUAUGUCUUGCAACAAAUGCUCCGCGACAUCUUCCUGUUAAAGCAUCCCUGGUUCCUUUCAUAUCAAUGUUGUUACGUUGAUUCAAAGAACACAAGAAUUGUAAUGCAUCCUCUUUUGACUGACCAAUUCCGGACAUACCAAGUAGUCCAACUACAUAUGCCGCUUCCAUAUGGCCUGCCGUGGCUGCAAUGCGCAUCCCAUACAACGCUUCCACCUUACCGUCUGUGAAAAAACCUUCGAAUGCUUCUCUAAAUAUGGACUCAGGGUUAUCGCAAGCCCUGCAUUGUUGCAAGAAAUGCUGGACUGCAGGUUUGGCACGGUAGCAGAUAGGAUGGUGUGGGUACUUUGCCAUUGAAAUGGUGUUCCACACUUGUGGACUGUUUGCCAAAAUGUUGAACAAUCGGCACACACAUGCCAUACGGAAGAGAUCUUCCGAUGAUUCGGUUGCCACGUAUAACAUCACUUGAAACCAAGCGGACUCCGGGAUAAAGGCUUCGGGCAUAUCGAAAUGGAGAUGCUUCCUUCUCUUUCCUCCGACUGUAGUGAAGUGUUUCGAAUUCAUUGAAAAGUUUUUGGAAUGGAACGAUUUGAGGAGUGGCAGAGGGGAUAAAUGAUAAUAUUUGGGGUACACGUUCUACUUCCGAGCCUCUGUUUAUAGUGUUUUGAAAAGGUGUUUCCAGUUGGGGUUUUUCCAAGUUGACCCUUUUGAAAGAAACUGAAUCCAAGUGAAUUAAAACUUAAGACAAAAGAAGGGAAAACGUCAUAACGGUGCAUACAGAGUCAGACAGUUAAAAAGUUAAUUAAAUGGCUAUUUGCAUAGCCAUUUUUGGGUUUAUCCCACUAUCAAAUUCAUUGAUACAAAUGUGAUGGAUUACUGACUAGUGACAGAAGGUCCCAUCAUAUACUUUUUCAUUUUCGCACACCCAACUAUCCCUAGUAAUGUUAUUAAAAUGGAACCAAUAAUGACGGAUUCUUAUCCAACUAGUUGCCUUAAUGAAAUAUAAAUAAAUUAAUAAAAUUGAAGCAGUGUCCCGUCAUUAGUCAGAAAAUAUAUUUGGUAGUGAAGUAGUUUCUAUUGCUUUUCGGGCUAAAAGAUGUCACAAUGCUGACGGUACAGGUGUCGACAUCGUGACCAACCCACCAAAUGAUCCCAAAAAAAAGUAAUAUAACUCGAUUUGGGCAGAGAUGAGAGAGAGCUGAGUGACAAGUUUAGGGUUAUGAGUGAAGGGGUAUGAAUGACAACUAUGAGUGAGAAGGUAUGAGUCCGAAGAGGUUUCAGUGAGAAGAUUUGAGUGAGAAGAGGUACAACUGAGAAGAUUCAACAUGUCUUCGUCUUCAUCUCCUGCUCAAACAAAGAGGUGUCAGUAUUGUGGAGCUACAAUGGUGCUUCGGGUUUCAAAAUCUGAAAAAAAAUCGAGGGAAGCCAUUCUGGAAGUGUCUAACCUCCUAUGUAAGUUUUAAUUUAAAGAAUAUGUAUGUGGGUGAAAAAAAACCUAUGUCUAACUCUGACAGAAUUAUAUUCCAUAUAUGAUGCCUGCAAUUAGGGAGCCACCAGUUGCAAUGGAUUCGAAUGGGUUGAUGUAACCUCCGCUGAAGCAGAACAUCAAGAUGACACGUAUGAUGUUAGAGUGCUGAACAUGCUGAAGUCCAUUAAGGACUUGGUAUUAGUUUUAUUAGUUGUAUUAAUUGUCAUUUUAUUUGUUCUUUUAAUGAUCAUUUAACUGCACGGUUUAAAAGAUUGUGAAAGUUCUCUCGCACAAGACAUAUUGCACGCACCACCAAUGAGACCCUAAACCCAUUUUGUAAUAUUUGGUAACUGCAUGUAUUUCGCAUGUUAUUGAAUGUUUAUUGAAGGUUUAUUGAUAGUUUGCUGCAUGUAUAUGGAAUAUCAUUGCCCCAAAAUUGGAUGUUUAUUGGGGCCACAAGUAUCACUCAAGUAAGAAUGAAGGGGAGAAACGGACCUUAUUCUUUCUUAUAGUAGGAAGAACAACUGUUAAGUUUAAUAUCCUAUUCAAUACGACUUCCCUAUGGUUGGUGUACUUGGGGACUGAAGUAUAUUGCAUCAUUAUUGUGGGCAAGGGCAUGUCUAUUGUGUGUGUUAAGGGAGUAUUGUGUGGGCAAGGGCAUGUCUACUGUGUGUAUAUUGCAUGUCUACUGUGUGUAUAUUGCAUAUCUAUUCUCUGUAUAUGGCAGGCCAAGUUUGUGUAUAUUGUUUGUCUGUUGUGUGUGUAUUGCUUGUCGGUGCGUUUGUGAAUUGUGGUUCAUUUUGUGUAUAUUGUCUUUGUUUCUACUUUUAUGCUACUGAGCUGCGGAAAACCUCGCAUGUUUAGACACCUAUUAUGAUGCAACACAUUGCGAUUAAUGGUGGCUUGCAUCAACAAUGACAUAUCACUUUGCAAUGAUGUAAUACACUUAAAAAGCCGUCUUCAAAUCCCAAUUCACAUAUGCAGUCUUAAAAUUCUAAUUCAAUGCAGUUUGGUUAACAAACAUGUAAAUGUCAUGAAGGAGUUAGCGGUAGAAUUCGAUAAGGACCCGUACGUCUCUAUUGUGUAUUUACAUUAGUUUGAGAAUGGACAUUCCCAAAACCUUCUCAUGUACCAUUUGUCAUCUUCAACCAAUAUCAUGGGAAGUAAGCAUCUCCCCUUGUUAUCUCCGCAGCCAAUUUCAACCGAAAAAAAGGCAUGUUGUGCGAGGUGCAAGUAGCUAACGGAAGCUUAGCGCUGAAAAGCUCAAUGUACUUUAACACAAACAUGCCACAAUCGCCUCUGAAGCAAAACAAGAACUCGAUCAAUUCAACUAAUGACAUUCUAAUGUAAUUGACAAUUGAAAGUAAUAAAAUUAAAUUGCAAGUUGUGCUUACUCAUUAGACUGUUGUGGAACAUCCACACGCUCUAUUGGCCACGGACACCACCAAUCUCGGCUGCAAUUGUUUGCAUAAACACCUUCUUCAUAAAAGUCGAUGGUGUUGAGAAGAUUUGGAAGCGUAAUUGAUAGCGGGCCGAGUUCUUCCUUUACGAUGUCAUCUGGAAUUAGUGAAACCUUUGAAUCGUACACUUUGAUUCACACAAUACCAGAUCAAACANNNNNNNNNNNNNNNNNNNNNNNNNNNNNNNNNNNNNNNNNNNNNNNNNNNNNNNNNNNNNNNNNNNNNNNNNNNNNNNNNNNNNNNNNNNNNNNNNNNNNNNNNNNNNNNNNNNNNNNNNNNNNNNNNNNNNNNNNNNNNNNNNNNNNNNNNNNNNNNNNNNNNNNNNNNNNNNNNNNNNNNNNNNNNNNNNNNNNNNNNNNNNNNNNNNNNNNNNNNNNNNNNNNNNNNNNNNNNNNNNNNNNNNNNNNNNNNNNNNNNNNNNNNNNNNNNNNNNNNNNNNNNNNNNNNNNNNNNNNNNNNNNNNNNNNNNNNNNNNNNNNNNNNNNNNNNNNNNNNNNNNNNNNNNNNNNNNNNNNNNNNNNNNNNNNNNNNNNNNNNNNNNNNNNNNNNNNNNNNNNNNNNNNNNNNNNNNNNNNNNNNNNNNNNNNNNNNNNNNNNNNNNNNNNNNNNNNNNNNNNNNNNNNNNNNNNNNNNNNNNNNNNNNNNNNNNNNNNNNNNNNNNNNNNNNNNNNNNNNNNNNNNNNNNNNNNNNNNNNNNNNNNNNNNNNNNNNNNNNNNNNNNNNNNNNNNNNNNNNNNNNNNNNNNNNNNNNNNNNNNNNNNNNNNNNNNNNNNNNNNNNNNNNNNNNNNNNNNNNNNNNNNNNNNNNNNNNNNNNNNNNNNNNNNNNNNNNNNNNNNNNNNNNNNNNNNNNNNNNNNNNNNNNNNNNNNNNNNNNNNNNNNNNNNNNNNNNNNNNNNNNNNNNNNNNNNNNNNNNNNNNNNNNNNNNNNNNNNNNNNNNNNNNNNNNNNNNNNNNNNNNNNNNNNNNNNNNNNNNNNNNNNNNNNNNNNNNNNNNNNNNNNNNNNNNNNNNNNNNNNNNNNNNNNNNNNNNNNNNNNNNNNNNNNNNNNNNNNNNNNNNNNNNNNNNNNNNNNNNNNNNNNNNNNNNNNNNNNNNNNNNNNNNNNNNNNNNNNNNNNNNNNNNNNNNNNNNNNNNNNNNNNNNNNNNNNNNNNNNNNNNNNNNNNNNNNNNNNNNNNNNNNNNNNNNNNNNNNNNNNNNNNNNNNNNNNNNNNNNNNNNNNNNNNNNNNNNNNNNNNNNNNNNNNNNNNNNNNNNNNNNNNNNNNNNNNNNNNNNNNNNNNNNNNNNNNNNNNNNNNNNNNNNNNNNNNNNNNNNNNNNNNNNNNNNNNNNNNNNNNNNNNNNNNNNNNNNNNUUUUCCUCUCCCUCAUCUCUAUUAUUUGGCCCUUCACCCCCUUCAAUCCCUUCAUCUUCUUUUUCCUCUCCCUCAUUUCUGUUACUUGGCCCUUCAUCCCAUUGAAUGUCAUCCAUUUCCCCAUAUCCCUUAAAUAGAUGUGAGACGACACAACGAUUCGUCCUCUGUUUCAGUAAAGCUAGGUCCCUCCUUACUUCCUGCUCAAACUGAGGACCUAAACAUUGGUCCAAUAGUUUUUCCAUCCGUAUGACCUUUAAGUGAAGGACGUCUUUUUCCCGCUUUUCUUGAAACAACUCGGACCUCAACAAGCUUACCACCUUGUUCAACUCAUCAAGAUCACCACAUGAAGAAGGAAUUGACUCUGCCGAGACAACAGCAGGGCGAUCCUGUGGCCAACUCCAAUAUGGCUGUCUCAUUUCCUCUUCACUUAGACAUAGCGCCCGCAACUGAACUGACUGUUUCAGAAUACAGACAAGAGUCAUAUUAAAUCAUUCUACUUCAUAAUUUCAUUCAAUCUUAUCAAUAGUUCUAAGGGCUGCAAACCAAACCUCUUUGCUCUGGAAAAAAUAAUUGUUCAACUUUCUCAUCUCUGGAACAGACGUAGUAGUUCUCCAUCGCAAAAUACGCGGGACAGCGGUCGGAUCAACAACCUUGCAGUAAUUCAGGUCCGCCAUUCUAGGAAUUAAUUCAUAUACCCAAAUCUACACAAUUCACAGGACAAAAGUCAUUAUUUAUGUUUUAAAGAAAAACAAAACAUAACUGACAUGAACAUUAUUACCAUGUACCUGGAAAGCAUACGUGAAACCUUUAAAACUCCAGCCACUCCUUUGCGCUUCACUAUGCUUAUCCUUCUUGCCCUUCUCAUUUCUCCGGCUUGUUCCCGUUACCUUACUUUUCCCCUUCCCUCUUCCCUCUUCAUUUUCCAAGCUUUUCACAUACUUUGUUGGUGCAGAAAAUAGACUGUCUUGGGUUUUGUCAAAGGACACCGAACCCCACGGAUACCUGUUGAACGCAUCCAAGUCCUCUACAAGGGUCAGGUAAUUUAGAUUGAUGUUCAAAUGUUUGUCCCUUCCCAAAACCACUAACUCAGCAAAGUAAACAAGAGGUAGCUUGAAGAUGUCAUCUUCCUCUGUGCACCUCACAAAUGCUUCUUCUAAAGCAUUGCAUGUAAUUCCUUCGUCUAUAAAAUAUCUUUUCUGAAGUCUGAUUUCAUUACUCUCUCCACUGGAAACUUCAGGCACUUCCCCAAAACGAAGCCCUGUGAUCAAACAGAAAUCCUGACGAGUGAACUGAGCAACGUCACACCCUAAUAAGAAACUCAGUCCAUCCAAGUCUUUCACACCCUGCCCCGCUACUCUACGCAACACAACCCCAUGCACAAUCUGUCCGCUAAACUGAAUCUUAUCUAUAUUCAGAAGAUGGCCAAAGCAUGAUGUCUUGAAUUGUUCUAAUUGUUCCGCACUCAACUUCGCUCGAAUUGCAGCUAGAGAUGAAUUUGCAUGUGAGCAGUUGUUCACCCGUGAUGAAUAUACCUCUGCCUCUGGCCAUACCAGCUCCACGUUGGAUCCCAUUUCCUCAAAUACAAUGUGAAAUAACGUGAACAUAUAUACUACCACGUAUUUGCACAAUCACAACUAGUCAACCAGGCACAUUACAACUUUUACAAAGUACAUGAGCAUAUGGAUUACUCAUCACAGGCUUUAACAUCAUCAAAGCAAUAUGACAAUUUUUGUGCAAAUACCUGUUAAUGCAAUGAUUAUGUGAAUUACAAACAAUUUCACGUGUUUUAUUUAUGGAUCCAUACUCGUGUGAGUGCAAUGUAGGCAAGUUCUGCACUUCACACACAUGACAAUUAUUGUCAUCUCAUACACAACCCAAAAUAAAUAAAUAAGAAAUAUAGUGGAAGGAAGCAAAGCAAAGCAUGUACUCUGCUAUCUGCUUGCUAAGCAAUUGCCACAUCCUUCUUUCUUUCUACCUUUUUCUUCAGUCACCCACAAUCGUCAUAGAUCAACCUUCAUUUCAAAUGCUUUGCACUUUUAUUCAUGAGUUUAUUAUUAUCUGUUCUCAUUUCUCAUAGGCAAAUUUAGUAACAAAUGAAAUAAUAUUUAUUUCACAAAAUAUAUAAAUUCUAGUGCCAGAGAGGUACUCUUCACUCUGCACUGCUUCAAAUGUGGAAGGUUUUGAGAUGUUAUUGACAUGUGAUUGACUUUAUUUUCAUUCGUUUUUUAACAUAUACCCAAGCAAAAAUUAACAUGCAAUUGAAGCACAAAUAAGAGAUGCCAAAUCCAACAACAUUGAUGGUACAAAUUGGGGAAAACCAUUACUCUAACCCUAAACUCAAAUUCCUUACAUUACUCAUCAAAUGCUUUGCAGUUCUAUUCAUGAGUUUAUUAUUAUCUGUUCAAAUGUUUCUCAGGCAAAUUUAGUAACAAAGGAAAUCAUAUUUACUUCAUAAAAUAUAUAUAUAUAUAUAUAUAUUCUAGCGCCUCUUCUUAAUCUGCACUAUGCACUGCUUCAAAUGUGGAAGGUUUUGAGGGCCUCCUCCAAUUCAACACCAUUAUCUUAUUCAUAUCAUUAUUGACAUGUUAUUCACUUGUUAUUGACUUCAUUUUCAUUCUUUUUUUAACAUAUACCUAAGCAAAAAUUAACAUGCAACUGAAGCACAACGAAGAGAUGCCAAAUCCAACAAAAUUUAUGGUACAAAUUGGGGAAAACCAUUACUCUAACCCUAAACUCAAAUUCCAUAAAUUACUCACCAAAUGCUGGUUAUUGCAAGGUGUCUGUGUGGGGUCUUUCUGUUUCUUUGCUCCACAAAUGGAACCUACCACUUCCAACGAAUACAGCUUUUCCCCUUCCCCUUCCACUGCUUCGCCUCUUCACUGAUUUGGAAUCCACACCUUUGCCCCUUCUACUCCAAAUAAAUACUUUCUCGGGGUCUGGAGAACGGAGUGGCGAAUCGUUGCCUUCAACUGUCGUUAGCCGUUGCCUUCAUUGGGUAUCUCAGACCUCUGUGUUUUAGAGAGAUGAGUUCUUUCUGUUCAAACUUCGAACUUGCCUCUUCUUCUUCUUUUUCGGACGUGUUUCCCUCUUCUUCUUCUUUUUGGACGUGCUGGAUAUUCAAUUCGGGUUUGGGUUCCUUACCUACCCAAUUGUGAAACUUUAACUCAAUUCUCCCCAGCCCUUGGAUUAAUCUGAUGGCUAUAAAGUGAACCCCUUAUAACUUACCCCUUAUAACUUUCCACUCAUUAUAGUCUUGGCCAGGUAUGGCGGCCAUGCUAGUAAGUGUUGGGUCUUUGACCCAACUUAAGCUAAAUGGGUCAUAAGAUGACCGAUCAUCUUAUCUCAUAAGGAUAUAUAAGUCAUGUUAUGAUUUAGGAUUUUAUAGGGUUUCCUUUGUAAGAGGUAAGAGAGAAACAAGCUCUCUCUCUCUCUACACAAGGAGGUCAGCCAUAGCAAGGGAAAGGCUCCUAGCACUCUCCUCUCUCUUAUUAUAUCAUCCUUCCAAGGACAGCUUUGGUAUGGUAAAGUUGGAGGUUGCACACUUUGUGCACUUUGGUAAGAACUCAUCCAAGGGAGCCAAGAUUAAAUUGGUUAGCUGUUGGAUUAAAUUGGUUAGCACGAUUCAACGGUUAAUAGAUAAAACUUCACAUAAAAGUCAUAUAUAAGGCCCUCACUAUAGAAUGACUCGUUAGUUUAGUCUCUUGUUACAUAUCAAAUGUUAGAGAUAUUUUUUAAUAAGGAUCUGCCAUACCACAUAGUUGGAUAAGACAUUAUACACGGCUUUUGUAAGAGCAUCUCCAGCGCUCCAAACUAGCCCAAGCAGCAGGGGGGCCUAAGUCUAGGAAGCAGCUCCAGCUCGCAAGAUUCAACCCAGGCAAGGUGUGGAACCCACGAGGAGAUCUAGCCCGUCACCUUGCCUUUGGGUUUCAGUCAAGCUGAUGUCAACGAAAGAAUUUCAAAUUUUUUUUACCGUUACAAUGUACGCGCCAACGAUAAAUUUUCUUUGGAUUUCUUGCAUUGAUCCACAGCUACCAAAAACCAACAGCUACAAGCCACGUGGCUUCUCCAGGAGCCUCCGAUCCAAAAAUCAUGUCAAAUCUAACGGCAGUCCAUUUUUUGGCUAAAAAUAUCAAAAAAUUAUGGAAACAUGUUCUAUAAAUUCCUACAAAUAUUAUUCACUUCCCACACCAAAUCUUCAUACAAAUUCAUAUCCUUUCAAUAUUUUUCACUUUCCAUACAAGAUUUUCUACUACUAAGUUUCGUUUGUGUAAAAAUACAAAUGACCUCUUCUAUCGAAGCCGGAGGCGCGUGUACAACCGUGGAAGAUAUUUUGUUGCGUGAGUGUUGGGUCAAAGUUGGUCAUUCCCUGAUCACGGGCAAUGAGAUGAAGUCCUCUCGUAGGAGUUUCUGACAUCGCAACGAAAGUAAGAUGUGAUAUGAAAAUGUAAGGAAUUUGAUGAGAGGAAUGGGAUUUGAGGAGUUUGAUGUAGGAAUUGAUGUAGGAAUUGAAUUUGGGAGGUAUGUAUAUAAGAUUUGAGGGUAUGUGUUUAGGGAUUUUGAUAAGAGGAUUUGAGGAAUUUAGAUUUGAAGGAUUUGGAUUUGGGGAAUUUAAAUAUGAGGAAUUUGAUUAGGGUUUGGGUUUGAAUAUGUGAAAUUUGAUAUGAGAGUUUAGAGACAACAGAUGAUCGAUUGCUCUGAUACCAUGCUAAAAUAUGAUAUGGUUUGAAUACUUUAGGUUGAGUUUUAUUCUUUUCCAUAAAAAGGUAUAUAUAGGAGUUUACAUGAGUGCUUUACAAAGAAAUAGAUACAAUAAUCAAUUAGGAUAAUAUCUCCUAAUUAUACAAUAAUUUGUCAACUAUAUAGAAUAGGAAAGUAAAUUCCUUAAUUAAUCAAGAAAAUAAAUCUCAUUGAUUAAUUAGGAGACUAACGUCAACAUUUAUAAGCCAUAAAAGAGCAGAAAAAGAGGUACUUAGGAGAUUUUAUACGUCGGACUAAGGUAAGCUUAAAGGACUAUAUCAAAAAAAUAAGGGACCAAGAAGCAAGACAGAGAAGUUGUUAUGCAAACCCAUUAAGUUUAGCAGUGAUGAAUUUGUAAAAAUCAUUCUAGUGGAUUCUGCCUUCACUAUUGAGUUCUUAUUGAGGUUCUAUCUGAAAGGAUCUGGACAUGAAGGAGACCGCUUAUUAAACAAACCGUGGAUGUUUACAGCCUGACAUGUGGUUGCUUGAAAAUCAGCUCCCAUUCUUUAUUCUUGAGGAUCUUUAUCACACAUACAUAAUAACCGACUCUUUUAGGAAUUAUUACAGUACUCAUGAUCAUGAGAGGCUUUCAAUAAUUAAUAUUUCUAAGAAUUUCUUCACAGCCGGAAUAUUGAAUUUGGAGGGGAAGGGAGACAAAUGGAACAGAAUAUCAUCUUCUUCUAGUGUUGGAAAUUUUAUAUUAUUUAAUAAUAUUUAAUUUCUAUUGUGAAUGAAAAAUAAGUUUCUUUAAGAAACGUGUGUCUUAGGCCAGUUUUUCUAACUGGUCGGCUUCCUUAGAUUUGUGCCUAUUGCUUUUCAAAGUAUAAUGAUGCAAUGGUUGUAUCUCGUUCAGGCAAAUGGAAGGUAUAUAGCAAUUUAUAGAACAAUACAGUAAUCCAGAAGAAAUAUUAUGAAAUGAAAAGAAUAAAAAGUAAAAAAAGAGAAAGAAAGGAAUUCCCACCUGCAAUGUAUAUGUAUGAAAGGAAGGACCAAGUUUGUUUUAAAAUGGUAAGAACAAGUUGAUUUUAAAUUGGGUUCAGAUCAACUCAUAGAUUUCUUGCCUUUUCUGUUCUCCUUCCUUGGACAUGAACUGUUUAAUCUUGGACUCUUCCCCAUCAUGUUGGGCCUGUCUUCUUCUUGAGGAUUGUAUAGGCCUAGGAAAUGCUUCGGGGUAGUUUUUGUGUUUUGGGCAUUGGGACCCAACUUCACAAAAAGAAAACAAAUUUGACCAAAACACAAAUUUGAAGGACAUUGAAAUUGUACCCGUAGGAUAGAUUAAAACACUAUAAGGGAGGUAAAUAGUACGUUUACAGAGUUUAAGUGUAAUAAAGGAAUAAAAACAUGCCCAGAGAAUUGAUAAGUGAUAUCAAUUCUUGAAUAUACGUGAAAAUUAUUUUAUGUGGUUAAACCCCACCUCUGGGGAAAAUCCACGGAACUUCUUAGUCCAACUUCUAUCACUUAUCCUAGACACAUUCUAGAUAAUGUUUGCCAACCUCUUCGUAACUCAACUUCUGUCACGAGAUGAUCUUUCAACACUUUAUGUCGAACGCAAUACUGGUCACGAUUUCUUCAAGCUCGCCGGAGUUCUUCCAAUUCUCCUUAUAUUGAAUCUGAUACUAGUCACGAUCGAUUCAAGCUCAUCGGAGAAAAAUCGCCACAACAAUCUUGGUGCCCUCAACCGUAUGAGUCACUGAACAUGCAAAUGAAUACAAUAUGAAUGAUAAAAGUGUUUGAUAAAUCACCAAGUUAUGGAACACUUGAUGAUUUAUCUCAAAUAAAAAUUCAGCUUUCCAAAGUUUAUGAAUUGAAAAUAUGACCGUUAAAGCUCUCUAAACAAAGAAGACGAAGGUCUUAUUUUAUAGACUUUUACUUUACAAGAAAGAAAACACGUUGAAAACCAAAUCUCCAAUUUCCAAGGCUUGACAGAAAAUCACAAAAUUAUCUUUCCUAUUCUAGAGAUUGGUCACAUGAAGUCCAACCAAUAGGAAAUGAGAUAUUUAAGAAAGGAAGAUUUUGAUCAAUAUCAAUAUCAAAUGAAUUCUUAUACGCCUAGUCAAUUGUUAUGGGUAUCUUGACUCCUUGAUAUUGUGAUAUGAUUGAAACAUGAUUUCCACGUUAGAAAAUUAAGGGGAUGUUAAAACAUGAAGGUAAUAGGAGAAUCAAAUUGAUUUGGGCCAAAAUUGCCUAAAAAGAAAACACUCCUUAAUAAACUUCAAUUUACUUUUAAAAAUAGUAAAACGUGAUUGAAUCGUUCUUUAAAACAAUUCCCUAAUAUACAUGCAUGAUAGUGAUAUCACUUACCUUUGAAUCAGAUGGCUUUCACGGGUCAAGCCACAAGUUUUUGUCUUGGGGAUUGCUGAGCUUCAUCAAUCCUGCCAAUGUCAAUUUUGCCCCUAAGCUCUCUCAAAGCACGUUUACAACCUAUGCUAACAUAUAUUAGAGUUUAUGUUAGUAUCAAGAAAAUGCCAACACUAAUUUCGUAACACGUAGAAAUUGUUAGAGAUUGAAGUUUUUAUCAUUUUUUCUUCCAGACUCUCCACCACUCACUAAUAUAGUUUACUCAUGUGAUGAGUUUACAAAACCUAUUUCUCUACUCUCACAAAGACUAUACUUAGGGGGGUGUAUUCAAUUAGGAUUCUAAAGCGUUUAAAAAGAUUUUGUUUAAGUGCCAGCUUUCAUAGAACUUGAUGGAACUUUAUAAUUCGUAUAGAACUUGAUAGACUUUCAGAAGACUUCUGUAUAAUUUUUUAAUAAAACUUUCUUAAGCUUUCAUAGAACUUGAUAGGCUUUCAUUCCAAACUUAUGUAGAUGGUAUAUUUCAUUUUAUCCCCAUCCUUGACAUUUAAAGAAAGAAACUUGAAUUUUUUCAAUCAAAUUUGUUUUUGUUACCAAAGCAGCAAAAACAAAAAGUACUUGUUUGCGAUGGAAGAACAUAUGCACAGUUCAAAAUGAAAAGAAUAAGAAGCAAAGUACCUAUUUGACCAAUGAAUGCUGUGUCAACUAGAGAAGCAAUUGGAUCGGCUGUCAAAGCCAAUGCUGCAGGCAAUGCAUCGAUGGUCCAAAUUGCAAUAAAAAAAUAUUUUGAAUAAUGGCUCUUGCAGACAAAGACCACAUAAAUUCUGAACUGGUCUAGCUUGAAUAAUAAGGUUAGAUUAGCCAAUUGAUGAGAUUAAAAGCAAAGCAAGUUGAUGAAUUUAUCAUCAACUAUUUAAUAACCACAGUCCUGAUCUCUUGGACCCCUGUAGUCCAAGAGAUUUAUGGUCACCCACCGUUGGAUGUAAAUUCAACGGUUGACUUGAAUCGGGUAAUAAUCAUUUAUGUCAUAUUGCAUUUAUAUAUAUCAUUUUGAACCAUUGGAUUAAUAUCCAACGGUGGGUGACCACAAUCUCUUGGACUCCUGUGGUCCAAGAGAUCGGGACUGUUAAUAACCAAUAGAGUAUUUAAACAUAAACAACAAUGUUUGAUCAACAAAACAAAUAGUCCAAAUAUCAUCCAAAAAACAAUAACAAAAAAUCAAUCAUUCCAAACAAACUAGUCAUUCUCAAAAACUCUCAAAAAACCCACUCAUUCCAAAUUGUAGGAUAUCCAAUUUGAGCACUCCUCAGGAGACAUUUUCAAAAAUGCAUCCUUUUUUGUGUUACUAUGCAACAAAGAGAGUGCUUUAUAACGAGCAUGUUCAUCCAAAUUUGGGGUCUCCUUAAUGGCAUCCCAUAUAUAACUCCGCUGCUCUCUCUCUUUUUCCCUUUUUGCCAAUAGGUUAUGGACCUCCCGGAAGUCGAUGACAAUUGAAUCAAUGCUAAGGCUAAUUCUUCCCAUAGCUUGCUGGGUGGUCACAUUUGAGAUAGCAUUCCCUUCCAAAUAUGUUCUAGUUCGUUUCCUCUAGUAACAAGCAUAAAUCCUAGUAACAAGCAUAAACCCUAACCCCAACCUAUAACCUAAUAACAAGAAGAAAACCCAACGAGGUAUUGAUCAAAGAAAAAUUAGGGAGCAUACCUUCACAGAUGGAGGAAGGAAGCUGUUCGUCUUCGCAGAGAGAAAAUCUAGGGAAAGAGAAAAACGUCUUAUGAAAUACUUGGGGGGGAGGUUGGAUUUAUUUUGGUCUUUUUUAUUUAUAACUCUCCCCUUAAAACCUACGUAAAUUUAUCACUUAAUGAAAUCCUUCCAAAUAUAUGACCUUUCGAAUACACCUAGAUUUGAUUCAACUUUUUUAUAAUCAUAAUUGAAUACACCCAUAUUUGAAUGGACUUUUUAAAAGUUCAUAUAGGUCCGAAAUGAAUAUACUCAAACUUGUAAAACCUCUUUUAAAGUUUGUAUAAAUCCAAAUUGAAUACACCUGGAUUUUUAAAAUCUUUUUAAACACUUUAUAAUCCUAAUUGAAUACACCCCCCUUAUUCUCAAAAGACUAUAUUACUUUACCUCUAUCUCUGUGAAAUGUAAAAAGUUGAAACUUUAAUGUCAAACCUCAACAAAAGAUGAACUUUCAUCAGUUACGUUGAAUUUGGAUUUGUUGAACUUAAGUGGUUUUAUUUUCUUUGUCAGUGUUUGAUGACUUAAUUUGGUAUUUAUUUCUUCUUUUUUUUCCUUGGAAAUGUGUUCCACCAACGUGAGGAAGAAAAAUAUGCACAAAUUAAUAUAUUUAAUAGAAGCCCAAGAUUUCGGAUGCAUAUAAUUUCUACAAAAAUCUACAAAGUUUUUUACUUUACAAACUUCUUAUGUCUACCAAUUUCUACUAAAAUUAAUUUCUCUGUGGUGCUCAAAUUCAUCAUAUGUGUGUCGUUAAUUUUAUUGAAAAUUGGAAGUUCCCAUCAUUUUUGUUUUUUGGGAAUUUUCUGAACCAAGGAAAAUCAAGUAAAAUUAAUAAAGCCUAAAUUGGAAAGGGAAAAUAUCUAGAGGAUGCAUUGUAGGAUUGCUCAUGCCAAUAAUUGUACCCUCUAAAUAUAUAGAGACAUAUUUUUUUUGUUUUCAUGACAUGUGGUCCUAAAAUUAUUGUGUAAAUCUUCAAUCCUGAACGAUGCACCUAAAACUCAUCCACCCAUUCUCAGGCCAAUUAUUGCACCUAGUGGGCUCUCGACCCCCUCUCAAAUUUAACCACAUAUUUUAUGGACCAUCCAGCUGUGAGGUACAUUCCCCCCACAUGCCACAAUUGUAUAUUCACAAUUACGUCUGAUACAUCACAUCAUGCCACUUGCCUCAAAUGAAUUUAAGUGAGUGAGGCAGUUGGAAGUAAUUAAGCUCUAUAUUGGUGGGUGGAGUGUUACUUCUCGGUUCCCCUCAUCAUUCGUCUAUAAAAUGGUGAAGGCAGUUGCUAUUGUUACCAUAAGAGCCAGCUCCGACUUCCUUUAAUUUCUUGCUUCAUAUCCACUAGCUACAUCUGUUACCAAGUUAAUUUCAGUUCUAAUGGGGUUUCAUCUCCCACUCAUCUUUGCUCUUCUCAGUGUAAGCUCUGCAAUUUGAUUAACUUUUCCAUUCUCUCUCAUUGUACUCUAUAUAAACGAAAGUUUUGUGUUCCUAUUGUUCUCUCCGAUUUUAUUUAGUACGUACUUAAGUGUCGUCCACUAAUUAAUUAUACUUUGUGAUUUGAUUUUAAUUUGAGUUUGAAUUAAUGUUGCAGCUAGCAGCAGUGGCACUGGCAAACCAUGCUGCUCAACCAGCACCUCAACUUUACUGGAGCUCCGUCCUGCCAAACACACAGAUGCCAAGAUCUAUCAGUGAACUUCUGCAUCCUGGUUUGUGUUGAGCUCUUUAGAAUCUUAGAUAUCUCUUCUACCUGCCAUUUUACUAAAAUAUGUUCCACCACAUAUUUAUCAGUUAACCAUUGUCAUUACAUGAGUGACACAUAUUCACAAAUCGGCUGAUCACUUAUUUUCCAUUAUGACUUGAUAUAUAAUUUGCAGACUCCACAAAUGAAGAAAAGAGCACAAAUGACGUUGGCAAACCUGAAACUUUCCCAUUGGGCAAUCAACAUUACUCCAGUCAAAAACAUUAUGGAGGCAUACCUGAAACUUCCCCAUUGGGCAAUAAACAUUACUCCAGUCAAAAACAUUAUGGAAGAGGCAAACCUGAAACUUUCCCAUUGGGCAAUCAGCAUUACUCCAGUCAAAGACAUUAUGGAAGAGGCAAACCUGAAACUUUCCCAUUGGGCAAUAAACAUUACUCCAGUCAAAAACAUUAUGGAAGAGGCAAACCUGAAACUUUCCCAUUGGGCAAUCAGCAUUACUCCAGUCAAAAAAAGUAUGGAAGAGGUGCUUCUCCAUCCGACAAUCAACAACUCCAUUAUAAAGACUUAGCUAUUUUCUUCUUGGAGAAGGACAUGCGCCCUGGCACAACAAUGAAGUUCCAAUUCCCUAUAAAUUCAAACACGGCUACUUUCUUGCCACGAGAAAGCGCUCAAUCGAUCCCCUUCUCCUCUAACAAACUGCCAGAAAUUUUCAACCAUUUUUCAGUGAAGCCAACAUCUGAGGAAGCCAAAACAAUUAAGCAAACAAUCGAAGAGUGUGAAGCUCCAGACCUUAAGGGAGAGGAAAUAUAUUGCGCCACAUCUUUAGAAUCAAUGGUUGAUUUUAGCACUUCGAAGCUUGGAACAAGAAACGUUGAAGCAAUCUCGACGGAGGUAUUGGAAAAAGGAGCCACCAUGUCCAUCCAAAACUAUACAACAAUGCCGGGACUGAAGAAGUUGGCAGGUGACAAAGUCGUUGUGUGUCAUAAGCAGAACUAUCCCUAUGCUGUGUUUUUCUGCCAUGCAAUAAAACAUACAGCAGCUUAUGCUCUCUCCCUGAAAGGCGAUGAUGGGGAGAAGGUUAAAGCAGUAACCAUCUGCCAUCUAGACACAUCAGAAUGGGACCCAGAGCAUAUGUCCUUCCAAAUCGUCAACGUUAAGCCCGGAACCAUUCCCAUCUGCCAUUUCAUUUCCACUGAUGCUAUUGCCUGGGUUCCGAACCACAAAUCUGCAUGAUCAUCACUUAGCACUAGUACUGUGCGUAUAAUAUGCCUGUAUAAUUAUCUCCCUACUUAUUUCUGCCUCUUCAUCAUGUGGUGUAAGAUAUAUGUUGAGAUGAAGUUUUUGGGAUUUGUGGUCGAAAUUAACCCGAUCAUGUUUUCUCUUGCAACCAUAUAGACUUCAACUUGUACUCAUAAUAAAGCAUGCUAUAUUUAUGAAGAGAUAUUAAUCUUCAGGCAAAUAGAUAUUAUGAAAACAUAUAUAGCAAUUUAUCCAGAAGAAACAUUAUGAAAUGAAAAGAAUAAAAAGUAGAAAAACAGAAGGAAAGGAAUUCGCACGUGCUAUGCUAUGUAUGAAAGGACCAAGAUUGUUUUCCCUUUGGUUAAUGACUAGAAAAGCUCACUUGCAGAGUGCUUUCUCCGACCAUAGAUGGAAGAGAAAUUUUCUCUUAAUAAUAGCACAAUGAUCGGGUAAUUGUAAGAACAAGUUGAUUUAAAAUUCCUUGACCCAAAAAAAAAAAAAAAGUUCUUUUCAAAUUCAGGUCAACCCAUAGAUUUCUUGCCUUCGUCUUCUUCAUCACGUUGGGCUUGUCUUCUUUUUGCGUUUUGGGCCUUGGAAGUUGGGACCCAACCCAACUUCACAAAAAGAAAACAGAUUUGCCAAAAAUCAAAUUUCAAGUCUCUCCUCCGAUCACUAAUACAGAUCAAAUUUUGGAUUUGAUGAACUAAAGUGGUUUUACUUUCUCUGUCAGUGUUUGAUGACUUAAUUUGUUAUUUACUUUUUUUUUUUUACUUGAUCUUUGUAGGGGCUUUUUUUUUUCCGGCAGCUUAAACGGGCUGGGCUGCCGUAAAGGGUAGAUUGAUGAAAUUGUCCCCUUUGUCUGAAUUCGAAAAUCAAGCCCCAAAAGCGCUUCGAAAGGGCAGUAGAGCCUUAGGAAGCGUUCUGGUUACCUUCACUAAUUAAAACAACAGCAACUUACAGAUGAUUUCUUGAGGCUUACAGAUAAAUUUUCUAGCUUGGCAUGACAUGGAAGCAAAAUCAGCAUGAGUUUAGCACCAAAGAGGAAAAUAUGGCUUCCUAGGGAGAAAUGAGAGUGUUUAAGGUGAGGAAGAAGAGGUUUGCAGGCUGAUUUGGCUGAGAAAAGAGAAAGAAAGAACAAUGUUCUUCCGGCAGCUUGACAAAGCUUCUGACAGAUGUGAAAGUCGUCCGCCAGAAGAGGAAAAUGGAGAAGAAGGAUGAAUAGUGCACGAAAUUGGUGGGUUCUUGCAGGUAAGAGAGAAAGCUUGCUCUCUGAAUCUGAGUUGGUUUUGGUUGGGUAGAAGAAGCCCCCUUUUAUAGCUGCGGGAAACCAUCUUUUUCCAAGAAACCCUAAUGGUUUCUAUCCUUUUUGGCCAAGCUUUUCCCUUCCUUUCUCUUCUCCUCCCUUGACUUUUCCUAUCUUGGUGAAAUUUCCUCUGCCUAUUUGCACAAAAUUAGAGAUUUUGAGGAGCUCAAGGCCCCUUUCCCGCAGCUGCCUUAGUGGAGAAUCCCCAUUUUCAGUCAUCUUUCUUCCUUCUUUUCUCCCAUCUUCCAAGGCUAGGUUUGAUGAGAGAAAGAAAUGGAUAUGCACACUGGUUUGAAGGGUGUUUUUCCUUGAAACUUGUUCUCUCCCAUGUGCUGGAGCUUCCCAGCAGCUUACACACAUAGAUAUUUUGGCUUUCAUCGUGGCUUUUGUUUUCAGCUAGGUGCUGGAGAUUUUGCAUAUAUUUUCUUGAGUUGCUUGGGCCUUCUAGGACAAUACGUUGGUUUAUCAAGUGAAUGGGCUAACUUCAUCAAUUGUUGGGCAAUUUUGGUUGAGUUAAUGGACUAUUUUGGUUCAAGUAAUGGACUAUUUUGGUUGAAAUAAUAGGCUAUUUUUCUCUCUUUGUGCUCACCCACAUAUUUGGGCCUAAAAAAUGGGCUUGAGUUUCGGGGCUCCCAAGCAACCCCGGGACUUCCAUUUCUCGGCCCAUCAAUGAGCCUCAUGUCAACUUAUUACCAUCCAUACCACAACCCACUCAAGCAAGCCUCAGGCAUCUUGCGUGGCUUGGGCCCACGUAAGCUCGUAGUGGCAAUGUUGCUUAUUUGCUUGACGUGGCAUGUGUGCAAGUGCAUAUGACGAACUUUCGCGUGCCCAAAUUGAGUUUCUUCUCGGUAGGGUAUCGCAUUGGGCCGAGAAUUUAAUUGGGUAGAACCGUGGAUUUUUUGGGCCUCAACAAUCUUAUAUAUAUUAGUUUUCUUUUUUUCCUUAAUAUUCACCACCUUUCUGUUGCAUAAGUAUUCCAGUCUUAGCGGGUUUCCAUCUACCACUCAUCUUUGCUCUUUUAAGUGCAAGCUUUUUUAUUUUUAUUUUUUUAUGCACAAGAUUAGAGGGGAGGGAGAUUUCUCAAUGUAAGCUUUGCAGUUUCAUAAUUAAUAUUUCCAAUAUCUCACUGUUAGUAAAAUAUGGAACGGGAAAAGUACGAAUAAAAUACACACAUGUUUUAUUUAGCAAAAUUUUGACAAGAUACAACUGAAAAGUUUGGCCACUAUAUAAUAUUUUGAUUUAAUUUUUUUUAUUUUUUUAAUAUAUAUUAUUUUUAUUCAAUAAUAUGUGAAAAAUAGGUGUACAAUAUAUGAAAUUUGUAUGUAUUAUUGAAAAAUUCGUAAAAAAAAAACAUGUUAUUAAAUGUGAAAAAUAUGUACGUAUAUGUAUAAAACAUGUAUUGUACAUUACUUUUUAACAAACUUGUAUUUUACCUAGUCUUUAAACCGUAUAUGGAAAACGGAAGUAUUAUUGAAAAAUACAUAUGUACGUAUAUGUAUAAAACAUGUAUUGUACAUUACUUUUUAACAAACUUGUAUUUUACCUAGUCUUUAAACCGUAUAUGGAAAACGGAAGUAUUAUUAAAAAAUACAUAUGUACGUGUAUAAUAUGAGUAUUAAACAAAAAAAUGUGCUAAGUACUUAUCUUUUAAUUUAAUAAUUCAUUUCAUUUUGUGAUCUCAUACGUAGUAAUGAGAGUUCAAAUUAAUGUUGCAGCUGACAAUGGUGGCUCUGGCAAGCCAUGCUUGAUGCAGGAGUAUAGGGGUGGAUCAAGAUAGAUAUUUACCAUGUAAUUAGUUAUUUCAUGAUAUAUUGUUAUUUUCUUAUUUAGGUAGUUUUAUGAUAUCUUUUAUUAUUUAUGUGGGAUUUUAUAAUUAAUUAGUUUACUUUUGGACCAAGUAGCCUUGGUGCUCAAGUCUUGUAAAGCUUAUAAAUAAGGCUAAUGUAAUAGUUGUAGGAAAAGAGAUGUCGAUGAUUAAUAAAAUCGUUUAUUUGUGGCAUGGAUUUGCUACGAUAUAUGUGAGUUUGCACUAGCCCUAGAUUUCGGUGCUCGUGUAUGUGGUUGGUGACCUGUGUCCGGAUCCCGAUCCCCAUCAAUGCUGUUCUCCCAGUACCUCAACUUUACUGGAACUCUUUCCUGCCAAACACAAAUGCCAAGAGCUAUCAGUCAACUUCUGCAUCCUGGUUUCUAUUAAGGGACUUUUCGUGAGCUUAUCAUCUACCCAAAUUUUACUCAUCCGACGUAAUUUUAAAAGUGAUUUGAUCCUUUGGCAAAGUAAUCUUGAACUACAAAAAAGGAGGGCACUCGAAUAGGCAUGCCAUUUGGUAUUACCCACCUCUAAUUUCUUUUAAAAUUUUAGUAAUUGAUUUUUAAGAUUAGAAAAUGGGAAAGUUCAAAACCGAAAAAGUUGUUUCAGUUUUGGCAAGUAUCGGAAAAGACUAAAAUUUUCCGACUUUAUUAUUACUAGAAACAAAGUCGAAGUAUUCACCAAUCAUGUGGCCUUCCAAGUGCUCAAGGUUAAGCCAGGAACCGUUCCUAUCAGCCAUUUCCUUCCCAAGUAUGAUCAUGUUGUCUGGGUUCCAACCCACAAAUCUACAUCAGUACCUGAACUAAUCAGUUCUACAUGAAUAUUCAUUCAUGGCAACCUUGGGCUAAGUAUUUGAAUUUAUGCUCAUAAAGCUUUAAUGCUUUUGAGGGCCAAUCGUUGUCUACAUAUGGUAUUGUAGCAUCUUUAGAUGGAAGAGGUCAGGGGUUCAAUUCUUGUUUUCCACUUCUUUAUUUGUUGGUUUAUCGAGUGUAGAGUGGAGUUGCACCUAUAUGUUCGUCUCUCACCCCAUCAUUUACCAUUGAUAUAUAUUUAAUAGAAGCCUAAGAUUUCGGAAGCACAUAAUUUCUACUUUACAAACUUCCUGUGUCUACCAAUUUCUACUAAAAUUAAUUUAUCUGCGGUGCUGAGAUUCAUCAUAAUUUUAAUAGAAAUUGGAAGUUUUCAUCAUUUUUGCUUUAAGUCUCUACUCCACUCACUAAUAAAGAUUACUCAUGUGAGUUUACAAAACAUUUUUUUUUUCUACUCUCUCCUGAAGACUACACUUCUUCUCAAAAAAUUAGAUCACUUCACAUCUUGUGUAUGUGAAAACUAAUGUAAAAAGUUGAAACUUUAUCGUAAAACCUCGACAAAAAUGAGCUCUACUACAAAAUGUUAAAUUUGGAUUCGUUGAUUUAAAUGGCAAUUUGACACUUGAUAGAAAUUUUUACAUACAUGUGUUAGUGUUUGAUCACUUCACAUGUCACUUACUAUAUUUAUUCCACUCAAGUUAGGUAAAUAUUAUUAUCAAACAUUUCAAUUAAUUUGUGAUUUUUUUAUUAUUUAAUCAAUUAUGAAUUAAUGGAUUCUUCUUGUUGUUUUGAAGACCAACAAAAAAAAAAAAAAGGGUAGUGAUGGCUUAUAAUUCUGGUAAAACAACAGUGACGUGGACAACAGAUGUUACGCUGUACUAAAGAUUUUUGAAGAUUCUUUAUUUGAGUUUCUUUCAAGAUAAAAACCAUAUUAUCCACAACCACAAGCACAUCCGGCAGACAAUCUUUGGCUAUUCAUCACAAUUGGGAGACAAUGAAGAAGACAGAAAAUGGAGUAAUUCAGAUGUUACCAGCCAUCCACGACAAACUGAAGUCUGCAAAGCAUUCGUAAUCUAAAAAGGAUGGGGAGGCUGCGCAAUACUUAGCCACGUGUAGGCCAGGAGGCUUUCCAAUUUUAAUAUAUAUAUAGAUUGAAAAAAUAAAAUAAAAAUCAAUCUAUUAUCAUAUAUAUUAUAAAAUAAAGAUUAUUGCUCCCAUGGGCGGUGCUAUGCACAGGACAGUGCCUGCCUAGUCCAAAUUUUUUUUAAAUAAAAAUAAAAAUCUACAUAUGUUAUAAGCUCAUCCAAAAAAAAAAAAAAAAAUAAAAGUGUUGUAAAUUAUAAGGUGGAGCCCACAUGUUGGAAGGCUUUGCCUACAAAAGGGUUCACACCCUCCCUUUGUAAUUAGACAUUGAGAAUACUAAGGAAGACAGAAAUGAAUAGAGAGAAAACAUUCCCUUCUCUCCAUCUCAAUUCCCUCUCCAAUUCCUCUAGAUUUAUAACACGUUAUCAGCAGCACGAAUCGCUUUCAAACAAUACCAGCUGAAUUUUAUGAUGAAACCCAGAUCUCUCAUCCAUCUCUGCUGCUCCACUACUUCAAAAUAAAUCCCACAGAAAAAGAAAAAGCCUCAAUGCUCUCUCUCUCUCUCUGUCUCGCUUGGGAGACUUGGACAAUUCCUCAUCCCCGUUACUGACAAUUUCAACAGCUUCAGGGGAAGCUAGUUUAUCUUCCUCUGCUCACGAAACCAUGACUCUUUCAGAGCCAAACAACAACACAAUAGACAACGCAUGGAGACCAGACUGGAGCUCGUCGGCUAAGGCACCGACGAUCCGACCCUACCCGUAUGGACCUUCCGGAUGUGGUUCCUGGGUCUUGUCUCAUGUGCCCUCCUCUCAUUUCUCAACCAAUUCUACAAGCAGCAGAGCUUCAAAUCAAACAGAUCAUGGCAUCGCUUUCACACCUCCCCAUCUUCCUCUUCCUCCUGUUCACCGCUUUCUAUUCUACAGCUUCGCAGUCCUUCAUCGGCGCAUCCAAAGGCGACAUACCGGCGCUCGCCUCAGAUCCGAACGCGGCGGCUCAGUGGGUGAACUCGAAUGUCCUCGCCUUCUACUCGGCCAGCAACAUCGACCUCAUCAACGUCGGCAACGAGGUCCUUUUUCUCCAACGACCAGGGCCUCAUCUCGCAGCUCCUCCCCGCCAUGCGAAAUGUCCAAUCUGCCCUCUCCGCCGCGUCCCUCGGCGGCAAGGUCCGUGUCUCCACGGUCCACUGCCUCGCCGGAUCGGGAUCCUUCCUUCAAGUGUUUCUCUGUCUUCGACUUGAAAAAGAAGGUCAUGGCAGGCCUAUGUAAAAAUUGCGAAAAGGAAGGCAAUCUUCAACCUUUUCUCCUGUCUCUCUCUUGAUCAAUUCAUGGAAGGCACAUUUGGGUCUUCCGGGGGCUCAUCAAAUGAGUCAGCAAUGUCAAAGGUGGAGGUGGUGGAGCAAGACUACGUGGGGAUGUCAUAUGAGGCAACCUCAUACCCAGCUGAGGCAGAGCUUGUGCUGGGCCUGGGCCUUGGCCUGAGCCUUCGUGGUGGUGGUGCAGGGAAGCAGCCAAAGCCAUGUGCAUGGGGUGAGCGUGGUAGAAUCUUGACUGCUAAAGUUAGGUGCUGAGUUACACUGUGUUCUCUGCUACUGACCCUAAGAGGAGUGCUAGAAACUUCCAUGUUCCGCCAUCAUUUCGCUUUCACUGUUACAAGGCACUGGAGUAUGUUUAAUUGAAAAGUGAGAUACACAGCAAGUUGAUCAGCCUAGUGGAAAGCAAAGGAUUAUUGCCAGGGAUAUGAACACCCACCGAAAUAAAGGGAUAAGUACUCUUUUUCCCUUCGACCAGUUUUUUUUUGUCCCACUGGGUUUUUACUGGCAAGGUUUUUCACGAAACAUAUUCCGUAUCAUUUGUGGUCUCUAAGAGGGAGUGUUGUAAAUUAUAAGGUGGAGCCCACAUGUUGGAAGGCUUUGCCUACAAAAGGGUUCACACCCUCCCUUUGUAAUUAGACAUUGAGAAUACUAAGGAAGACAGAAAUGAAUAGAGAGAAAACAUUCCCUUCUCUCCAUCUCAAUUCCCUCUCCAAUUCCUCUAGAUUUAUAACAAAAAGUAAAUUCUACACAUAUGUUGCCCAUCCAGGUGGUCCCAUAUCUUCUCUUUCCUUUUCUUUUGGCUAUUAGACUUCUUGUUUCUCUCUCUCUCUUUGCUACCCCACAUCAGCAAGUUUCUCCCUCUCUUUUUUUGGGAUCAAAUUCUUCUUCUAUUGACAAAAUCUUCUAUUAUAUUGGGUGGGCAACUUGGCAACAACAUCUUCUCCUCUCCUUUUGUCAACAGCAAGUAUUAUUCUCAUUCUCUCAUUUGCUAUAUAUCUUUAAUUAUAGUUUUAAUUUAAAAUUGAGUAUUCUAGGGUUUAAUUAGGGAUGAAUUAUAAUUUUGGGAUUUUGUUGAAAUUAAUUAGGGCUUCGAUUAGGGGUGAAUUAUUCUACUGCUUUGAUUUGGAAUUUUGUUAAAAUUGAGUAUUAUAGGUUUAAUUAUGGAUGAAUUACAAUUUUUGGUUUUGGUAUUGUUGAGAUGUUAUUAUGAGAAUUUGUUUGAUUUUUUGUUGGUAUAUUUGAUUAAAAUUCUUUCUACAUAUUAUUCAUAGGCUAUCUUUUAUUAUGUCGGAUCACAAUCGGAAUCCCAAGAAAACAAAAAAUUUGAAUAGUGUUGUUUUGUAUUGCAUUGCAUUUACUUUUGGUUUUAGUUUUGCUUUUAGUGUAAAUUACUCAAAUGGUCCUCAAAUUUGUACCCAAUUUACAUUUUGGUCCAUAAACUAAAUUAUUCAUUCAAAUGGUCCACCAACUCUUUAUUAAUCGGUGCUUUGGUCCUAUCGUUAUGUUUUCUAUUAAAUUUAGUCAUGUGAGCAGCACAUGCUACAUUUGUAUGGGUAAAUAAGACUUUUGACCAGUGGCGGAUCCACGUUGGGACAAGAGGGGUCGGACGACCCCUUGGAAGGCUGGAAAUUUGGCAAGGGAGUCCAUGAAAGCCCCCUUGGACAGCUGCUGGAAGCCCCCUUGUAUGCACACAAUGUGCUCGACGAAAUGCCCCAACGAAAUGUCCUGCGCAGCUGUGCUGCGCCUUGCGCGUAAUUUUUUUUUAAAACCAGCCUUGCCAAACGACGUCGUUUGGUCAAGGCUCAGUCAAAUUUUUUUUUAAUUAACCUGGCCUCAAAACGACGUCGUUUUGGGCCAGGUUUAAAAAAAAAAAAACAGAACAGUACACACGCACAGCAGCUCUGCACAGAUUCAUUUUCUCCAAACCUUUCAUUCCCAAUUCCACAGCCCCUCUUCCCAUCCUCUCAAACCCUAACCUCCCAACCUCCCAACCUUGGACAACCUCCAUCAACUCUUCACCGGUGGCCCAAUGCCGAUCACCACCACCUUCUACCGCCGUCCGCCGCCCAUUUUUUAAACUACAAGUAAGUAAGCAUGGAAAAUCUGAUAUUAAUAAUUAUAGUGAUAAUAUAUAUUGUUGAUAUUGAUAUUUUUUUUUUAUGUAAUGAAAUUUAUGGAUAUGAAUCAUAUUGAUUGAUUGAGUUUAUGCUUGAAAUUUAUGGAUAUGAAUCAUAUUGAUAUUUUUUUUUAUGUAAUUAAAUUUAUGGAUAUGAAUCAUAGUGAUAAUCAUAUUAAUGUAGAUUGAUUGAGUUUAUGCUUGAUUGAUAAUAUGAAUUGAUUGGGUAUAUUAAAUAUUGAUUGCUAUUUGAUAUGAUAAUUUGGUAUAUUGAAUAUUGAUUGAUAUGGGUUUAGGGAGUAUAUUGAAUAUUGAGAGUGGGUUAUUGAAAUUUUCAUAUUCAUAUGAUAAUUAGGAUAAAAAUUAAUGAUUGAUUGAAUUAAUUGAUUUGUAGAUUUAUGGAACGAUUCUUUAAAAGAAAAUUAUCUACGGAUAGUUCUUCUCUGUCUAAUCCGGGUAGUUCAAAUGCAAGACCAAUUGAAGUAGAUGAGAUCUUAGCUAAUCUUCAAGCAGACCCUGGACUAAGAACUCGAAUGGCGGAUUAUAGUCCUAAUAUUAGGGAUGAGAUCCGAAGAGCAUAUCUACAAAAGGGACCUUGUCAACCUAGAAGUUAUAAAUUCCCACAAACUAAUCAAUCAGGAAUUAAUAGACGCUUCAUUGCUCAUUGGUUUGAUGAUCAUGAUUGGUUGGAAUAUAGUAUUGCUAAAGAUGCUACGUUUUGUCUUCAUUGUUAUCUCUUCAAAUCUAAUUUUGAUCAAGUGGGUGGUGAUGCAUUCACUGGGGUAGGCUUCAAUAAUUGGAAGAAGGCGAAAGAAAGAUUUAACCUUCAUAUUGGACCGGUUGGUAGUGUUCACAACCAAGCUAGAGAAGUUGCUUACAAUUUGAUGCAUCAAACUACACACAUUGAAACAAUUGUGCUCAAGCAAACAAGCCAAGCUCGCACGGCUUAUCGCACUUGCUUGAAUGCAUCACUUAAGUGCACUAGGUAUUUGUUGCGGCAAGGGCUUUCUUUUCGUGGUCAUGAUGAAAGUGCACAAUCAAGUAAUAAAGGGAAUUAUUUAGAGCUCUUGCAAUUUCUUGCGGAUCAUGAUGAAAAAGUUAAGGCCGUUGUAUUGGAAAAUGCUCCGGGAAAUUUAAAGUUAAUAGCUCCUUCAAUUCAAAAAGAUCUUGUCAAUUCUUGUGCCAAAGAAACCAUUGAUCUUAUCUUGAGUGAUGUAAAAGAUAGAUAUUUUUCAAUAAUGGUGGAUGAAGCACGUGAUGUUUCAAUAAAGGAGCAAAUGGCAAUGGUGUUGCGUUAUGUGAAUGACAAAGGACAAAUAAUUGAAAGGUUUGUGGGGGUUCAACAUGUAACCGACACUACUUCAAGUGCACUAAAGGAAACAAUUGAUGAAUUCUUUUCUUCCGCGAAUUUGAGCUUUUCCAAGCUACGAGGACAAGGUUAUGAUGGAGCUAGCAAUAUGAGAGGUGAGUUCAAUGGCCUUAAGAGAAAGAUUUUGAGAGAACAACCUUGUGCAUUUUAUGUUCAUUGCUUUGCUCAUCAACUUCAACUAGCUCUUGUUGCGGUAGCAAAGAAAAACAUUGAUGUCAACUCUUUUUUCACAACGGCUAAUAGUUUGGUUAAUGUGGUUGGAGCAUCUUGUAAGCGUCGCGAUGCACUUAGAGCACAAUACCAAGAAGAGCUUGUGAGAGCUUUUGAAGAUGAUUGUCUUAUAACGGGGCGGGGCUUAAAUCAAGAAAGGACUCUCAAACGUGCCGGCAAUACACGAUGGAACUCACAUUAUGGUACGUUGAUUAGUAUCAUUUCUAUGUUCCCAUCUGUGGUGAAUGUGCUUCAAAUGAUUGUUGAUGAUAAUCUUAAUGAUAGUUCGGGUGAAGCCUAUAAGUUAAGGAGAGAAAUACAAUCUUUUGAGUUUGUGUUUCACUUAUUUGUAAUGAAAGCUAUAUUGGGAAUAACAAACACUUUGUCUCUAGCAUUGCAAAAGAAAGAUCAAGACAUUGUGAGUACAAUGAAUUUAGUGAAAACAUGCAAGGAAAACCUGCAGUUGAUGAGGGAUAAUGAGUUUGAAGAAUUGGUUGGGCAAGCAUCCUCGUUUUGUUACAAAUAUGAUAUUAUAGUUCCUACCAUGGAUGAGGAAUAUGUAAUUCCAGGGAGAUCAUGGCGUAAUGCUCCAAUGAAGACAAAUUAUCAUCGUUAUCGUGUGGAGAUCUUUAUUCAUGUAAUUGAUGGGCAACUUGCGGAAUUAAAUGAUCGCUUCAACGAGGUAAGUACUGAGUUACUUACUUGUUUGGCAUGCUUGAGUCCAAAAAAUAACUUUGUGACUUUUGACAAACGAAAGCUAGUUCGUCUUGCUCAAUUUUAUCCUUAUGAUUUUUCGGAUAGAGACUUAUUGAUGCUUGAAGAUCAACUUGGUGUUUAUGUUCAUCAUAUGCGUUCGAGUAGUGAUUUUUCUCAAUUGGAAGGGAUUAGUAGUCUUGCGGAAAAAAUGGUGGAGAAAGGAAUGCAUGAAAUAUUUCCUUUUGUAUUUGCUUCUUACAUUGGCUUUGGUUUUACCGGUUGCAACUGCAUCAGUGGAGAGGGCAUUUUCCGCUAUGAAUAUUAUUAAAAAUCCACUUCGCAACAGAAUGGGAGAUCAAUGGUUGAAUGAUAGCUUGCUUGUUUACAUUGAGAGAGAUGUUUUUGCUUGUAUUGAUAACGAAAUUAUAAUGCAAUGUUUUCAGAAUAUGAAAACUCGUCGUGGACAAUUGUAACUUGUAUUAUUGGUUUUGUUAUGAAUUAUGAAUGAAAGUACUAUCUUUCUAUCUUUUUAGCAUUAUUUUCUUUGUAGAAAAAUUUCAGAACUUUUACACUAAGCCCCCUUGGCUACAUAAUCCUGGAUCCGCCACUGCUUUUGACCACUUUAUCACCUAUGUAUCACCACUUUAUAACCUAUUUGGGGAACAUAGGUCAGUUAUGGACGGUUUUACCCUUACAUUUGACGGCAACAUUAACAUAAUGUAACAGUGGGAUCAAUGGAGUGAUUAAUAUAAAGUUGAUGGACCAUUUGAAUGAAUAAUUUAAUUGAGAGACCAAAAUGUAAAUCAAGUAUAAGUUUGAGGACCAUUUGAGUAAUUUACCCUUCGCUUUUAUAUUUGUUGAACUUUUAUUUAUGAUAGAUAUGCAUUUAAGGGUAAGACCCAUUAUGUUCCCCUGGCUAGGUGUAUCUUUUUAUGUUUAUUAAUGAAAUUCACUCGAACUGUUGAGUUUAGUAUGUAAGUUUUGCCUAACUGGCUUUUGAAUCCUAGAACCGCCACUGUUGCUCCAUCCUCCAUGCACUUGCAUGUGCUCUUACAAAGUGUGAAGUAGAUUUUGUGUGCUCCAAGUCAUUGACUAGAGCUGAAACAUGGUUAGCUAGAUUUAUAAGGACCCAUCUCUUUAUUUCCUAGACAUAUACCCAUCUCUCUAUAAAUCUAUAUGUAAAACCUAAUUUCAAACUUAAAUGACCAGUAGGAUAUAAAAGGUCAUAGUAUUCCUAUGUUUUUAUAUCGUUGCCACCAGACUUCUUAUUUUAUUUAUAAUUUAUUUCAAGCAUUUCAUUAACUGCCAUAAUUGUAAUUAAUACUCCAUAUUAAUAGCAUAUCAAUCACCCCAUUUCUUUUGGUUGCCAUUCCCUCUAACAUAUCGCCCCUUAAAUUUGAAAACCAAAAAAAAAAAAUGUAAAUUACAUAUCCAAUAAUGUACCUAUGAAAAAUAUAAAUAUAAAUAUAUACAUAUAAAAAUAUAGGUAUAUUAUUUACCAAAUAGAAAAUAUAAAAACCUAGGUCAGUUGCUUUGUAAUUGAAAUUUCUGUACAUUUUCCACAAAUUAAAAAUAGGUACAUAAUAAUUUAUAGAAAAUAUAUGUACAUUAUUUAUCCAUAGGUAAAAAUACCGAUAAAUGCACAUAGGUGAAUUAUUUACCAAUAUAUUAUUUUUUUGCUAAGGAUUUACCUUAGUUUUUAGUAGAUUAAUUUACCUACCUAGAGGCAUAGGUAGCUUAAAAAAAAUGUACCACCUUAGUUGGUUGCAUACUAAUUUACCUACCUAGAGGCAUAGGUUGCUAAGAAAAAAUGUAGGUAAAUUCAUGUACCUAAACACAUAGGGGUCAAAUAGAGAAUAACAUGUUAUUUCCCUUUGAACAAAUUAAUUUCAAACCAUAACAAUUAUUGAAUUUGGAAAUUGGUAUAAAUAAAAGGAAAUAAAUAAACUAUCAAUUUGAAAAUUAAAAUAAGAAAUGAUCAAGUAGUCAUAUUUGAAAAAAAAGGAAAGAAUAUAUUCUUGGUUUUUAUAGGAACAACGAGUAUAUUCAAACCAAACGGCGAUAACUACACCAAGCUUUAAUUACUUUUUUUUAAGGCCAAAAGUCACUUUUGGUCCCUGUAGUUCGGCAUUUCUACCACUUUUGAUGUUGUAGUUUCAAUUCCGUCAAUUUUGCCAUUGUAGUUUCGUAUUUGUAGCAAUUCAAGGACCUGUUAAUAUUAAUGUCAAUUUGUUUAAUGAUGCAAGAGGUAAUUUCGUCAUCCCAAAAUCCUUGAGCAUAAAAGAUUGUCUGAAAUUCUCCCCAUUUCAUAUUAGGGCUCGAAAUUCAACCACUAAUCCUAAUUUUUGAAGAACCCUAGACCCAAAUGACCAAUUUCAAGCCCUAAUAUGAAAUUACGGAAGUUUUAGAUGAGCUUUUAUGCUCAAGGAUUUUGAGUUGAAGAAACUGCCCCUUGCACUGUCAAAUAAAUUGACAGGAAUACUGACUUGUCCUUGAAUUGCUACAAAUACAAAACUACAGUGUCAAAAUUAACAGAAUUUAAACUAUAGGGUCAAAAGUAGUUGAAGUGUCAAACUAUAAGGACCAAAAGUGACUUUUAGCCUUUUUGUUUCAAUAAGGAAAAAACUGACCUAUUAAAUCCUUGGAAUCUAUACAAAAUUGAAACACAAUUAAUCAACAUUGAAUUGCAGCUAAUUUCUUAAACAAGGGUAUUAUAGGAAUUUAAAAAGUAUAACAUUUAAUCCAUUGAAUUUGAUUAGGAAACUUGAUGAAUUGAAUCCUAGUUAUAUAGUUUUUCUUAUAAAAAUCAGGUUUUAUUUAUAGACAAAUAAAACAAUGGGUUGUAGGUAAGAAAAUAUUAAUUUGAAGGGAAAGAGUCAAAUUUACUAAAUUAAUAAAGCAUAAAUUGGAAAGGGAAAAGAUCUAGAGGAUGCAUUGUAGGAUUGCUCAUGCCAAUAAUUGCACCCUCUCGAUAUUGAAAAACCUAUUGUUUAUUAUUAUCUUCAAUCCUGAAUGAUGCACCUAAAACCCAAGUGUCUCAGGCCAACCAUUGCGCUCAUACCACUUGUUGCAGUACACAUUCACCUGUUUUUAAAGAAAGAAAUUCUACCAAUCGAUAUUUUCUCAAAUUUAAUCACAUAGAUCUAUUAUGGUUAACCAUAUGUACUUUUAUCUGCCAUCCAGAGGUACCUUUUUCCAACGUGCAACAAUUGUAUUUGAUUCACAAUUAUGUCUGAUAUACAUCACAUCAUGCCACUUGCCUCAAAUGAAUUUAAUUGAGUGAGGCAAUGGGAAGUAAUUAAGCUCUAUAUUGGUGGGUGGAGUGUUACUUCUGGAACCCUCAUCAUUCGUCCAUACAGGGGAACAAUUCCCUUCCUUCUAUAAAAUGGGAGCAAUUCUCUCACUGUACUCUAUAUAAAGGAAUAAGUGUCGUCCACUAAUUAAUUACACUUUGUGAGAUUUGAUUUUAAUUAGAGUUCGAAUUAAUGUUGCAGCUAGCAGCGGUGGCACUGGCAAACCAUGCUGCUCAACCAGCACCUCCACUUUACUGGAAUUCCAUCCUGCCAAACACACAAAUGCCAAGAGCUAUCAGUGAACUUCUGCAUCCUGAUUUGUGUUGAAUAGAUAUAGUAUGUUACUGGAGUACGUAUGGCAACAUAUUCACAAAUGUGUCACGUAUUUUCCAUUAUGACGUUGAUAUAUAAUUGCAGACUCCACAAACGAAGAAAAGAGCACAAAUGUCAUGAAUGCUGUUGGGAAUGGAAAGCCAAUUGACCACAAGGGCAAACCUGAAAAUACUGUACUACCACAGCUUGCACGACGCCCAUUUUCUUACAAGAGUGAUGAUCGUCCCACUGACAAUCAACUCCAUUAUAAAAACGUAGCUAUUUUCUUCUUGGAGAAGGACAUGCGCCCUGGCACAACAAUGAGCUUCCAAUUCCCUAGAAAUUCAAACACGGCUACUUUCCUGCCACGAGAAAGAGCUCAAUCGAUCCCCUUCUCCUCUAACAAACUACCAGAAAUUUUCAACCAUUUUUCAGUGAAGCCAACAUCUGUGGAAGCCAAAACAAUUAAGCAAACAAUCGAAGAGUGUGAGGCUCCAGGCAUUAAGGGAGAGGAAAUAUAUUGCGCCACAUCUUUAGAAUCAAUGGUUGAUUUUAGCACUUCGAAGCUUCGAACAAGAAACGUUCAAGCAAUCUCGACGGAGGUAUUGGAAAAAGGUGCCACCAUGUCCAUGCACAAGCACACAACAAUGCCGGGACUGAAGAAGUUGGCAGGUGUCAAAGUCGUUUUGUGUCAUAAGCAGAACUAUCCCUAUGCUGUGUUUUACUGCCAUGUAAUAAAACCAACAGCAGCUUAUGUUCUCUCCCUGAAAGGCGAUGAUGGGGUGAAAGUUAAAGCAGUAGCCAUCUGCCAUCUAGACACAUCAGAAUGGAACCCAAAGCAUUUGGCCUUCCAAAUCCUCAAAGUUAAGCCCGGAACAAUUCCCAUCUGCCAUUUCCUUCCCACUGAUCAUAUUGUCUGGGUUCCGAACCACAAAUCUGCAUGAUCAUCACUUAGCACUGUACGUAUAAUAACCUUUACCCCUGUAUAAUUAUCUCCCUACUCUACUUAUUUCUGCCUCUUCAUGUGGUGUAAGAUAUAUGAUGAGAUGAAGUUUUUGGGAUUAGUGGUCGGGUUGCCUUAAAAACACAGAUUACAGAAACUGCUUGAACUUAACCCGAUCAUGUUUUCUCUUGUACUCGUAAAGCAUGCUGUUGUGGUUCUACUUAAUUUCGUCCUCCCCAAUGUUUGAGUGUUUAAUUGUUACGUUGGAAUAGGCUGCUAAUGCAUGUAGUUAGAGAAGCUUUCAUUUAUAUCAAAGUCCUCAAACUAUCAAGAAUUAAUGCAUCCAGAAACAUAUAUACCAAGACGCAAAACAACAUAUUUUCCAUGCUGUGUCGGUAACACCAAAGCAAACUUCCUUUAUCACAAAAGGACCAAAUUCCAAUACUAAUCUAAUCCAUCAUGUAAAGCAUACAAUCUACAACUGCCUCCCUAAAUUUGUCCAUUGGAUAUAUAUGUCACUUUUUGGUAAUUUGGUAUAGCAGCACCACGUAGUAUGCAUUUAACAGAAAAGUAAACAAAAUUGACAGUAGAACUAUUUGUCCUAACGAAACUGAAGUUGAAAGACCAUGAGAACGAUUUUGAAAAUUAAGGGACUCAAAUGAAAAUUGGGUCUAAGUUCAGGGACCAAUAAAACGAUUAACCCAUAGAUUUUGGAUCCAGUACCACAUCCCAAAGAGAAAACCACAAGUUUGCAAGCAAGUUUGUCCAUACUAACACUACGUACAGUAUGGGCAAUGUGCUAGACUCAUCUCACUUUCUCAACCUAUCCUAUACUUGUCUAAAAGAGUUUCUAAUUUAAUGUACUGAGAUUUACGAAAGAAAUAUCAGAGAAACAAUUUUCAGGCAAUAAAAAAAUGUCUUGGCAAGAAAAUGCACAAUUUGUUACAUAACUUAUUAAAUAUGAACAGUUGAAAGAAAAAAGAAUUUGGAUGAGGGAUUUGCAAAUUCCUAUGGCCCAAUUACCUUUUUUUCUUUGUUUUUUUUUGGUUCUUUUGAUCCAGUAGCAUAUUCCAAAGAAUGAAAACCACAGGCAUGCAAUGCAAGCUCUUUUCCCAUGUUUUCCUCUGUUUUUCUCCUAUCAUGGAAGUGAUUAAAACACACCUCUAAGCUUGUUUUGCGUUUGGUAGCCGAGUGUAAAAGCUCAAUGCAAGAUAGUUUGAGGUAGAAUUUUCUCCUGUUUUAUUAGGACAAUGAUGAGCUAUAUGUGACAACAAAUUGCUUUAAUAAUGAAAAUUAAAAAAGUGUGAUUCAUUGAAUAUUUGCGGGGUUUUGUUCAGAGCUGACAAAGUUCUAAGUCAACACAUCAAAUUCCUUUUUCCAACAAUCGUAUUUGAUUCACAAUUUUGUCUGAUAUACAUCACAUCAUGACACUUGCAUCAAAUGAAUUUAAUUGAGUGAGGCAAUGGGAAGUAAUUAAGCUCUAUAUUGGUGGGUGGAGUGUUACUUCUGGAAUCCUAAUCAUUCGUCCCUACAGGACUCUAGAACUCUCACACUUCUUACAAGGACUACUUAACUCUAUAGCUUAUUGCAUAUAGCAUAUAUAUGCAAACCCAAUUAGAAAUUCUACAACAGAAGCAAGAUCAAUCUCACUAUGCCUUCUAAACAAACAAACAAAUAAAACAAGCAUAUUAAUUGCUUUAAUCACUCUACUAACAUCAACACAGCACACUUAGUUUACUAACAGAUGAUAUAGAAAGGAAAAAAAAGGACCAAUAGGGAGAAAAUGGUGAACUAAGGAGAGACUAAUACUUCUGGUCCUUAGAAGGCAUAACAGAAAUAAUAGAGCACACUGCUUGAAUGCAAGUCAGUAUUAGGAGCAAAACAGCUGCAAUGAAAGAAAUAGUUGCCCAAGGUGUAUUGAAAUAAUGUUGCCUCAAAUUUGCCUUCCAUUUGUUCCAAGGCUUUCUGCAGUAGCUAUUAAGGCGCUCAGAAAGAGUAGCAAAGUAGAAGCUUUCACGAUACACUGCAAUUCCUUUUCCGAGGUUGUUAAUCAGAGUGCACACCUCAUUGUAGUCACCAAGCAUAUUUUUGACAAUCCCAUACUUCAGAAGGAACUCCACAUCCUUUUCGGUGUUCACAAACUCAUCCAUGAGUGAAACAUAAUCACUUAUGUAAUUCUUACGGCAAUGGCACUAUUCAAAGGCAAUGAGGUUAUGGAGUGUGAGCUCUGUGUAAUCGUUUAUUUUUAGUUUUGGAAUUUCUAGAAUCCCAUCGUUGAAUCGUGUUAACGCAGCUUUCCUUUCCUAGCCUACGCGGAAGUCAACUUCACAAUCUCCUCCUAGCAAUUAGCCUUUCCUACUGUAAAUCGGAUUGUAUUCAUGUCUAUAUUAUUUCCUACCUUAAAUAGAUAUCCUGUACUAGUAUACAUAGGGACUUUGUGUAAUCUGUUAAAUACAAGGAAAUAUAUACUCUACAUGGUAUCAACCUAACCUAGGGUUCUCUCUCUCCCCCUUAUUCGAUCCUCUUCUCCUUUAGGUCCACCUCAUGGCUUCGUUUGAAUCCACCAUCUCCCUCCCAAGCCCUAACUCUUCUCAUUUUAUCAAGCUUACUAACUCCAACUAUCUUCUUUGGCUCCGCCAACUCAAACCCUUUUAGUUGGCCAUGACCUCUGGAAAUUUAUCGAUGGCAUUCAUAAACAACCUUCUGCCCACACCUCCACCUCUACCACCACAACACCCACAACCACCACCACUCUUACCGAAAUCAAUCCUACCUAUGCUCAGUGGUACCAACAAGACCAACUCAUUGUUAGCUACAUCACCAGUACACUCUCUGAGUCCAUUUUCUCUCUCACUGUCGGUUGCAUCUCUGCCCGGGAUCUCUGGGAGUGUCUCCAAUGCCACUUCUCUUAAUCCAAUAUGGCCAGUGAAUCUGCUCUUCGUUUUCAACUCAUGGAUUUGCAAAAAGGCUCUCAACCCAUUGAUGCUUACCUUCGUCAUGCUAAGUCUCUUGCCGAUUCACUAGCUGCCAUCAAUUAACCUGUCUCCCCAAAAGAACUUGUCACUGCUGUGCUUCGGGGUUUAGGACCCGAUCACAAAAUGCUCAUCACAGCAAUUCUCAAUUUCUCUCCGCUUCCAGACUUUGCUGAUCUUCGUGCUCGUUUGUUAGCUUUUGAUGCACAGACUCCUCGAAUCUUUCCUGAUCAAAACACAACGCUAAUGGCCACCCAAUCUUCUCCUUACACCACCGGUCAUACUUCCUUCCCUUCUCACCGUGGUUGUGGCUCUUCCAGCAAUAGGCGCGGUGGCUGGUGCAGUAUUGGCCGUGGUGGCUGGCACAACUUCUCAUCUUCCUAGAGCAACCCGUGGAAUGGCUUCCAGCAGCCCUAAUGACCUAAUCAACUGUGGCCUCCUUUUGCUCUAAGUUUUGGAUCUCAAAGCAACUGGCCUUCCUUUCAACCUCUUUGGGCCCAAUCUGCCGCUUCUAGCAAACACUCUGCCCGACCCAACUCAGCUCCUGGUGUCUUGGGACCCGCUUGGUGCACCACAUGCAAUACCAAUCGACAUACUACUACAACAUGUCCUUAUUGCUACAAUGGCCCAGAAUUCUUCCUUUGCUGGGGCUCAAUUCAUGCAGCCACCUAACUCUACAUGGUACCCUGACACAAGUGCCACUCAUCAUAUGACUGGUAGUUCUUCUAAUCUCCAAAGGAAAUUAAAUGAAGGAGUCCUACGAAGGCUCAAGGCUCGAAAGCACACGAUCCGGCUCUGCUGCGGAGCUCACUCAACUACUGGCUGAGGGGGCGCAAAACAGAAAAUUGUGAGUGGACAAAAAUAAAAAUUCAGUUCAGUGUAAACCAACGUAAUAUAACCCCACCGUUUAGAAAACCAUGCAAGAAAUCCAAAUGCAUCUCAAAACCAUCAUAAUCAUCAAAUCAAAAUCAAAUACUGGAUGCCAAGUCCGAAAUCCAUAAAGAAAGCUUUACAAACCCACCAUCCAAAUCUUACAAUCCCACAACUAAACUCUCGAAAGCGUACCCAUUGGCAGUACCAGCAAGGAAGUAUCCUCACCGAGAAACAAGAACAAAAGAAUAGCUAUAUAUAUAAUUAUAUAAUAUAACCACACCUAGUUGUACCGGGAAAACAAUCCAACCGGGGGAUUGUUUGACUAGUCACCAUGGCAGAGUCAAAGUAAACAAAUUCCUCAAUUCACCAUGUGACUAGGGAACGAGCUGUCCAACUGGGGGACCAACUCUCAGCCAGCAUGUACCGUCGAUAGCCUCAAAACCCGUACGUCUGUGACCAGUCCUACGCGUGCAGACUACCCAAUCAAGGGUUUACAGCAACAUCCCAUCAAGGAUGCCCUAGGUUCCCACAAUUCCAAGUAUCUCAAGUUUGCGUAUCCAAGUUCCAAAUCCGGGGAGGUACAUAGGGUAGUGCUUAUAGCACUCCAAAUUGACAUUCUAUACUCAUCACUUUCCACAAUCUCAUCUCAACAACCUAAGUACCCCACACAUAGCCAAACAUAUAUAGAAAUUCUCAAAAUCCAUAUAUACAUACUCAAGAUACUCAAAUAUGUCAAAAUCCAAAAUAUAUUUCCAAUGCAUCAUAAAAAUAUCACUUUUAACAAUUGAAUAAAUAAUAUAUAUCCAAUAUACCAAUUAAAACAUCAUGCAUAAUAUUUCCCAUCAUAAAAUCAUGCAUAAGAUUUGAAAACAAAGUCCACUCACAAGUAGUCCCACACUGCUUGACCUUGAGAGGGUCCCGCCUACUGCGUAUGCGUGGUUGGAGUACCUAUUUCAGAAUACGUAUACGAGAUUAAUAAGAAGCGUUUCGAACGAGAACUUUGAAUUAAAUAUCCUAAUUUCCCAGGUUUCUAGUAAGUGUACUAGGAACGAGACGUUCUAAGGUUCCACUACCCAAUUCGAACCAUGGAAGAGCUUCGGGAGACACUCGGUCAACCGGCGGUCAAAUUCCCAAAUCGGGUCAACUGGCCCACGGGACCCACGACCUCCGUUUUUAAAAUCCGUAAGUUCCUAAAGGUUUCACAAUGUCUAAGAUACUACUAUCACAAGUUUGGUCCGAAACGGACUGUUAGAUCGCUUACGAUCGCACGAUCAGACGGUUAUUGUAAAACGUAAACUUUAAGUUAUUGAAUCAGAACAUCCGGGGCUCCGAUUCACGAUCCGCGAAUUCCUACACGAUCCUAGGAAGGUCUAGAGUAACAUAUAUUGGAAUGGAGUCGAUCCAAAGGUCCGAACAUAUCGAACCUAGACCGGAUAACUCCUAAUAUGUGAGAUUCGUUCGGGGUUCGAACAUCAACCAAAUUGGAAUCCUAAGGUACCUACGUGCUCGUGACAUUAAGGGGAUCAAUUGGGACAAAAAUGCCCCUCUGCUACAGUGCCCACGUGCCACCACACGCGGCGGUAGAGAGUGGGUGUCCAAAGCGAUUUCUCUUCGCCGGAAAAUCUCCAAAUUACAAGCCACUCUCCUGGCUACAGGUUCUACUCAACGAGUGGAACACUUUAUUCAACUACAGCCAAGUCCAAUUCGGACGGCAAGUGGCCGGAAACUCACGGUUUAACCCGGAACUUCAUGGCUUGGAUUGGGCGACCAUCGUCACCAUUGUCGUGGCACAACCUAGGAAAUAGCUAAAAGGAGAGGAGGGCUACCUAUUCCAAGCGAUGGCGCAGCUCGCGGUAGCCGAAAAUGUAGCCGAUGACGUUGGCAGUUUUGGCCGGUUUUUCACGUCGUUGCCAUCGCCGUUUGUCGAGUUUUCGAUUGGAGAAAAGGGGUGGGGUGAGUAGAGGAGGAAGAGAGGAAGCUUUUGCAAGAAAUGACACUUGUCAGGGAGGGGGGGGUUGGGGGAAGAGAGAGAGAGAGAGAGAGAGAGAGAGAGAAAAAAAAAAAAUUUCAGAUUUUCAUCCAAACCCUUUUCGAAAUAUUUACAAGUUUGCCACUAAACUACUUUUGGUUGCCAAAUCUUCGUUAUAACUCCGAUUCAAGCCUACCACGUGUCUACGGAUUCGUCUCAAUACAACCUACCCAAAAAUACCAGUCACUGCCCCAAACUCUUUUUGGGUAAGAAAAUGACCAAAAUACCCCUACCCCAAGGGUAAAUUCAUAAUUUCACUUCAAUAAUUUAAUAAAGAAUUAAAUUUGGAGUCGGGGUGUUACAUUAACUACCUGUUUAGUAGGUGUGGGGUUUUAUACAAAAAGCAUCGAUGUUAUUGGGAGUGGAACCACUUAUUAUAAGUUGUGAUUUAUUUAGUCAAGUUUCCUAUGUGGGAUUUUCUAUUCUUCAACAAGCCCCCUCAUGUGGGACCACCACAUAGUGGGCCACAUGUAAAGCUAAGUCCACAUCGGAGUCAAUCAUUCAAGCCCAAUACCUAAACACCACGUAUUGUGUGAGGGGUAGGGGUAAACAUUCAAGCCCAACAUGUGAACCACCAAAUAUUAAGUAAGGGUAAAGGCUCAAUUCAGGCCCAAUCAAUGAACCCAUUAUGAUAUCAUGUUAAAUUUCAGAUAGACGGGACUGUGGCCCACCACUAGCAACAUUGAUAUUGUCCCCAACUUAACUACAUGUUUAGUAGGUGUGGAGUUCUAUACAUAAGGUCUCGAUGUUUUUAGGAGUGGAACCACUUAUUAUAAGUUAUAAUUUAUUUAGUCAAGUUUCCAGUCAACCUGACUUUGAUACCAUGUUAAGAUUUUAAAGGGACGAACUCUUGGCACUAUUAGUAACAUCGACAUUGUCCCCAACUUAACCACCUGUUUAGCAAGUGUGGGGUUUUAUCCUAAAGGCCUCGAUCUUAUUAAGAGUUGAGUCAUUUAUUAUAUGGAACUUUCUAUUUUGUUAACUCUGUGUAUUCUUCAUCAAUGUGAACACCCCUAAACCAAUCAUACCUGAUACGAAUUGAAACACAAGUUUGUUUUUUGCCUUUGGUAGAUGAGUAGCUAGAAAAGCUCAAUGCACUUGCUCUUCUGCUACAUUUCAAUAUAAGAACAAGGUUUGGAAGUCAGGUCAACUCCUCAUAGCUUCCUUGCCUUUGCUUUGACAUGUCUAUGCACUUCUUGGGGAAGUUUGAAUAAUCCAUUGCAGGCCCCAUGACAACUAAGGAACCAACAUUUUGUAGAAGGUUUUGUCUAUACCUUUUGACUAUAAGUAAAAUCUUUUGUAUCUGCUCUUAUGUUUCGGUGAAGUUUCUAUGUGUCCUUUGUGCCGAGUUUCUAUGCGUCCUUUGUUGAACCAAAAAAUGAGGUUGUUUCUUACUAGAUUCAAAUACUUAAAAGAAAAAAAGAAAUUGUUGUUUCUUAAUGGAUUUUAUGAUGAACAAUAUCAAACUCUCCUCUUAUACGUCUGUUGGUAAAUUUUAACAACAAUAUUAAAACCUUGCAAGUGCACAAAUCAAAUGAUAGUAUAGUAAGCAAGCAAGGGUCGAUCCCACGGAGAUUGUGAUCUAAAGAGAUGUUUAUCAAUGUCACGCAAUGAAAAUCAAAACAAAGGACUUCCAAACACACGCCAACACCAAGGGGGGUUUUGAUUUGUUUUUGUGAAUCAAACAAAAUAAGGAAAAGGAAACAAAAGAGAAUUUAAAUUAGAGUUUAAGAGAAAUUGGUUUAAAAUCAAUCAAGAUCAAUAGCUAGGACUUACUAUCCACCUCCAAACAAUCAAUCAAUCCAUAAACAACAAUAGAUAAUCAAUUUCUAGUAAGCACACUACUACAAAAAAGCAAAAAGACGACGGUAAAUCACCGUCGUGUAUUCGGUUUUUCAAUGGUCGUGGAAUCCACCGUCAUCUUUUCCCUCAUAAACCACGACGCUAAAUCACCGUCGUUGUUACAAUAUACAACGUCAUCAACAAAUACAAAACGACGUCUUUGUACUGCAAAAAGAUCUAAAAAAGCAAUCGAUGAUGAGAAAAGACGACCAACUCUCUAAACAAACCGUCGUUAAAAAGAAAAAAUAUGACACAUAUUAACAGAACAUGGCCGCAAGAUAGACAUACAACGACGAAAAUUAAAAUAAGACGCCGUUAAAUAUCAUUUUCACGACAAUAAAAAAUAUGUCGUCUUUAAAUACAUUAGAAGACGACGUUAUUGAUACCUACUACGUCGCCUAUAUAAAAAUAACCGUCGUAAAAUAAAUUUUCCACUUCGAUUUUUCUAUAAAAGAUGACGUGGAAAUAGUUGUCAGUGUCAUUAUUUACGACGUAUGUAUUUAUAGAGUAGACGUUGAACAACGAAACAACGUCGGUUACAAAUAUAUGAGAGUCGUAUUACAAAAUUUAUACGUCCUAUUUUCAGAAACAAACAACGACGAUAAAUAUUAGACGUUGUUAAAUAAAACAACGUCGAAAACAAAUAAAAACAGACGUGUUUAGUCUGCUAAAGUUCUAAAAAAUAGUCGAGGAUGAGAAUAGACGACCAACUCAAACAAAUCACCGUCGUUAAAAAGGAAAAAUAUGACACAUAUUAAAAGAACAAGGCCGCAAGAUAGACAUACAACGACGACAACUAAAACACUACGCCGUCAAAUAUAAUUUUCACGACAAGAAAAAAUAUGACGUCUUUAAAUACAUGAGAAGACGACGUUAUUGAAAUAUACUACGUUUCUUAUUUACAAACAACCGUCGUGAAAUAAAUUUUCCACUUCGAUUUUUCUAAAAAAGAUGAUGUGGAAAUAGUUGUCAGUGUCAUUAUUUACGACGUAUGUAUUUAUAUAGUUGACGUUGAAAUGCGAAACAACGUCGGUGGCAUUUAUAUAGUCGACGUUGUAUUUAUAUGUAUUCAUUACUCACGACGCACUUAUUAAUAUAGACGACGUUGAACUUCUAAACAACGUCGGUUCCAAAUAAAUGAGAGCCGUAUUACAGAAAAUAUAGAUGGCGUUGAUUAUGAUGAGAGCCGUAUUACAAAUAACGUCGUUUAAUUGAUAUUAGACGGCGGUUAUAAUGAAUUACCGUCGGAAUUCAUUUCGUUCCUCUUCGUUUAUAAAAGAACUUGCGACGUGGAAAAUGUAUGAUGACGUCGUAUUUUUUAACGUUCAGAUUAUAUAUCUCGUUUUUUAGACGUCGGUAUUAUGGGAUUGGAGUCGUGUUAUUUUGAAUUACAUGGCGGUUCUUAAUCCUUCCCCGACGUGAUAUCCUGAAUAAUUGCUUCAUAAUAGCGUCGUGGUUCUUCAUUGUUACGUUGCUUUAAGACGUCGGUAAAUAUGCUGAAUAACUGGUUCACAAUAACGUCGUGUUUUAUUUGAACGUAGAAAGUGAAGAAAUCACAUUACAAUAUAUUACAAAAUUAAUGUCAUACACUGCCAAUUACAUAAGCAUCAUUCAAUCCAUAUAUCUUCACACCCAUCUCGAAUAUUUUGACCGCCUAACUCACCCACCAGUUCAUCAAAUGUGUCAACAUUUGGCAUCCCUCUAGUAAAUGGCUCACACUCAAUUAUCACAUCACCUAAGACUUCAUCACCAAUAACAUUAUUAUAUUCUCUAUUAGGCAUUGAUAACACUACCGACCAACCACGAUGCAUCGGGUCGUCAACAAAAAAUAUUUGUUUGACUUGAGAAGCCAAAACAAAUUGGUCAUUCCUAUGUCCAAUUUUACUCAAAUCUACAAGGGUAAAUCCAAGUUCGUCGACUACAAGACCAGAACUAUCUAUCCAAUCACACCUAAAGACUGGGAUUGUAAACUUUUGGUAGUCAAGGUCCCAAAUUUCUUGAAUGACACCAUAGAAACCCAUAUUUGAGAGAAUUGAGUUUUUAUCCUUGGCACUAGCAACUUGCAUGGUAUGUGCAAGUAAAUAAACUCCACUAUUUUGAGUUGUCCGCACAUCAUCUUGUGCCUUGAUAUUGAAUUUAAUACCUUUAAUAAGAUAGCUCCUAUAUAAUGGCACAGCCAUGUUUGGACCAGCUGCUAGCCACCUUAAAUUUUCUGAUACGCCAUGAUUGUCUUCCUCAAGUUCACUUUGAACCUGCAAAUUAAUCAUAUAUCUUAAUGCAAUCUAACAUAGAAAUAAGAAGAAAAUUAAAAGAGAAAUAUGUUAUUCAACAACAUAUACCUUGAAGCGUAGCCAUUGAAUGAAAGUGUUAUUGUGCUUAUCCUGCAGCCACUUUGUGAUUUAAGGUAUGACAAUCAUGUGAUUUAAGGCCAAGAAGUCUUGAAUCUUGUAAAGAUACAAGAUUUUUAAUAUUUGAAGAAUAACCUUCAGGGACCUUCAUACCAUAGAAAGAAUUGCAAACCUCUCUCUUCUCUGCUCUUGACAAAUUCCAAGGCCCAGGAGGCAAACGAGUACGUCUUUCUCCAUACUCGGGUUGCAAAUCAGUUUUGACCCCCAUGUUCAAUAAAUCUAAUCGAGCAGCAAUCCCAUCUUUAUUUUUUCCAGGGAUCUCCAGCAAUGUACCAAUGAUACUAUCGCAAACAUUCUUCUCAAUGUGCAUAACAUCUAGGGCAUGCCUCACAGGAAGGUAUUUCCAAUACUCGAGAUCAAAGAAUAUUGAUUUCUUCUUCCAACAAACUCUGUCACCAUUUUCAACCAUGUGCAGCACUUCUUCUCCGGUUAAUGGCUCGGGAGGUAUGCCAUAUUCAGGUUUCCCAUUAAAAGCUGCACGUUGCCUCCUAUAUGGAUGAUUGAUUGGUAACCAUUUUCUAUGCCCAAUGUAACAAAUUUUGUGGCCAUUUUCAACCUGUGACUAGGUGUAUCAUCGCCGCAUAUUGGACAAGCUUUAUAUCCUUUAACAACACAACCAGAUAAGUUUCCAUAGGCGGGGAAAUCAUUAAUUGUCCACAUUAAUGCAGCUCUGAGUGUAAAGUAUUCUCCAUUAUGUGCAUCAUACACUCCUCUAAUCCCAUCCCACAAAGAUUUUAAAUCAUCAAUCAAAGGCUCCAAGUAGACGUCUAUAUCAUUUUCGGGUUGUUUAGGACCGGAAAUCAAUAAGGUUAACAUCAUGAACUUUCGUUUCAUGCACAGCCAUGGAGGGAGAUUAUAUGUAACUAAGAUAACCGGCCAACAACUAUAUCUGCUACUUAGAGAACUGUGGGGAUUGAAUCCAUCAGAUGAAAGAGCCAAUCUCAAGUUUCUCGGCUCAUUACCAAACUCAGGCCAUUUAUCAUCAAGAAGUUUCCAAGACGGGGAAUCCGCCGGAUGAGACAUCUGACCGUCAAUUGAUUUUCUAGCAGCAUGCCAAGUCAAACUCUUAGCUGUCUCAUGUGAUUGAAACAUCCUUUUAAACCUUGGAAUUGGAGGAAAAUACCACACCACCUUCGCUGGCACAUCCUCUUUCAAGAUUGAAUCUUUGCCUUCCUUCCACCUUGAGAUACCACAAGUAGGACAAUUAGUUGAAUCCUCAUACUCCUUCCUAUACAAGAUGCAAUCAUUGGGGCAUGCGUGCAUUUUCUCAUAACUCAGCCCCAAUGCACACAAAGUCUUUUUUGCCUCAUACAUAGAGGUUGGUAUUGUAUUUCCUUCUGGAAGCAAAUCGCCUUGAAGUAUCAAUAAUUCUGUAAAACAGACAUCACUCAUCCCAUGUUUUGCCUUCAAAUUAUACAACUUCACUAAUGCCGAUAACUUCGUGUACUUUCUACAACCAGGGUACACUGGUUGAUCUCCAUCCCCAAUCACAUUGGCAAACUCAUACGGAUCGGAACCAAAAUCACCAAAAUCAUUAUCAUCCAUAUCAAUUUCUUCAGACACAAAACUGUACCUACUAUGGCCAUCAUCUUCUUCAACAUUUCUACUAGCAUUAGUAGUUGCUUCCCAAGGUUCUCCGUGAAAUGUCCAAUUCUUAUAGCUUUGGUCAAUUCCAUUAAAGUAUAAGUGAUCCCUUAUAAUUCCAACCCCAAACAACUUCAAAUUAACACAUUUAACACAUGGACAACGGAUAUGUGUUGUAGUUAGAAGAUUUUCUACAGCAAAGUUCAAAAAUGCUUCCACCCCAAACUCAUAUGCCUUCGAUCUUCUAUCCGAGUGCAUCCAUGACUUAUUCAUCUCCGACACUAUAACCUAUUAUCUAUAAUAAAGUGAAAAUACAGGCAAUGACCAUCACUAUAGCAGAUUAUACAAAGAUCUAAUAGCAAGUAAUACAUAACAGAGACGACGGGUUUUAAACAAAAACAGACGUAUUUGGCAUAUAUAGACGACGGAUUUUCAACAGACGUCGUCUAAUAUAAGUAAUACAAACGACGGUUUAUGAAAAAACCGUCGUGUAUAAGUAAUACAACGACGGUUUUUUCAUAAACCGUCGUGUAAUCGUCGUCGUAUGCCUAAAAAGGCGUCGUGUCUCAGUUUAUUUUCAAGAACCCAAAACCCAUUAAGAACACAACAUAUAUAUGAAACCAAGCAAGAAACCAACAUAUACAUGAAGCCAAGCAUGAAAACAAUAAAUCCAUUCCCAAUUCAACAUAACAUAGGGUGAUUAAAAGAUCCGACAAAAUUAAAACCAUUCCCAAUUCAACAUAACAGAUAAUGUAAUCCAUGAACCCAUUAAACAGAAAAUCCAUGAACCUAUACCUAUAAGCACAUUAUUAACAGAUCGCAAAGCAUAUACCUAAAACCCUUUAACAAAACAACCUAAUAUCAUUCAAUGAAUUUACAAAGGGAAGAUAGGGUUUGUACUUACAGGUUGGACGAGCUCACAGAUUCGACGAAGCCUGGAGAGUGCAACUUUUAAUUAGAGCAGAAGUGAGAGAGCGAAUGUUAUGUUGCGCGAAAUCUGAAAAUUUUAGGGUUCAGGGUUAGAAGUAUAAGAAUAAGAGCCAAAUAUAAAAAAAUUUAGGGCGCGCGAAAAUUUUUAGAGCGCGCGCUCUUUAAAACGUCGAAAGAAAAACCAUGGCGAAAGUUCUACAAGAACCGACGUAAAUGUAAUAUUCCACGACGAAAACACUUAACGUAACGCCGUUUAUUUUGACGUUCAUUUUUCGGAUUAAUUUUAAAUUUAUUUUGAAUAUUUUGAUAUAAAGACGACUGAAAAACCACGUCGAAGUUAAGAAAUUGAAAACGUUGUAAAUUAUAAUAGACGACUUACAUAUUAAAAUGACGUCGUUUAAAGUGGAAACCAUGUCGGAUAUUUUACUGCACGACGUAACAUAUGUAUUCCACGACUCAACCACCGUCGUUAACAAUUAAUACCCUAAACCCUUAAAACUAAAUUAUAUAAUUUUAAAAAUUAAGUUUAUAAAAGGGUUUAUGGUUUUACAGCCUAAUAUAUACCCUAUACUACCCAAAAAUUAUACUUUAAAAAUAAACCCCAAUAAAUAACAACCCUAAUCUCUAAACCCUAGACUCUAAACCCUAAACCAUAAAACUAGAAGUGAUUUUAUGACUCAUCAAAACAAUUUUGUUUUGGAUGGUCAUUUUAAAUUUUUUUUAUUCAAAAUGAAUUUUUUCAAGGUUUAGGGGGAAGAAAAUAUAUCAAUGACUUCAUAGGAGUUGACUUUUCAUUUUUCUGAUUUAUUUUAAAUUUAUUUUGAAUAUUUUGAUAUAAAAAUAAUAAAAUAUUCUUAUCACAAUAACAAACCACGUCGGUGUUAAUAAAUUUUAGACGUUGUAAAUUGUAAUAGACGACUAAGUUGUUAAAAUGACGUCGUUUAAAUGAGAAACCAUGGCGGAUAUUUAACUAUCCGACAUAAAAUAUAUAUUCCACGACUUAACCGCUGUCGUUACAAAGUACUACCCUGAACCCUUAAGAAAUUGAAGACGUUGUAAACCAUAAACGACUCAAUUGUUCAAAGAACGUCGUCUAAAUAUCCUUUUACGUCGGAUUUGGUUAAAACGAAACAACAAAAAACGACGGCUUUUGACUUUAUUACGUCGUUGGAAAAGUAUUACACGUCGGUUACGCAAUUUGUAUGUUUGUUUUUUUUUUUAAUUUAAGAAAACCUCAACAAAUUUUUACAUUAUAUAUUAUAGACAAAAUUUGUACAUUAUACAUAAAUAUCAAGUGUUCAAUAAUUCCCCUAUUCCAGGUGAAGGCAAACAAACUCUGACCAUUCAUUCCGGACUUCAUCAAUUGCUUCUUGGGGGUAUGGCGCUUCCUGUUUUCCCUUGGCAUACUGCAUAAACAAUGACUAUUAGGGUUUAUAAAUAAAAAGAAAUUCAAUCACAGACGACGAUAUUUUUCAUAACCGACGUACUAUAUCUAUUCAACGACGGUAAUUUUACAUGACCGUCGUUGAUAAUACAAAAAACGACGUAAAAUGUAUGAAGGUAAUUUCUUCUUACCUUCUUCUCAAACCCCAAGGAAGGAUCCAUGAUGAUGUCCCUCAUGAAGCGCAUCACAUAAUACCCGCAUUCGACAUUGCUGGGUUGCUUUGGUGUCCCUGACAGAGUUUUCCAAAUGGCUGCCUUACGGCCUGGUCUGGCUAUGUGAGAAUUAUAAAUUUUUAUAGCACUGUUCACAAUGUUUUUGGCCUCUUCAUCGACCACACGAUUUCCUGGCAGAGGAUCCAGAAAAUAGACGGUUUCUCUCUUUGCUCUUACAAUCAGCAAGAUCCAAUGACGGCUGCACAAAAUUAAUAUAAAAACGACGGUUAUUUACAAUAACGACGUAUUAUAAUGUUUCACACGACGAAAUAAAGUAGCAAUCGACGACAUUUUACAUUUAUCACGACGAUAAAUAACUACCGACGUGGUUAGUAGUUUCAAACGACUCAAUAAAAUAAAACACCGACGUGGUUAGUUUAUACGCUGUAAUUUAUUGAAAAUCAUAAAAACAAAAUCCUGUUAAGGAGACUAACCCUGGAUUGUAAGGCAUCAGGAAAAUCUGUUCACCGUCAGUCUUUUGAAGUCGAGCUGCUAGUAAGCGUGAUCUGUCAGCUAUUGUGCCAGAGUUGGCACUAACUGUAGCAAGGUCGAUAAAGCCAACCAUAUUGCACAUAUUUGCUCGUUUCAAAACAUCGUGCAAGUGCCUAAAUAUAUAAAAUAAUAUAAACAAGUCAGCACAAAAAAACACACGACGGUUAUGUAUAACAAAACGACGUAUUAUAAAAUUUCACACGACGUACUGAAAUAGACAACGACGUUAUAAUAUAUUUAUCACGACGGUAAAUACUAACGACGUGGUUAGUUAGUUAAGACGACGUAAUAAAUAAACCAACGACGUAUUAUUUUAGAAUGACAAACCUCAUAUAUACAAAAAAACACGACGGUUAUGUAUAACAAAACGACGUAUUAUAAAAUUUCACACGACAUACUGAAAUAGACAACGACGUUAUGAUAUACUAACGACGUGGUUAGUUGGUUAAGACGACGCAAUAAAUACACCAACGACGUAUUAUUUUAGAAUGACAAACCUCAUAUAUACAGCAAUGACAGUGGCUCCUAUUUCUUCCAUGCCUGCAAAUUGUGUAAUAUCUUCAGGCAGGAGGAAGGUAUCGCGCUCUAGACCAAACACCUCCUUAUCAAUUGUAAAGUGCAGGGUCUUAUCCUGAGGCACGAGUGUCGUUUCCACAUAACGACAAAGGGAGUUUAAAGAAGAUGGCGCCUCCAUAUUUGAAUAAUCAACAACUUUAAUAACCUGUUUAAAGAAAUAUAAAAAAUGACGUGGUAAUUCAAUAAAAACGACGGUUUAAGGAAUAAAACGUCGUCUGAAAAGAAUUUAAACGUCGUCUGAAGAAACCGUCGUGGUGAAUAAUUUAUUACGUCUUAAAAAAAAUUCCGCCGUCUAAGUUGUAAACAAACGACGGUUUAAAGAAAAAUAUCGACGUCUGGAAUUUUGAAAAACAAAUAAAAAAGGCAAAGUUAUGUGAACAUACCUGGUCGUCAUCUUCUUUCUCCUUUUCAUCAUGUUUUUCUUCUGUCUUCCCUUCAUCUAUUACGUCGAGAAUGACUAACUCCGUCGUCUAAAAACCACAAAGUUUUAAAAUAACGACGUUUAAUGGCGUGUAAAACAAGUAAACUAAAUACGACGUGGUAUUGAAAUACAAACGACGGUUUAUGUUUAAAAUCGUGGUGGUAUGUAUUUCAAACGACGGUUUUAUUAAUAAUAACGACAUCUAAUGGUUUUUAAAAAAACAGAGAAUUCAAA
rnacentral:lncRNA from 1 species